GUGUUUGAGGUUGGAAAUCCAAGAUCAUUAUAAGGCAGUGAUCUUGCGCUGAAAAUUGAGGACAGAAAUGCCCCUCGGUCCAACGAAAAAAAUGGAUAUGUCAUUAUACCAUUAAUGUAUUAUAUCUAUAUUGUCUAUAUAUUAUUAUAUUAUAUUGAUAUUAUAUAUUAUAUUAUAAAUUAUUAUUAUGAUAUUAUUGUCAUAUUACUAUUCAAUGAUAAUUCUAAAUUAUAGCAGAAAUACAUCAUUAUACUUUAUAUUUAUAUAAUGAAAAUAUUUAAUAUAUUCCUUCUAUUUCCCUAUUUUUUAAUUAACAUAAUUAUUAAUAUUAAAAUAAUAUAUUACAAGUAUAAAUAAAAUAGUAAUUCUAUCAUAACAAUAAAUAUAUAUUUAUAGGAUUAAUAAUUUAUACAACUAAUAGAUAAUUUUUAUGGCAUAUAUUAAUCAUUAAUAUAUAAAUAUUUAUAUUUAUAUUUUAUUUUAUUAUAUUUUAUAUCAUUAAUAAAUAUAUUUUUAUGGAAUAUAUUAGGAAUAAUUUUGGUAUUAUAUAGUGAGUAAUCUUAGAUUCUUAUGGAAUACUAAAUAGGUUACUUGUGGAUAUCUGAGAAUCCUUAAUUAUUAGAACACAACAUACUAAAUGCGGUGAUUUUAAACAUCAGAGAUUAAAUUAUUCCCGGAUAAGAAUUAUUAGUGGUCUAAUAUCACCUCGAUGAUUCCAUUUGGGUUACCAAACGCCAUCUUCAAGUUUUCAUUUUCAUCCUGUAUUUACUUUUUUCUACCUUAUCGCCGCUCUUGAGAGCACAAGGCAUCAUGCAAACGUCAAUUAUAACUACGAUCAUGCUCGAACCAUAUCUCAACUAAACUUAGUGGCGCAAUUAGGUAUUGCAAAUCUUAUGUGGUCCAUCCCACAUUUAACGCAUGUUCGAUACGCAUGAAUCAAAGCUCUACCAAAUUUUAUGGGUUAAAUUUCUUCCAAAUCUCCAUCAUUUUAGGAGUGGGCAUAAAUUGGUUCAAACAUGGAAUCAUUACCAGCUACAAAUUUCAGCUCAUUGUUUCAUGGUUUCGCUGCCUUCUGUUUAGACAUAUCUUUCUUAUCAAAGAAUCAUGCCUAGCAUGUUCCCAACCCUAGUUCAGGGUUAAAUCUGGGUCUCCAUAGCACAUAAGAAUCCCUCGACCAGGCCCAAAUAAAAAAGAAGCCUUGACCACAAACAAAGAAUGAUUAUGAGUGGGCCUUCUGAACUCAAUCUUUCAAUGGAGGGAAAGAGUGGUGGCUCGACAACAUGCUUGUCUUUCUUCAUCCGUCUCCAUUGUUUAUUAAAUGCGCCCAAACCCAUUUUCCAAAAGCUUCCAUCCUCUCGGUCAAACCAAACAUGGGGUAGUUGCUACCUUUUUCCAAGAGAAAGUUUUAAUGGCAUUGUCUGCCAUUGUCACAAGCUUACCCUAAAAAAAAAAAUAGUUUUUUCUGCCACUUUUUAGAGCCUUUACCGAUACUUAUAAGCGUCGGUAAUUUUCACGCCGAUUCUUCCGAAAACAUCACAAAAGUAUCGGACAGGUGAGGGUGAAAUUUUUUUUUCAUAUUUUUUAAAAACAUCGGUAUACAUGGAAGCUAUGCCGACGCUUAUAAGCGUCCGCUCAUUUUGGAGUCCGCCGAUGCUUAUAAGCGUCGGUAGAAACUGAAGAUAGCCCAGUGCUUAUAAGCUUGUGACAAUUACUUUAAUUAUAAAAUAUUUUAUAAAAUUUUGUAAAUUACUUUAAUUAUUAUUUUGAUUUUUUCUUUGCCAAAUCAGUCUCUGGAUUAUUCUCAGAUUAUUUGGUCGAUCAAGGUUAUUUUCUUCUCUGAUAUAUUGUAUCUAGCAUUAUUUAACAUUAAUUUUUUUUACAAAUUAUUCAUAAGUAAUUCAAGAAAAUCUUAUAUAUUAGAAUUAAUGGUGUUGGUGUUUAUUUUUCAAGUCUCUUCCAUGCUUGCUUUCGAUAAACACAAAUACAUUAAUGAUCUUGCAUUCUUUGUUUAUAAUAUCUAUUAUGUUUUAAAAAUUAAAUUUUUUUCCCAACUCUCAAUUUUUUGGUUAUAGUCAGACUGUUCAACGAGGAAUUUGUCAUUAUGCCUAGUUGUUGGGAUAUUCUCGAUUAGUUAUUGCUUUUCUCCAUCAACUAGAUGGUUCCAAAAAUUAUUCUUAACACACCAAAUCAUUCAUGUGCCAAAAGAUAAUUUUAGAAUUUUAUAAAUUAGUAACAUAUUAUUCAUGAUUUAAUCAUCAUUCUUUUAUCUGCGAGUUAUUGUUGUAUGUUUUUUUUUAUAAUUGUUUAUUUGUGGAGUAUGUUUGUCCAUGGUUUCCAGGCUUUAGUGUAUGAAUUACAUCAACACCACUCAGCAACUUUUUAAAGUAAAUUUAAGUCUUAUUGCCAUUCCAAAUUGUUAUUUGUUCUUUUUUUUUUUGUAGGAAAGGAGGGAAAAUGAUUCCCCUCAAGCUAGAGCCUCUCACACAAUCUUUAUUGUAUCAACUUGGACUAACAAAGCAUUAAUACACAAAAAAAUUCAUAUCCAUCUAAUCCCUCCAAGGAAACUCCCCAAUCAGUUAGCUAGUUAGUGACAUAGUGACAUGAUUGGCAUCACAAUAUGGAACUUUCAAAGAUGAGUUGCAUGCUUCUGAAAUUUUAAAGAAUUUAGUUUUUAGUUUUCCUUCUGAAUGAGGCUAGUUUGAAAGAAGUUAUUGAGGCUGAUCAAUAUACUCUUUAAAAAUGGCAUGUUUGUUCGGAAAGGCUAUGCAGGUGAUGGCAAGUUCAAGCUCAAUAUAAAAAUGAAUAAAAAUUUUACUUCUUCUAUAUAUAUUAUUUCUUGUGUGAUGGCAUGGUAGAUUAUGCUAUAUAAAUAGCACAUAUGUGAAAAAUAUAAGUUAUUUAGGCUUAAUUCCUAAAUUUAAAAAUGAAUAUCAAGAAUAUGAAUUUUGUGAAUUUGUGAAUUUUAAAAGUUUUGAGAGUAAUUCUAAAUUAUUAGAACUCAUUCAUACCGGUAUUUGUGAAUUUGAAGGUAACUUGACACAUGGUGAUGAUCUGUAUUUAUAACUUUUAUCGAUGAUUUUUCUAAAUAUUCAUAUAUUUAUCUUAUGAAAUACAAAAGUGAGGUUUUUGAAAAAAAAAUCUGUUUUCUUAAAUAAGGUCAAAAAUAAAUUUAGUAAAAGGAUUAAAAUGUUUAGGAGUGACAGUGGUAAGGAAUAUGAAUCUAUUUCCUAUGAUAAUUUUAUUCAAUCUCAUAGCAUAUUUAUGAAGUUAUUCCUCCAUAUUCACAUGCUUCUAAUGGAGUUGCUCAACAAAAAAAAUAGAACUCUAAUAGAUUUGGCUAACACCAUGCUUGUUAGUUCCCACCUACAUCUAGGCUAAGAGAUGAUGAUGAUGAAAUUAAAUUGGAACCUAGGAAGAGUAAAAGAAUUAGAAUAGAAAAAGAUUUUGAUCAUGACUACCAUAUGUAUAACGUACAAGGUGACCCUUCCUCCUUGGAAGAGGCUUUGUCUUCUCCUUAUUUAGAUUUCUGAAGAGAAGCCAUCAAUGAAGAGAUGGCUUCUCUAAUUUGCAAUAAUACUAGGUUGUAAACGAAUACUUAAAAGAAAGUUGAAACUUGAGGAUACAAUAGGCUAGUAGCCAAAGGCUAUAAAUAAAAAGAAUAUAUUGAUUUCUUCUAUACCAUUUCACCAGUCACCCAUUCCCUCCCCCUCUCCCAAACAUACACAAAACCCCUACCACAUAUCCAUGCUAUAUUGAUCGUUAUAUAUGCUAAUAGCAGCUGGUACUUCAAUUUUCCCCUCCUCACCCAAUUAAAAUAAUUAUUUUGAACUCCAUAUCUCCAUCUCAAUUCAAUAUAUAUUUGUUUUCUUUCCCCUGUUGAAUGGCGAGAUAAUCCCUUUCAUGCUGAGAGAAGAAUCUAGUGAACAAUAUUACCAUCAGGUAAAAAGAGAGCAAAUCAUAAAAAACGGCCACUCUCAGUUCUGGAAAUCAGAAUGCAUGAUCCUGUUCUCUGAACAACAGUAACAUGACACUCUCAACCAACAACCAAAAAAGAUAAAAUAAAACAUGAUAUGAUGCUCAAAAAAUAAAUUCUACAAUGCUAUCUAGGUUCUCCAAACAACGAGACAAUUGUCUUAACAUUCCAAAACAGCAGCCAAUUUAGGACAAUUGAACACCUGAUAGCAACUAAAAAUUCCCAAACCACGCUGUUGCUGCUGUAAGUUCAGGUCAAGCAAGCAAACUCUUCUCCAGCCGUUAUCAACAUUUCCAUUAUUGAACAUGUGAUCACGUUUCGGCUAUGGUUUUGAAUAUCUAACUAUAGUUGUUUGAGCAGGAUAUACCCACAAGUUUAAAAAGAAUUAUUUCGCAGAAUGAACGAGCAGUCUUCCAACUGCUAGAAAAGAAUCUCACAGAGAUCUCAAAUCUCUCGUAGAUGUGCAAAAUCAGCUCACAUGAGGUAAGGAACAUGAAUAAGUAUUGUGGUGCAUCUUCUCUAACCAGAAAGACAAAAGGAGAAAUGGAUCUCAUCAAAGUGCAUCCCCCAGACUAUGCUGCUGCAGCCAUAGGGACUGCUCGGUAGCACGCCCGCUUUUGCUGCACGGACGAUGUCAUCAACCUAUAGGAAACAAUUCCCAAGAAAUGAGUGUAAAAAAUAUUUAAAAUUGAACAAACUAUCUACACACUAAAAUGUUUGCAUUAACCUAAUAUUUCUUAUGAAUCCUGUAAAAAUUUAUUGAUGAAAAUGCAAGCAAUAACUGACCUGGGGAACGGCCAUCCUCUCAAGGUUUGCAGCGUAAGGCGUGGGAACAUCAGCCCCAGCGAUCCUCUCCACUGGGGCAUCAAGAUACUCAAAGCUUUCCUCAAUUACAGACAUGCUGUUCAAGAAAUGCAGCUCGGCGUCAGAGGGCAUGAUUGAGAGAACUUUGUGUGUGUUGUUGUUGGGUUGGGGGGGGGGGGGUAGGGGGGGGGNNNNNNNNNNNNNNNNNNNNGUGUGUGUGUGUGGUGGGGGGGGGGUGGUUAUUUUAAAGAGAAGCUAACCAUAUUUCCGAGCCUACUCCAUGUUGUGGGAAACCUUCUUCAACAGUCACCAGUCUGUUGGUUUUCCUAACUGAGGCAUUGAUAGUAGCUCUGUCUAGUGGCCUAAUUGAACGGAGAUUUAUAACCUGUAGUGCAAAGCUUUUUAGGCAACUCAAGAAGUAGAAGCCUGGAUAAAUGAAAGGAAUGGGUUGAUAAUGGUAAAGCAAGUCUGCAUUUGAUUUCUAAAAGAAUUUACCUCAGCAUUAAUUCCUUCCUUGGAAAGUAUCUCUGCAGCCUGGACAUGAUCGGUUAGGAGUUAGAUACAUAACUAACAAGUAAUGCAAUUCUAGAAAAUAUACGAGGGCCGAAAAAGAAAUAAAGCAUGGGCCAGUGAGUAAUAAAUAGAAUGUGCCAGACUAAUCACCAAGACAUUCUGUAUUAUACAAACUAUAGAAAACAAGUCUAUGCCUUAUGCAGUAUUUUCAGUUCCUGUUUUGACAUUGUCAAUCAUUUCCCUUCAAGGUUGUGCUCUGAAACGCAAAUCAUCUUCAUAUCCUGCUCCCCUAGUGCCAACCACUUACGGAUUUUCCUUCUUAUCAAAACCCUUCACAAACAAAGAUCCGUAUUUUGAGGAGGGUUGUCAGCUAGCUCCCUUCAUACAACAUUAAAAACUUGUCUUGUUUCACAACCAAUAAUGAAGUAUUAAAAUGGUUUGGCAUGCAAACUUGUGCUGAGAGCAUUAAAAAUCUCUAACAAAUAUAGCACUGGGGGCCUCGCAUGCUAUCCUCAAUAAAGAUAUGUGGUCCUUUACCAAUGGUAACUGCAUUUCUUCCAGAGGGAUGUGAAAUGUCCUCAGCACCCAUGAGACAGAAAUAGCCUACCAUCACACACAUGCACAGAAAGUAGCAUUUAAUGCCUCUGCACAAAUGUUCAACAUUCUACCACAAGCAGAGCCCAUGCCACCAUGCAAAUAUGUAUAUGUGCUUGUGCUUGUGUAUGAGCACAUACUACCACAAGCAGAAUCCAUGCCCAACGGCAUGUGAAUAGCUAUGCUUGUUUGUCGUGGUUAUGUAGCACCCUAAUAACAAGCAUAUACCACCACGUUUCUCUCAAAUAUCUUAAACCUUCCCCACUUUAAUGAUCUUGUUCUCAAAAGGUAUUUAUUGCUUCAAACUUUCUCAUAAAUACCACGACAACAAACAACAUCCAAUUACAGUUUUCAGGAAGACCGACCAUCCAUCAACUCUAUGCUAUGAAUUCAAAGAGAAUGUUCAAGCUGAGACAGAUGUGCUGACCUGCCAUACCGAAUUAUUAAGGUUGCCUGAUCUUAUUAAAUAUAGCUACUUUAUCACCAUAUAUUCCACAACCUCUUCUGUAUCAUCAAAUUUUGCCACUUAACUGCUUUAGCAUCGUCUCAAAAAAUCAAAAGAUCCCUAUAGAACUUUUCUAUAACUUACCUAUUCAUCUACCAUGAUUAAAAUAACUCAUCUGCCUCACAUGAAUUUCCUUGUGAAAAGAAACAUCUUUUAAUUUUUUAGUGGCUCAGUUGCCAUUAGUUUCCAAAGAAGCUUGCCAACCAGCUCGUAAUUUUUAAAACAAACUCAACAGGUGGUACUUAAAAACCCUAUUCAGCACUCUACAACACAGAAUUUUAUACUUCACUCAGACAAAGCUCAAAUUGGAUUAUUCGCAGCCCUACAUCACUCAAGCUAAAACCUGAAACAGCUUUCCCAACUUAUUCAUGAAAUCAUACUUCUCAUGGAACUUGCUAUAGAAAGAUUACCUGACAACAAGGAAUUUCAGUUAUAUACCUAUUUUUAAUAGGACCAUCAUGGGAGCCUCCUUGUUUAGAAGAGAUGCUCCUAAAAUAGGAUCUUUGUUUCCUGACAUCGUGUUUUCAACAAGAAGUGCGAAGUCCUUUUUUUAUAAAAAAAUAAACUAUAGGGGCCAUUGGCCUAUUGGGGAAUAUGCCUCAUUAAACACUUCUAGACUGACCCCAAUAAUGAAUAAUGUCAAAAAUUGGAAACUCAUGUUAGCUUAUCUGCUAUCAUUGAAGAAUUACUGGAAAAAUCAUGCUUCUUUCUAUACUUGAUGUCAUCGCUUUACCCCCAUCUACUUGCUAUAUCACAGGCUCCAAAAGAUCUGACAUGGAAAUCAGUAACAGACUACCCCCAUUACAAGAUCACAAUAUUAUAAUCAUCCCACCUACAUUUUAAAUAAACAGAAAGAAAAAUGAACAUGGAAUUGAGAUUGUCAGAAUUUAUUGUCUCAUCACUUGGCACCGAACCUAGUUAUCAAAUAACAACCACUAUGUAGAAGUCCAAACUGGAUAUCAUUGAACAGUCAUUUGAAGUCCAAACCGGAUAUCAUUGAACAGUGAAGUUUGAAACCUACUCUUGUGUAUGGAUACAUAUGUCAUGUUAGUCACGCCAGCUAGCAAUUUAUCAUAUAGGAAGACAGUUCAAAAAGCAUCAGACUAUUAACCGGAAGCUCUUUAAGCAGAAAAAUAAAACUUUAAGUUCCAACUUCUGGGAUGUGAUAAAUUAUAAGGCAUCAUGCAACUUCAAUAUUACCAAGUCUUUUUUAAUACUUUUAAGCAUAAGCACAUAAAAAGGAAUUUCAAAAACAUAAACAAUCCACACUGUAAUUCCCUUCAUCUGCAUUUUCCGUCUUCAUACCUUCAACCAUAGAUAAAAAGCAUUUCUAACUCCUAAUGGUGAAGAAUAUCUCUGAUACGCCUAAUCUCCAUUUAUACACCAAAUAGCUCCAACUCAACCCUCAUUGAUUAAUGAUAUAUGUUUCUUUAAAUUCCAGGCUCCAUGAUCUGCUAAAUUAGAAACCCUGCUUUCAGAAACCAAGAUGAUCCACAGUACUACAGACCUAGAAUAACAAGCUAGAAGCCCAGGUUGCUAAUGUUGUGCAGAUACAAGCCCUCUAUUAUGCAUCGCUCAAGGGAAAAAGGGAUGCAGUUAAACUUCUAAGCCUUAGUUAGCUUGACCCAAAUGCCAUUUAAAACAUAAAAGAAGCCAUGCAAGUUGCCUAAAUAUCAAAGAAACUUUUACCAUCAAUUUUGCCCCUAAAGCAAGGAGGAAAAAAUUAUAAAUACCACAUAGUUUAAUCUUUUGAAACUGAAAUACCAUUAAAAAUAUGAGACAUAAACUAUACCAAUCACUAAUGAAAAACAUUUUCAGAUCUUCAUGAUUUAGAAAAGAAAGAAAUGUCAAAUAAACAACUAUCAAAAACUAAUUAAGCAAUCAAAACUGACUUUUCUAAGUUGGUCUCUAACAGUGAAACCAUGAUACUAUCAACAUGAACAUGAUGUUGAGAACUCAUCACUUUACAAGUAAAUUUUUUUUAGAUACUUGUGUUUCCCUCCUAAACUAUAUCCAAUUCAGCCGGAUGCUAGCAGCAAACUAGCAAAACUAUUUAAGGUGCAAAUUGUGUUGCAGCCAAACCUAUCAAAGUUAGUUACACACCUGCAGAGCAUAACCCACCAUUUUUGAGAAAGCCGUGAUGGUAACAUGUUUUCCUUCUUGUUCUAUCUGCCAAUCAAGGAAUAUAGAUAUUUCUUAUAAAAGACAAAAAAGAGAUUAAGCCUUGUCUAUUAUCUUCAGAAAAACAUACCUUGGCUUUCCCUAUUGGAAGGCAGAAACUGGAAUCAAGAGCUUCAGCUGAAACAGGAAAUGUCUCUCCAUAUCUGUAAAUACAUACCUACAAGUUUAAAGCCUGUCUGACAAGGUAAUACUGAACUCAAAUAAUUGAAGGGCAUUUGAUCAAGCGCUACAUACAGAAGUUCAUUUUCAAGAAAAACAACAGGAUCAGGAUCUCUUAUUGCUGCUUUUAACAAGCCUCGAGCAUCUUCUGAUGAAUAUGGACAUAGCACUUUCAAACCAGGAACGUGUGCAUACCAAGCUGCAAAACACUGCAAUGAAUUCAUAAUGAGAUGCAUCUCCAUAUUUUAUCAUAUUCAUUCAUUGGAAACAAUCACAAAAAGCAGUACAUAACAAUACAUAGGCACCAUCACAAAAGCUUCGCAUGGUAAGAGCCUAACCACAUAUCACUAAAAAAAAAUGACAAUAACAAUUGACAAUUGUUCAUGUUACAAGUAGCAGGGAUGGAUUUAUGAAUCCAUCUACACAAAGAAUUUUAUAAGAGACUGCACCCUACAUCAAAUGAACUCAGAUUAUUCCAGCUACCCUCCAAAUCCAGGUUUUCAUAGGUUCCUUAACAUAAAGCCAUGCCUUCUUUCUGUUCCAGCACAGUAUCUUUGUGGCACCAGACCACGCCCAUUGGUCAUGCCAUUCAUUAUAAUAUUUUUUUUGAGAAAUAUGGUGGGAUACAACACCAAGGUUUGAAUCCUAUACCUCUCCCAUGUAAAGAGGAAUGCCAACCAGCUGAGGCUGGUUAUGCCAUUCACUCUUAACACAAUUUGAAAAAUGCAAUACAAAAACCAUAUGCAAUGCAAUGUACACUCUAUUAUCUUUUAACAUCCUUUAAGCAGCAAGGAGGCAAGCAAGAGUAAAAAAAUACAAGUUUCCAGACAUGUUCGAGUUCUCCGAAACAAAAAUUCUGGUAGAGCACAAAUAUUAGGUCUAGAAGAAAAUAAAGAGUAGAAGCAGGGAUAGGUGAAUAACUUUAGAAAGACCUAAAGCUACAUAGACUAAAAUUUUACUGAGCAGUUCACUGCUUAGUAAUGGUUAUAGAUUUCCCUUAUUAGCAAGCCACUGCCAAGUUGAUGGGUUGUGAAGUAUACAACUUGCUGUACAUUAAAAGCAUCAAUUUACAAACAAUAAUGUGUGACACAGUCAUAAUAACCUAUACCAAAUUGUACAACAGUUUCCAACAGGAAACUUUGCAGAUGUGUUGUCUGAGGUAGACUACAAAGGAAAGUAUUUAAGGGUGUAGCAUCCUAUUUUGGGAUAGAGUCAUGCACCUGCGAAUGCUGAGCACCAACUCCAGCAGCAGCACCAUUUGGCCCUCUGAAAACAAUAGGUACAGAUAUCUGACCAGCUGACAUGUAAUUUGUCUUUGCAGCAGAAUUAAUGAUAUGAUCAAUUGCCUGCAGUGCACCAGAUUAACAAUUUACAUAUGCAAAAUAAGUAGAUCUUUUGUUGUGCAUGCCAAAGCUAUCUGCAUUGAUGAAAGAUACUUUUGCUUGUUUGCAUACUCAGACUAGUAAAAGUAUAUGCCGCCUGGUCUUUAAUUAGGGAGCAAAAUUCAGUAUUUAGCAGUCUGGCUAAUACUUGCUACGAUUUCAUCAGGUCUUUACCAUAAAGUGCUAGCCCCAACGAAUAAGCAGCUAAAUCAACAACUAAAUCAAGCAGCUAAGGAACUAUCAUCUAAUAACUUUAACAUCAGCCAGUAUUCUAGCAUAAAUUUGAACCAGCUCGGAAUUGUGUUCUCCUACUCAAGUAAUGACGUGUGCAUAUCACACCACCAAGUAAUGACAUAUUGCAUAAUGUGGUAGCCUAGGAUAUGCACUAUUCAGAGCAAGCUAUAAAUCUCUCUUGUUCUAGAUUUUCGAGAAAUGAAAACAGUUAUAAUCUAUAGACACUUAAGAAUUUCUGCGGCUUGUAAAAGAAAAAUGUGCAGACCAGAAUAAUGCAUAAACAUUUAGAAGGUUACUUCCCAAUACAAGCAAUUUAUUAUUCAAAUAAUAAAAUAUCUAUAUGCAAGGCGACAGAAGUGACAAUCACAAGUUUGAUCAAAAUACAGGAGAAAUACACAUUUUUCCAUGUAGAUACCCAAUUCAGAUAACUUAUUAAAUCAUGCAUGUUUUACAUUCUAGGGCAUGUAAAUAUAGACCAAAAGGAAAUACAUAAAACCUUAAAUUUAUUCACGUUCGAAAGUGAACCAGCUAAUCUUUUUUUCUUUUUCUUUUUGAGAGAGAGAGGGGGGAGGAGAGGGAGCUAAUCUAUUAUUUAAUAUAAAGGUUUCGAAUUCUAGCUCAUAGAACAUCAAAUGCUUUCUAAAGGAUAGAUGCCAUUUUGAGGUCACGAAUUCAGAUUGAGCCUUAACAUUAAUUUCUUCUUUUUCAAAAACAUAAAUGGCAUACAUUCAAAUGUGCACAAGCAUGAAAAAUUGUGCAAACAGAAUGUUACUGAUGUAUGAUCUGCAAUGCAUAUUUCAAUGCAAAGCUGAAAACUAUAUCAUGAUAUAAUUAUGUAGGAUGCAAAUAACUGUCCUGUGGAGAAAACAUAACACUUAGCAAAAGUAUUUAUGUUGGUAAGGUGUGCAAACCUAGCUAUUAAAUUUUAGAAAUCUCAUAGGUUCGUUGGCAUUAACCUUUUUUCAUAUCUUUUGUUAAUUUUGAUAUUCAGUUAACCAUUUCUCCACCAAUCACGAGAAAGUAGCAUAAUUAUUCAGCCUAAUUGAGACAUAUAAUCAAAUUCUGCACUUUGUUAUACACCUCCAGUUCUUCCUAUUUUAUUCCAUCAAAUACUAAUAGAAGCCAUUCCAGCUUAUAGCAGGCAACUUAAUCAUGAAUACUUAAUCAUCUGGCCUGUAAAUAAUUAAACAUGCAAGUCCUAAUAAUGCCGAGACAUGUCCAUAAUAGCAUGCACAUGCAGACUUUGCAUAGACUUAAAAACAUGAACACAUGUACCCAAACCUGCAUUUCACAAGUGGCACUACUUAAUAUUCUAUUUAAGUCAGCAGCAUACAAAGAACAAAAUUUAUGCUCACCGUAUGGGCCGCUAACACUAUGUCUAUACUUCAAAAAUGAGUUGCUGUGAGUUGGGUUCCUUGCAGGUCAGGUCAGUUUCAAAACAUUAGACCCAUUUGUGGAAUCAAAUCGAUCCUCAUUAGAUAACAUUUGACCAACCCAUUUAUCACUGCAUAGAUCAGAUAAGAUCUGAUCCCAUUUGUUUGAACAACCAUUAGUUGGUUGAAUCCAGCCAAUAAUAUGGCUUCAACAAGGGCCAAUUACCCAGUCACCUUUCACCUCGAUAUUCAGAUCCAACCGAUAUAUCAAGCAUCUACUUGACUCUUCACAAACCAUCCAAAGCUUUUGUUCCAAAAUAAGUUGCAGAAAACAAAACAGUACAGGCAUGUUACAGUUAACUGUGCAAAAAUGAAGAAACUUUAACCUGCAUGGAGAAGUUGAAUGUCAUAAAUUCUAUGAUAGGCCGGAGACCAUAAUAAGCUGCACCAACUCCGAUACCAGUAAAUCCAGCCUGCAAGAAUACAGUGGAUGAUGCAUGGACCAAAAAAGCAGUGAGAUUAUGAAUAAAAUGGGUAACCUACACUAAUAACACCAUUUGAGAACAAAAGCGGCGUAUAGUUUGUUAUGUGAAUAUAACCAACCUCUGUAAUUGGAGUAUCAAGAACUCUCUCAGGACCAUACUUCUCAAGCAGACCUUUCGAAAUCUACAAAAUGAGACAAAUGAAGAUAAGAUUUAUAUAAGCAGAGAAAUGGAGUAAAUAUGAUAGAGCAAGCUUCCCAAUUCUAUGAGGUUUCCUUACCUUGUAUGCACCCUGAUACUCCCCAACCUGCAAAGUCAAAAUUUGCAUUAGAACAGGAACAAAGCAUGGUGCAAACACAUACAUUCCCUGGUAUUACCUCUUCACCCAUUAAUAAAACUUUAGGAUCUGCAGACAUCUCCUCAUCAAGUGCGGAGUUCAGAGCUUCGCGCACUGUUAUCUGUGAUACAAAGAGAUGUCAUGAAUUCAGGUUCAACAGCCUCUUAGUAAACUGUGCAAACAGAGAUUUGAGUAGAUAUGGAACAAGAAGUCCGACACAAGAAGAAGGUAUGAGAUUCAACAUCUUCCAUAUGAACUGGAUAUUUCUUUGACCAAUAAGCACCAUACACCAUAUAAACAAAGUAAUAAUUCUCACUAAGGCAACGGUGAAUUAAAUCUGUUCAAGUGCGCCAAAAAUUAACUGAUUGCAACCAGGCCCUGAGAUAGAAGUAAUAGAAAGAAAACGGGAAGCUAUGGAAUCAAAUUUAAAACCAUAAACCAUGGACAUCGAUACAUUAAACAACAAAAUACUAAAUAAUUGCCAUUUUUUCCCACAUAUGAGCAUAAUCAUCAUCAUAAAAACUUCUUUUCACACAGAGGAAUAUUCCGACAAGGGCAUGGAAGGCAUGAUCGAGCAGCGACAUACUAGAAUACUACAUGUAUAAAUAAAAUUCAAUAUUUCAGAAUACCUCUUUUGCUGCAGUUGAGUAGUUCUCUGGCAACACGGAUCCCAGAGGCCGAAUUCUCUGCAAUACCUGCCCUAAAAUCUGCAAAAAAUAAGUAAAAAAACACAAAAAAAAACCAAAAAGUCAAUAAAAACAGAAGAUAGCGCCAGAAAUCCAACAAAAAAAAAUCAAGAACUCAACAAAAUUAUAUAAAAAAAGGAAAUUUACCGGUGAGGAGAAGGUUCCCAAUCCGAUCUUUCGCCUCGCGACGCCCAACAUCUUCUUUUCGAUCAAACACCCAAAAAACUUCAGAUUCGUUGGACCAUGAAACAACACCGACAAUACAAUCAUCACAACGAAAAAACAAGAAUAAUUAGAAACAAAAGAAGAAAAAAAAAAGCAAUGAUCUAAAAUCUCAAUUUUCCAUUUGAAACUUACGAUUACCUACAAAAAGAAUGAAAAAAUAAACAAAUCAUAGGCUGAAGAAAAUGCAAAGGAAGGAAGGAGAGGAGAAAAACCUGGAGAUUGGAGAGAUAGGGGGACAAAGAACACAAGUGGGGCUCGAGAUAAAAGAAAAGGGGUCUGAAGGUAUUUCUCCGUUUUACAAAUAAGGCCUCGUAAACUGUCUCGAUGUUACAAAUAAACCCCUUAGCUUUCCGAUAAUUGCAUGCGCGCGCUUAAGACUUGCUGUGAAAGGCGCGGACCGCUUCCCUUUCCCACUAAUGGUGGUGAAAAUCGUCCGGGUAUUAUCUGUUUGUAUCCGCACUAUUCACAUAUAAAUAAAAAUUUAAGUAUAUGGCUAAUAUUAAUAUCCAUUUCUAUAUAUUAAAAAAAAAUAGAUAUGAAUAGGCAAUCUAUAUCCAAAUAUUCGAUUAUAUUUAUAGAUCUAUAAUUUUAUAUAGCACUAAUGAAUUUCUAAAAAAAAUAAAUAAUUACAUUUAAUGCUAUUAACUUGAUUUACCGUCUAUUUAGUAAUAUACUUGUUUACGUGUUUAUAAAAUUUAAUUAUCUGAUUUAUAUCCAUAUUUAUAUUUAUAUUUUUAAUAAAAUAAAUGUGAAUAUAAAUUUUUGUAUCUACUAAUAUUAAUAUUAAUAUGAAUAUAAGUAUUAAUAUGAAUAUACCUGAUGAGGUGGGAGGGUAUCCUCGAACUCCAGAGCUCAGUCCCGACCGGUCUCAGACAGCGGAGGCGACUGUUUCUCCUCAGAGGUAUUAUCCGGCUUUGAAGGGGGUUUCAUAGUCUCUUCCCAAUGCACGAUUUUGCCCCGCAAAAAACGCCUCUGAAGAAAAAGGGGUUGUCCCCCUUCAUUUAAAGAAUAGAUCUCUCCGCUAUCCAGUUGAUGUGGGACUAAGUUCGGAUCUUUAUUCCCACAACAAUACCGAUAUCUAAUUUGUUGAGAAAAUUCUUUAGGACGCCAUAUGUUAUCAUUACUGCGAUAUCAAAUGUCUUAUUUAUGCUAUUAUAUUUAUAGAAAAAAGAGAAGUACACUUUCUAAAAGUUUAAAAAAAAAAAAUUGAAUUGUGCAAAUGAUUGGGGAUUUAAACAGAUUGGUGACUAUAGCUGUCCGUUUUGCGUCUCACCUGCAUGCUUGAUCAUGGUUAAACCAGAACUGUCAAAACUAAUUAAACCCUAGCAUUUCAGUGAAGAAAAAAGAAGACUUAGAAAGGAUGAACAAUACAAAAUUGUUUGCAUCUAUAUAUUUGAUGUGUUUCAAUAAGCUAACUGAUUUCUUCAAAUCCCAGGAAUUAAAUAAAACAAAAAAAAGAGAGGAAAGGAAGCUAACUGAAUUCUAUAAUGCUUAUAGCUUUAAAGUUUUUGUAUGGUAUAUAUUCUUGUGUUAUGAAGCUGUGAUUACACCUCUGGUUGUGGAAAAGAUUUUAGUUGUCGUCGUCUACUCUUCUUUACUUUUCUAAUGCCGCAUACUAUGACAUGGUUCUGAGCUGUCCACCUUCCAAGGUCCGACAAGGAGAACUAAAAUUUUGUGAUGAGGCCGCUUGCAAUGUUUGGAUUCCCAUGGUCAAUGAACCAUAAGCCACCAAUCUCCACGCCAAACUUUUGGUAUUCCAUGUCUUAGAGGUUAUUGAAUUGAUAACGAGACCAUUAGCCAAUAUAAUAUCUUCUAUUGUGGUAGGGUGUCCUUGUGAGGUCUAAUUCAAGUUUGGCACCUGCCACCUCGCUUUGGAUUGUGAUUGAGGAGAAAUUACUAUGUAGACUUAGCCUACCAUGUCAAUUAUAAACCAAGCCAAUAAAAAUUAGCUAUAUUAAUUGAUUCUAAAGCCGCCAAUUACAGCCUCUUGUUUCUAUAGCGGUGCAUCGAGAUGUGCAUUUGAUGAAUAGAGCUUAUAAAAAUUAGCACGAUUUCUCCUUCAAAUGAAGGCAGAGAGGUAAUUAGCACAAAAAUUACCUUUUGGAUUAUUCUUUUGGCACGCGGGGGAGCCAUGUUACAAGCCAUUGUCAAGCGCGCCUCCGCCAACUAUGACAAAUGUAGCAUUCAAUUCCAAUCUUCCCAUCCAGAGCCUUUGAAGUUUGAACAACAUUUAUACCUACCACCUUGAGAAUAAUAAGAGUACUUAUUCUACAUAACCUAAAAUUUACUUGGACUUAGAAUCUUACCCAUCUAACAAGAAGAAUUUACUUGUUUCGGUACCCGUGUUGUUCUAUUUUAAGGGAACUCCAUCAAAACUUUUAUUAAAUGUUAUAAUGGUUAUGAUGACUAUUAUUUGCCCUAUCACCUAUAAUUUGGAGUUAUUUAAUAUUUAGAUUUAUAACAAUUAUAAUGGUUGUUACAAAGAUGUUAUGAUAAAGAAUAAUAAGCAUUUCUUUCCUUUGAAGAGAGAAUUUUGGAAGACUAAAUUUUGACAAAACAUUAUUCAAUUAAAAGAAAGUAUAAAUGACAUAUAAAGGUCGUCAGCUUUGCUCUAACAUAGCAUUAAAUAAUAAAUAACAUGUUAUAAUGCCUUUUUUUUUGAACUUUGCCCAUAUUUUGUAUAUAGCCGAUCUCUAUCUUGGAUAAAUGAGAAAGGUUGCGAUAGGUUGGCAACUGCCGUAAAAUUAUAGUUGCAUCAUAUGAAUAUGAAUCUCGAGAAAAUUGUAGGUUCCCAUAUUUUAAUAAAUAGGUGUGGCUAAAGAAGUUAGUUCAGAAAAAUAAAAUGUAUUUAGCAAUUUAGAAUAUAGUGUUAUUGAUAUGGAAAUUGCUUGAACUAAUAGAUAGGUGGUCAUAAGAUCUUAAUUGAAUUGAUGGAUCAAAAAAGUACUAAUAAAAGGAUAAACCGGAAUAUCCAGCUCCGUUACAAAGCUAAUUCUAGUUUCUCCUCCGGACUAACUUGCUGUACUUUUUUUCCCCUCUUUCUCCUGAGAAAUUAGUUGACCAUCUUGGCUUAUCUUCCUUUUCUUCGUAGAAAAGGUCCACAGGCAAUAGUCUAAGGUGGCCGUUGAACAGCUACCACCUUCUAAACCUUGAUAAAGGUAGUCUUAGAUCCCAUCAGCAACAGACAUUAUUAGCUACCAAACUGGCUCCUUCACCUUUAAAUAUCCAUUAACAUACUCAUUCUACGGAAAAACAAAGAGAACUUACAUAAAUCUCUACUACCAUGCCGCCACGAGCAUCGUCCACUGUGUCUUUCAAGGUGGUGGUCUAUAAAUAUUCUUGCUAAUAAGAAGAAACAUCGGUGAUCUUGGCGUUCCAACUGUCUUUUUAUCAUCCCAUCCAAAGAAAGUCAUUUUUUCUCGCCCUGUGCAUCGAUUAAAAUGUGGUGACACUUGUUGGAUUUGGGGAUCUAGAAGCGCUUAUUGAUCCACUAGUAGCUUUGGUAGUGCCAGAUAUGAUGUACUCACCUUCGGAUGGAGAAAAUAUAAGUAAAACGGUGUCUACCCGCAUCGGGCAGGAGCCCAGUAGGGGCUGUUACGCGGGGGUGGGCUUAUCCCUCCCUCCCCCCUAUCCCUUUUUUUUAGCAAAAAAAAGAAAGUCAUUUUUUCUUAUAAAAGAUGUUUUGAACCUGAUUUUCUUAACAAAAAGAACAAAAUAGUCCCAGCCAUCCAAUUAAGGCUAAGUCUAUUAUAUUAAAUAAUAUUAUAAUCUUAAUCCUUUCUAUUGUAGUCCCAAAUAAGAAGAGUGUAAAUGUGGAGCACCCAAAAAAAAUUGAAAAUUGUAAUUAGAGGGAUUAUGAUUAUAAUUAUCAUUUUCUAUAAAAGAAAUUAAUAAAAUAAGUGUUAGUUGGGCAUGAGGGACUGAGUUCUCCCAUUCAUCAACCAUCACCACUGAGAUAUCCUUUUAUAAUAAAAAGAGAUUGUUUAGGUAUUGAGUCAGGAAAAGGAACUAAUAACAUCCAUGCUCUUCCUACUUAAGAAGGAAAAAGUGCAUUAGUGUAGACAACCACUAAUACUUUCUCUCAAAUGAUCAAGGAUUAUACAAUGCAAGAAUGAUUGCCAUCUCUUGUACAGCUCCAGGUCUAUAAAACCAAAUUAUUAAAUGAAACAUGAGUGUAAUAAAUCAAAAGCAUCAAUUCAGAUGUAGUCAUGAGGUAUCUCACCCUCAACAAAACAGAAAUCAUGAUGGUUGAAAUAUAAGAACUGAGCUGACCAAAAAUUUUUAGGAUGAAAUUAUUUGUUGCAAAACAAGUGGGAAUCAAGGAUUACUUCUACAGUGCUUAGGUGCAUCUAUAAGUCGAGGAGAAGCCUGCGAGGGUCCUCAACCACAUCCUUGAUGCGCCGCAAAAAGAAGACUGCCUCUCUCCCAUCAAUCAAUCUAUGAUCGUAGGUCAAUGCAAUGUACAUCAUAGGCCUUGGGACAAUCUUACCAUCCACAACCAUUGGCCGGUUUACAAUAGAAUGCAUACCUAGGAUAGCCGACUGGAUACAAUAUGUUCGUCAGUUCUAGCCAUGUCAAAUUAACACUGUACCAUUAAAAAAUUAGAGAAGUUUGGAGGCAUACUUGUGGAGGGUUAAUAAUCGGUGUGCUCAAAAGACUUCCAUAAACUCCACCAUUAGAUAUUGUGAAUGAGCCUCCAGCCAUUUCAUCGAUCGAGAUUGUCCCAUUAUUUGCCUUCUUAGCAAGAGUAUUAAUUGUUUUCUCUAUGUCCGCAAAAUUCAUCUUGUCAGCAUCACGAAUAACCGGCACCACCAGGCCCUAUUUAAGAAAAAGAAAAGAGUAAAUUAAUUAAUUCCACCUCAACUAAUGACAGAUGCUGGGCAAUAGGAAAUCAGCAAAGUAGAAAUUACAGAUAUGAUCUUAACGGUCCAAACCUUAGCAUAUGACAUACUUUGGACACAAUUUCAGAAUAACCAGAAAAAGAAAACACAUUCGCAAACCUUAGGUGUGCCAACAGCAAUGCUGAUAUCAACAUAAUCUCGAUAUACGAUAUCCUCUCCAUCAAUGACUGCAUUGAUGAUUGGCUGGUUUUGCAGUCCAGAAACAGCUGCCUGAAUAAUAUAAAGUCAGAUCUGCAAGUAGUAUUAACUAGCUCAAAAUAGGACUUAAUGGUGUUCAUGACACACUUCAUACUUUAAUAAAUCCUGACAUGAGUCCCAACUUCACACCAUGCUUUUCCACAAAGUCAUCCUUGUAAUCAGAGCGCAGUUUCAUCAAGUUGGUCCUACAUUAAACAAUUCAUCAGAAUAACAUCCAGGAAAACAACAUAUACAAGAAGUGCUAUAACAGUCCUGUCAAAGUACAUUAGCAUGAAAAGUUUCUUUCUUUCCUUUCUCUGAAAAUAGAUAAAACAGAAUCAUACAUGCUAACAUAUGAGGAGGAACAGUUUUAGUGCCAAUAAACAACAAUCACCUACAUGUCAACUUCAUUAAAUGUAGUUAGCAUUGCGAACGUGUUCUGAGAAUCCUUCAAACGAGUAGCAACUCGUUUCCUAAGCCUUGGCAUGGGAACCUGAAAUCAAUUAAAGGAUAAGUAGGACAUCCAUGUUAACAGUACAUGUCCAAGAAUUUGCAUCUUACAGUACAAAUAAUUAAUAAUGAAACACAAAACAAUGGGACUUACUCGUCUUUCCCUUUCCUUGGGAGGAAGCAGAGGUUCAGAAGCAGCAGCUUUAGGAGGUGCAGGAGAUGGUUUCUCCUUUUUGGGUUUCUCUUUGGUGGAAGGUUCCACUUUAGGUUUUUCAACCUCUUUUUCUGCAGGUGGAGAUGGUUUAGGAGCUUCUUUACCUGGUUUCUCCUCUGAUGGAGCAACAUGUGUUACACUGGCAGCAGAUUUUGAGAUCACAGCAACCUUAGUUCCUGGUGUCACGGUAUCACCCUCUUUGGCUACAAACUGCCAAUGGUAAAUGCCAAAAACAAUCAAUAGCCAGCUCCAUAAGAGAAGCACAGGAAACAGGAAUACAAAUGAGCAACAUUUGAGGCACAAAUAGAUCAAACAAAUCUAACCUUUUCGAUAACCCCAGCUUCAGGACUAGCAACAUCAAUAGUCACCUGGAAAAAUUUAGUUAAUUAAACAAUGUUUUAAAUAUGGUUUCAUCUUGGCAAAAAUUGUGUUUUUUGGGGACAAAUAGUUUACUUAACAUUUUAAUAAAAGAGAUAUACCUUAUCAGUCUCAACCUGGGCAAUUGGUUCAUCAACUUCAACCCUAUCUCCAGGUUCUGUUCCACAUGUAUCAUGCCCAUAAGACCCAAGCUAUAGCAAUCAAAAUUACUUGAGGACUAGAGAAGCAAGAAUAAAUAAAGCCACAUACUCUUUAGAAAGGUUGCUAAUGUUCCAUCGGUAAUAGAUUCACCCAUAAAUGGAACAACCGCAUCAAAAAGGUCACCUUCACCAAGAAACAAAAGAAAUCAUACAGUUCAAAAAUCAAAGGUUGAAUAUCUGGCAACUAAAGAGACUCUAAUCUGAUAGUGAUGGAACUUGCUGCACCCGCUUACCACUUUCUGAAGAAAAUGACCUACUCCAUAAUUGGUAAGGAGAAUUCUUAGGAAGGAACUGAGUAAUUUCCCUGCAUGGUUGAUAAUUCUUGAGAAUUAAGGCUAAGAUGCAAAAAAUAUAUGUGAUUGAAAGAGAAUUAGUAUAGUCUCUUGCCAAAAGCAUAGAAAAUGUUAAUAUAUAACCAGCAGUCAACCAAAUAUGAUGCCAAGUGCUUGUACAGCAAAUCAAACCUAACUAAUGGCCUGAAAAAACAACUAAAGGUUCAUGCAAUUGCUAACCUCAUGGGUUUUGAGCCAAGUGGACCACAGAUACCUGACACAGAACAUGAUUUAAGAUCCUUAGCUUGGAAGAAAAAUUUAAAACAAAAAAAAAUGAUCACCAUGAUAUUAUUAGACAAGAUCACCUGGGAAGACAUGAUGGCUGAAGUUUCGAACAUGCCUGUAACUUUGUAACAGGAAAAAUGUCUGCAUGGACAUUAAGAUAAUAGCAAGCUAAAGAACUUCACCCCAGACAGGUAGCAGACUGAUUGAAAGAUAAAAUUACAAUGAAUGGCAUCACACGAGGGAUUUAAUACUUGAUGGUUGUACAAUGAAUUCAAUGCAACUUACACUAGAAUGUGUAAAAAUGAGCUAUAUAUAUAUAUAUAUAUAUAUAUAUAUAUAUAUAUAUANNNNNNNNNNNNNNNNNNNNNNNNNNNNNNNNNNNNNNNNNNNNNNNNNNNNNNNNNNNNNNNNNNNNNNNNNNNNNNNNNNNNNNNNNNNNNNNNNNNNNNNNNNNNNNNNNNNNNNCCUGUAACUGUAUAAUAAAAGAUAAGGAACAUCAAUAUCAAAGAUAAGUCCAACUUGUUUUUGCAGCUGCACCUUUAACAAGAAUAAAUUGUUUGCAGCAAUAUCUAGAUUCUAGAACUGGUAAAAGGAGACCUUAGAAGUAAUAAGCAUGCUAACUGGUAAUUCUUAUGCCUAUUGGAGAGACCUGAUAAUAUUAAAAUAUUUACAAUAUAUUAUUAAAACAUUCUGCAAUUGUGAACUACAGCCUCCCACAUUAGAAUAUGUAUACUAAUAUCAUAAUGCUAAACAGAUGGGUUCAUAUGUUUUCCUAUUUAUGUUGGGGUUGGAAGAGACACCUUUAGCCUUGAGCUGUGAAUGGCUGGAUUAAGACCAGACCCACAUCAAUUCAGAUCCAAGUCCAGGCUUGGCAUGUAAGUCUGUGUUUGUGUUUGAGUCUAAGUCAAAGCCUAAGAGCAGAAUUUAGAGUCAGCUCCAACGUUAUAUUUGAGCCAGGGUCUGGGUCCAAAUCAAGGUUAUUAAAAAGGAAGAGAAUACAGCAUUGCUCAUAAAUUCCAUAUACAUACCAAAGCCCCAUACCAACUAGGAUGCGUACAUCCCAAAUAUACAUAGUUGCUCGGUCCAAAUAUACAUGAUUGUCGGGACAAAGGGCAUCCUAUUAAAUGGGAAAAUUGAGAAGGCCCCAUUCCAUGAUAUUUAAUAUCUCGCUCGGUCCUAUUUCAAGUAACUGAAAACUGCAAUAAUUGGAUAUAGAUUUCACUGGCAAAGCCUCAAGCAACAUCAAACAUUAGCAAGCAACAUCAAACAUGUUAAUCAGCGGGGUAGGGCAUACUAUUAACUUAUCCUUUAGGCACCCAUUAAAUACCCAAGCAUGAAAAUCACUAAGGUGAAGCAAGACAAGCCAAGGAUUCAAGUUGUUUCUGUGAUAAAUUCUUGAAAGUAGUUGAUGCAUCUUCCUUGGCUAACUUGCUUCUUAUGAACGUCAAGCAAAAUGAAUCAGUUUCAAUGGGAAUCAAGCCAAUACUAACUUCAGAAAGUUGGUUUCAUCCAAUUUUGGAAAGUUUCAGUCAAAAACAACCAAUUUCAGCAAGUUUUGGCAGAAACUGGAUGAAACUGACCACAAAUGCUACAUUUAUUCAUUAUAUGAGUAUUUAGCAUAGCUUUGAAGCCAUUUCUGACUGUUUAAGUAUAUUUUGAGGAAUAAUGUUGAUAAAUGGUUCAUUUUCUCUUUUAAAUAGAAAAGAAGGGAUACUUGCUCAUGGAUAAUAAAUUCAUAGUUUAAGAAAAAAAUCUUAUGAUCACACAUGGUAUUUUAGAAAAAUAGAAUCAUUUGAGAAUUUGUCUUAAUUCUUAAAGCAUUUUUUGGUUUUCUAUUUUGUUUUUCUUCUCUGUGAGAGGAGGUGAAGAAAAUAACUAUAUGCUGUAGAUCAAGUCCCCUUCAUAGCCAUUUUAAAACUUUAAGCUCAAAUUUUCUAGAUCUUAGAUUAAAUCUUACAGACAGUGAAUGAAAUAUAUCUAGUAAUCUCAUUUCCCACUUCGAGAAUAUAAGUAAAAUUUUGAUAAUUAGUACCUGGCACGAUGAUUAUAUCAAGUUGACAUUCAUAUAUAGGUUCAAGUUACAACAUUUAUUGAAACUGCCAAGUGCCAAAACCAAACUCAAUAGGCUUAACCAAGAUUGAUAUGAAAUCUAAGAUUGUUAACUAGACUAUUUCAAUUUAAUGGACCAUUAUAUAAGUAACUAAGUAACAUUUAAGUUACCAUAUAUAUUCGCAUAAGUUAAUAAUGAUAUAUGCCAAAGGAAAAACAGAACUCGGAAGUGUACAAGAAUCUCAUGUUGCAAGAUUCUGAUGACCUUUACAAAACUAAACGAAUAAAGGAGCUAACACUAGAACAAGUUUCUAAGGAGUACACCUUAAGUUAUCCAUGAAAUCCACCAGAAUUUGCUCAUGACUUAUAAUACAUAGGAAUUAAAUUCAUGAGCUUGGAUGACCCUAAUUAUAUAGCUGUUAGAACUCUCUUGAACGGGCCUUGUUACUUAACAACUGAGUUAUUAAUUAAGGCAACCCACGCAAGAUUCAUGGUGAAAAUUUUAUCUUGAUUGUAGAGACCUUUGUUUAUCUACCCACCAUGAUUUAGGUUACCUUAUUUAUUUGCAAAAGUUAACAAAGUAUAUGCUAAAGGAAACAAAAAGCUUACAUGCAUACAAGAAUCUUAGGUUGCAAGAUCGUGAUGACCUUUAAAAAAUUACCUAUAUAAUAAAAAAUAUUAUAAUAGAAAAAAUUUCUAAGGAGUUGUUCACGAAAUCCAUAAUUUCUAAGGAUUUGUGAGCAUUGUUGCCCCUAACUAUGUAGCUGUUGGAACCUCUCUUAAAUUAGCAAUGCAACACAGUGCUACUUAAUAACUGAAUUAUCAAUUAGGGCAACCCAUCCUCCAGAAAAGUCAGUGGCAUCUAAAGUCCUAGUUUUAAAGUAUAGGGCAAGCUAAGAACUCCAAAGUAAUAAACUAUUGUUUCUGAAUGACUCAUUAUAAUGAUGGGCUGUGUAUUCAAUGCAUGACUGAGUGGCAAUAAAUGAUAAAGCUCCAAAGUUUGAAUUCAUUUUUGUUGAUAUAAGUCUUAAAACAGUUAUCUCAAACCCUAUAAGCUAGUAAGAUAAAGGUCAUAUUCACAAAAGAAAAUAAUAAAAUCAGUUCUAUUAAAUCUAUAGAAAACAACGUAAAUAAAAUGACACAAUAUGAAUAUGCAUCUCAACGAUAAGUCUCUUAUGUUGAAGAGGUUAAUUGCAAGAAAGAUGGCUCAGUUUUGUGACCAUUUCCUAUAUUCAUUUCAAUCAAAAAAAGACAUCAAAGGGCACAUGCAUAAAGGAUUAAUCCUUUAGAUAAGGGUAUUCAUGUGGAAGAAAGGAAAAACAUUACUCUUCACCUCCACAAUCAUCAAUAGAUUCAAUAGUGUUUUAAAAACUCCUUCAAGAUAUUUAUCAAGAAUCAGAAAGACUCCUAAAUACUUUUAAUUAUUGAAAAUUCACUAAUCUCUUCAAAAUCAACAUCCUUGAACAAUUUUGACAUGCAAAAACAUUGUAGAAGAUAAGCAUUGACCUCUGUACAUACUUCAUGAAAGAACAAUAAUUGGUGCAUGUUUAGCAUAUGCUCUCUUUUAUGUUUGAACUAAAGGAUGACUGUUCCUUGUGGGUGUGUGAAGAAGCAUACACACUAAAUGAUCAUAUAUACCACAAAAAUAACUCCCUUUUGAAACAUCAAUUGGGUCAAUUGGCAGCACAUGAGGCUUGACAUAUACUUCCAAACCUUCAUCAACUGGGUUCCAUCUUUUUCAAAAAAUGUAUUUGCAAGAUUUAUAUACUUCAAAUACUUGAUUAGGCAUUAGAAAGAAAACCUAAAGGACAAAGAUAGAAAAGAAAGACAUAAAAGAUAAAUCGCACAAAUGAUCCACAAAAUAAUGCUAGCAAAACAUUUAUAUUACAACAGGCAUGAAAGAACAAACUUUUCAUAACAUCCAAACAUAAAAUCUCCUAAUGUGAAGCCAAAAGAUGAAAUCUAUAAUAACUCAACAUUCCUUAAUUGAUAUAUUUAUAUAACAAGUCUCCAAAUUCUUGUCCAAAAUAAUAUUUUAUGGCUGUUUAAUAGCACUUUUAUUUCUUGUUAUUUGUUUUCAAAAACCAAAGAAGAGAAACUAAUAAGAUUCAAAAUAUGUUUCAUGAUCCCUUUUGUUAUUUUUUCUUAGAAUACUGUUUGUAAAAAUAUCAGUACCUUCUGGUAGUAUUUUUUUUUUUAACUUCUGGAAAAGAGAAACAAAAUCAAAGAAAUCAAAGAGUAAUAGGUGUUAUGUGUUUCCCACUCUCCAUCUAAUGUGAAGAGAAGGAGAUGCCCUCCAACAUGUGGUAUUUCCUAGCCAUAAUAAAAAGGUUGACAUGGUACCAAUGAAGGUUGAUAGCACCCAAGUUAAGCCAAACUGAGAACUAAGCUGCUCGUGCUCAGCUAGUUGGCAUUAUAUGAAUAAAGGUAUUUGAGCUUGAACCAAACUUCAAGCUUAGCUCAUUUGUUAACGGACUCGACCUUGUUAUCAGUAUGAGCCAAGCCCAGAUUUUAUUUUUGCAGGCCGAAUAAGGUUCAGCUUGGCUACGAGUUUAGCUUUAAACAAAGUUUAAUCUCCAGGCACUUCCUAAUCAAACAAGCUCAACCAAGACAAUUAUCCAGCUGCUCCAUUGUUUCAAAAUGCUAUCCAUGUCACCUCAUACGUGCUUGCAUAUGCAAAUGCUUUCUAGUCACUGCAAGGCGUUGUGAUCGAACCACACCAUCAGGUGCUCACAUGUGCUCAAGCAGCCUCCUUAUGCAGGCUGAGCCCUAUAUGGUGAGUGUGUAUUCUUUUCUCCCUCUUUUUUAUUUGUAAUUGGUAGAUUUGUUUACUGCAUUAGCAUAAUGGGAGCAUACAAGAGAGAGGACAUUGUUAACUUCUUUAGGUUAACAUGUCACAGUUCAUAGCAUACUAAAACGGGCUGUCAGAUAAGUGUUAAAGUGUGUAAUUAAUUUAUAUUUGUUUGAAUAUUAACCUAUUCAUUGCUAAUUAUUGGGCCACGUUUAUCCUUUUUAUUCUUAUUAACAUUUCUAAGAUAACAACCACCUAUGCGCUGAUAUAUGCAUCCACAUACUACAUAUGCGUGCUAUGCAAGCUGCUUUUUAGAACUUUGAGCCAAUCUUGAGCUAUUAAUUCACAAUUUCAUUAUUUUGCAGCCUUAAUUGCCAAAAAGGCCUUUGAUUUUUUUUUUUCUUUUUAGACUACAAGCAAAGAUCCACAGCCCUGAGGUAUUUAUACAUAUCAAAAGGCAAUGGACGGAAUUCUAAACACUCGAACUUUUAAUCAGAUGCAUUUCUUCUAGCCUGGUUUCCUUCCCCUUUAUUUCCUAGUUCAUGUCUAAAUAAAAUCAAGCUCAUUCCUCUAUUUUCUUCCUUGUGUCCAAUCGAAACGUGGGAAAACGUUUCAUUAGUCUGAAAUACAACAACAGGAUCCAACUCUUUAUUCUGAUCGUUCUUCUCCUUUCUUCUUUAACUUCCCCUUCGUCUCCAGCACCAUUAUGUCAGCUCUAAGCUUGCAUCCUGGUUAGGAUUAUUAACUAAAUAUAUAAGAUUGGACAUUCCAUCAAAUCAACACUACAACCUAACAAAACCACAAAUAUCUCAAAGAAAUAAAAUAACCAGCAUCCUGAGAUCCAAUCAAACCCCUAUCUGCACAUCAAAUCCCAUCAAGAAACCGUUUAACCGAUACUUCUAAUCACAGAUAACGCUAUCGCACUGAUCAAAUCACGAUUCAAGGUCGAUGACAAAGAAAAUAACAUCAAUGAUCGAUACAGCACAUAAAAAACACUGAGAAUCAGGAAAGGGAUUCAAAGAAUCCCAAAUCCAUAUGGAGGCGGGAGAGGCGCAGAAGGCUUACCGCGACGGGACGGCGGACGAGGCGAGCGAGAUUCGACGCCAUGGCCGAGACGCUCUCACCUUGAUCGCUGCUUGAAGAGAAGAAGAGCAGAGAGACGAGAGAUGGCUCUCGAUUCAAGUCUUCCUCAUUUCUUUUCAUUUAUAUAUUCGAGGCCUUCGGCUCGCCGUCUGGUCUGGGUCUCGACUCUCGACUCCCAUCCACGUGGGUGCAAAUAGGUCGGGACGGAUUGGAUGAUUGGAUCACGACUAAUUUCGAUGUAAUUCGAUCUCCUAUUUAGAUAAUUCAGACCCAACCCAAUAAAAAGCCAAGUUGAAUUAAAUUGGAUCUAUGGCUAAAAUUUUUAAUCCAAUAGAUCUUUGAGAUCCAGCCGAGUCCAUGUAUAUAAUCUGGAUCUACAUCGGACCCAAUACUUGUUAUUCCCUAUAUUUAGUUUCUUUUGAAAUGAGUAAAAACUAUAGAAAAUAAAUUAUACAGGACACACAAGUUAAAGUGCUAAAGCAUCAAGAAUUGAUACCAUUACAAACUACUUAAUAAUGAUAGGCUUAAUCUUGUUAGCUUCAAAAAAAAUUUCUAUUCAUAUUUGUAAUAUUUUUUUUAAAUAAAAAUGAAUUGCAUCUAUUCUAAUCCUUUUUACUCAAUAGUAAUAUCCUCCAAAUUUUUUAGAAUUUAUCUACUACUAUUUUUCUAAACCUACUAUUAGAAAAGCAUACAUAGAUUAAAAUAAGGAAUAUAGUUUUGAUAAUAAUAUAUGACAAAAUUCAACAGCUGCAAAGAACUCACCAUGCACCCAUCUUUUUCCAACAAAAUUAACUCUAUUUUGCCUUCAUUAGUUUGAACUUCCUUCUUAGAAGAACAAUAUUCCCAUUUAAUGUAACCAACCUAAGCCUUAAUACAAAAUUCAUGUCAUUCGAUGGUACACAACAAAUAAUCUCUUCUAUUUUUUUCGUUCUUAAACACAAGAAGAUAUUAGAGGAAUGGAGAGUUAGAGACCCUUAAGCAUCCCAAUGAGCCCUAAUGUUGUACCCGGUUCAGAUCAGAUCGGGUCGGAUUAGGGUAGGAAACCUAAAAUUGCCCUAAAAAUCAAACGGGUCAGGUCGGGUUAGAAUUUAAUUAGUAAACCCAGAUCCGACCCAAAAAAUGAAUCGAGUCUAAUUUUAGAACCCGACCUGACCCUAUGGUCCUUUAAAUCGGGUUGGAACGGCUCUAAGCGAGUUGGGCCGAAUCGGGUAUGGAUGCACCGCUCCCCCUCCGUUACGAUAUGAGCGAUGUAACGGUUCGUAAAUAACAGCCAGACCAGCUUGUUGAUUUUUGGCCUCAGGUCCGGUUUUUUCCAUGCCAGUGCUGUCUCAAGCGCCAUCAUCUUGAUAUCAAGCAUGUAGACUUACUACCAAACCUAGGACAUUGAUUUUCUCCAGCGCCGCUAGUAAGAACUCAUGCUCAUGGUUCCAGUUCCAUUUUCGUUUGCCAGCAAUUAACUCCAGUGAUAGGCGCCUCCUUAAGAACUUCUCCAUUAAGCAAAACUUCUAUAGUUGCCUCAACUGGUCCAGCUCCACAUCAUCAAACUUGACAAACUUUGUAAAGUGAGCCCAUGGAUGCUUAAUGUCUGCCAAUGUGAGUGUUUGGGUCUCCCAAUGAUUCCAGGGUCCUCCCCAAAGUAUCGAUGCCCAAGAAUGGUUUGCAACCUCUCAAGACCUGGUGCAAGUGGUGAGGUGCCUUGUACUUGCAUGUCAUCUUUGCUCGAAGAAACCCUAUCAUUUACCAGGUCUUCUCCCCUAUACCUAUCUCAGUUGCUCGUUCUCCAUUCCCAUAAGGAGGUCAAUUUAAGGACUUGAAGUUUGGCCAGACUACCCAUCAUAGUUAGGGAGGUGGCCUGCCAACUCUCAAGCCGCUCCUAAUUGCUCUACAUCAUACUAGCGCACUCGGUCUUGUGGAGCCUCUGCCCGAUGAUAGGAAAGCCCAGGUAUCUCUAAGACCCCUCCUCUUGGAUCCCAAGGAACUCUUAGAUGGCAUGCUUUAUCUACGGCUUUAUCUUUGGGCUAAAGCAGAUAAUAGAUUUGAGCAAGUUUACUUUUUGGCACGAGGCAGAAUAGUAAUCCUCUAAUAUUCUUCUGAACGCUACCACGUUCCUUAUAGAGGCCUGGGCCAGUAGGAGACAAUCAUCUGUAAAGAAUAAAUGCAGGAUCCAAUAAGCCCCUGAGGCUAGUAAAUAUGCAUCUAAAGUUUUGUACUGACAUACUACUUGUAGGGCAUGAGAUAAAGCAUUAGCAUAAAUAAUAAAGAGGUAAAGGGACAGGGAGCAUCCUUGAUAGAGACCAACCGAGGAUCAUAAGAAGGGUGCCAGGUGCCAUUGAUCAAGAUGGAUAAUAAUGGGGCCCACACACAACUCAAAAUCUAACCAGUCUACAUAUCAUGAAGCCAAAACUCUCUAGAGAAUACUAAAAAAACUUUUAGCAUAACCAAUCAUAUGCUCGCUCCAUGUCGAGCUUGAUAGCCAUGAGAUUCAGCUGCAAGAGGAUAUAUGGAGGUCACACAUAAACUCCUAAACAAUAAGAAUAUUGUCUGUAAUUCUACGACCUCCCACAAAGGCUCUUUGAUCCGGACUAAUUAAUGAGCUUGGGGAGAAGUAGCUUCAUCAUACUCACCAUGAUUUUGGCAACAACCUUGUACAGGAUAGUGCAAAAGUUGAUCGACCGGUAGUGACUGGGCUCUGAGGCGUCCCAUCUCUUCAAAUUUGUUGGUGAUUGGACUUUUCCAAACCAAUAAGACAUCCUGUUGCUUCAAAUUUGUUGGUGAUUGGACUUUUCCAGACCAAUCAUUCACUUUUCAAAUUUUUGUCAUGCUUAAUGUUGUCCAUAUUACUGUUGUCAUGAUUAGGUUAUGGAUUACCAAUUCGAUGAUGAGUAAAUUAUGGUUGGACUGAACCUCUUCUAUUUUAGAAUCUUGACCACCUUGAUUGGUCUAGAUCCUAAUCACGCUCAAAGAGAAAAGAAGAAGAGAGGAAGAUGAGGGAAGAAAAGAGAUAUCUGAGCACUAGUCCUAAGACCCCUUAUUUUUCAAUUGAUAUGAGACUUAACACAUAUCCAUACAGAUCCUCACAUACUUCUCCAUUUUUAACUUAACAUCAUCUCGAGGUUGUGUCCACAUUCAGUCAAAUCUAGUCAUAAACACUACAGAUGGCCCAUGUUCAUUCCCAAAAUGAUCUGUACCAUAGUAUCCUCUAUAAACAUUUGGGUAAUGUGUCAAGUUUGCUCUUCAUCUAAAAGAGCUAUCCAUAGAAUGUUAUUUAGAUUUUUUGAUCCUGUAAAGUAUCUAAGAUUUUUCAAAUACACAACAAGCACGGCACUAAACAUACAUCUGCAUGGAUCGUUAUAUGUCCCCGUUGAAAAGCUAGCAGUGACUGAUGAUUUUGUCAGACCUGGUAGCAAUGGAACCUCAGAUCUAGUGGUAAAAGGAGUUCCCCUUCAUGGAUGCAAUGAUAUUGAAACGAUGCUCCACCAUAGUACUUGCACUUAUAGUGUCCCCUCCAAUGGAUUUAGGGAUGAUGCUAGAAAGGGACCGCCUCAAAAUUGAUGAGGAUCCUCCACCACCAUGAAUUCGGCAAUGACAAGCCCAUCUUUCAUAGAUCAGGUGAUAGUGUCCUUCUUCCUCUUCCCUUCUCAUAAGAUUUGAGUGUUUCUACCUCUCCCAUUCUAGGUGUUAAGAAUCAAUGUAACCUUUAUGCUCUCAUGCUCUCUAGAUUUGUUCCAGUAUCAAUGUAACUUUUGUUAUAACAUGGCAUCCCCUUCACACUCACAUUACCAUCAAUUAAAUCAACACUUGACAAUGAUAAAAUACAUUGUAACAAUGCCCAUUUGAACUGAUAGAAGUUCUUGAGAAGGAUCAAGCCACUAAUCCUCUUUCCAAGAACAUAUUCGCAGCAAUGGCGACAAUUACUAGUACAAGUUAAAUCUAAAGAAGGCUGGCGGUAUCCUGAUUGGCGGUCGAAGAAGGGUUGCUAUAGCAGUUCCGGAUGUUGAGCAAGUUAUACACAUGGCCAGGCGCCUUUGAUAAAGCUUUCAAUGUCCUUCCCCUGUCCUUCUUUAAUGGUUUUAUCUCCGAGUACUGUUUUAUUAGAUGAAAACAUAAUACCUAAUUAACUUCUUUUUUUUCGCAAAUUGAUGUCUGAUGUAAGGAACUGCCACAAAAAGAUACCUCGUUUGAAUUUGCAGAGCCGGUGCUAUCCUCCCUCUCAUGAGCCACUUUCUCCUUCUCCUUCGUUUCAGGAAGUUUACCUGGAUUUAUCAAAAACUUGUUAAAUAAUAGUGCCCUAAGACCAUUAUUGCCGAGAUUCUGCACUACUAGAGGAAGUGUUGGCGAAAGUCCGGCAAAAUUAUCUCAUUAGAAGGUUUGCACUUAUAAAUUUCUCCAUAUUUAAAUUUUUUAUAUAUUUUACACUGCAGAGUACUAUGUAGUCUUGAAUAAUUGCCGCAUGACCCAUUCAAAAAUGGUUUGCCGUUAUUCUAUAUUGAAAAUUCGGAUAUAACCAUAUGUUUGGUGCUAAAUACGGUGUAUGAGCGAUAUUCAUCUUUCUUCAAAAUGGUUUGCUUAUAGCUAAUUAUUUUAAAAGUGUCCUAUGAGUCCGAAAAAAAAGAGUUGUGCUUCGAAAUAUAUUGUUUUUCGAUUUUUUUUAGGUGUGCCUGCACUACUAUUAUAUGAAUUAUUUGCUUUAGUGAAAAGAAAAAUAAUCUAGAUUGCACAAUUAAAAGUUCGCUACUACUAAAAUAUAUUCAACGUACCUUUCCUUCUAGCGCCGCCAAAUUUUACCGAGGUGUCCUCCUCCGAAUCGCGCGCCAAAUCCGUGCAAUAAAACCUAAAACUCGGCGAUCCCGGCUGGUCCGCGUACGCCGUCGAAGACCCCAACUUCCUUCCCUUCUCGUCCUCGUCCUCGUCCUCCUCCGCCCCCUAAACGCUAACUCUCUCUCCUCCUCCUCCUCGUCCGCCGCCGCCGCCUCCGUAGCUACCUUCUCCUCCUUGUUUAUCCUUUUCUCUUCCUUCAACUUCUCCUCUUCGGCGUUGGCGAUGAUCUCCGGCGAUCCGGCGCCCUCCUCCUCCUUCUCCGCCAUCGGCGCCGUGGCGCCGCGGGCGGAGUCGUCGUCGACAAUCCCCUCGCGUUCUUCCGGGCAGAGGAGCUCCGCCGUGGAGACGAUGCUCGACUUCCUCACCCGCCUUUGCCGCUUCACCUCCUCGAUCUUCAGCCAGAUCGGCUUCAUCCCCGGCCGCAGCUCCAUCUCGGGCUCCGGCUUCGACGCGCCGUGACCCAUAAGAAAAGGAAGCGAGAGAGACAACUAGAAGGUUUGUUCGAGGCUUCGAUGCAAGACGAUUUGAGAGGGUGGGUGGGGGAGGUUUUAAGGGGUUAGACUUUGGGUUUGGAGGCGGCGUGGGCGGCGGAGAGGGUUUUCCGGUGGCCGUUGCCAUUCUGGGAGGGGGUCCUCGGAUGGGGGUGCGAGAUCGGGGCGAUCCUGACCGUCCAUUGCUGGAGCAGGUGAUAAGGACGGACAAAACCGCGAAGCGUCACACCGAACGCGCGUUGUAACUGUCUUAAUUAGUAAUAACGAUUUCCGUUGAGGUCAAGCCUGACAGACGGGACCCGCUGUGGGCCAGGGUGGAUACUAUUUUAUUUGAAACCCCUGUGAGGGGCCGUGGCUAAGCUUGGGGGUAUUUGGAUUGUGAUCUGGCCUUGAGCUUGCAUUUGGACCGGGCCAUGGGUAUAUAUCUUUGGAUGCCAUGCAUGCUAAUAAUACAUUUGAUAGUGGAUAUGAUCAUGGGUUUGAGGUUGAGAGUUUCAACCAUUAAAUAUAUUUUUGAUGGGAAGAGAAGCAAGCCGCCCAUAGUUUAUUAAAAUGUAGAAGUCAUUUACACCAUAUAUUUAUAAGAAAAGUAUGAAGAUCCGUGCAGACGCGUGUUUAUUCCCACAUCGAUUAUUUUCUGGGUAAAUUUUAGGUACUUAUGUAGGAUUAAGGAACCUAAAUAAUACCUUCUGGCUAGCUAUCUUGGAUUAAGUUCUGGAUUGUGACAAAUAGUAUUAGAGCGGACUCAGUCGAUAAUCUAUGUGGACUAGGAAACACUACAGCACGGAUCUAUCGAGGCCACAUGAUGAAGGAAUGAAAGGAAUGCAGCAUUGCGGCAUCCAUUAAGUUUGAACUCAUAAAAUAACCAUGUAUGGAAAUAGUCAUAGAGGUGGGGUUGUUCAAUGAGCAGAGUUUUUCUCUUGAUUAUUACCAUUUUAAUGGUAGAGACUUUGUUAUGACUAGCAAUCUUAUCCAUUCUAAGUCUUUCUUUUAAAGACUUAGAAUUGCAUGGCUAGUGUUGGUUAGAGAUUCCAAGUCUUUCCUUCUCUUCUUUUUGGUUAAUUUUCAUGGCCUAGUUUGCUACAAAUUGUGGAGUGAUUGAUUAUAACCCUAUUUGAUUUUGAUGAGCUCAAAGCAUUUGAGUAUAUCUUAUGUUAUACUAAUGAAUUCAAUCUGGUGUUUCAGUCAAAUAUUUGUGAAUUUAUGUUUAAGUGUCUCUAGCUUUGGUUCAAUACACUUUGGAUAAGUAAGGAAUUCAAUUUGAACCAAAGUCUGAAUUUCGAGUCGACUCCGGAAGAUUACGAGUCAACUCCAAGCGUAUCAGAAGCACUGGCACAAGCUCGAGUCGACUCCUGCACAUUNNNNNNNNNNNNNNNNNNNNCAAGUCAGGGAGGGGGCAAAUAGUGUGGAGAAGGAAGAUAAACAGUGAUUUUUGGGUGCACGAAUGUUCCUCUCCCCUCUUGGGAGGCCAAGGCUCCCUUUUAUAUGCGGGGGUCGGUUUACCUGUGAUGUAACAGGGCGAGGCCGUAGUACGGCUUGGCAUGUUGUUCAGGUCGGCGCUCGGUCAGGCGAAUCAUUGCACCGAUGUCGGCGGUAUGGCCGAGAUCAGAGACUUGUCAUAGUCGACUAGACCCUGCCGGGUCGAUUUGCCGUGGAGAGCUGGGGAUCCGUAGAUGUCAGGAGCCAUGCGCAUUUAUUGUGGAGUAAGUCGGAGAUCCGCAUUUAUUAUGGAGUAAGCCGGAGAUCCGCAUUUAUUAUGGAGUAAGCCGGAGAUCCGCAUUAAUGGUAGAGUAAGCCGGAGAUCCGCAUUUAUUAUGGAGUAAGCCGGAGAUCCGCAUUUAUUAUGGAGUAAGCCGGAGAUCCGCAUUAAUGGUGGAGUAAACCGGAGAUCACAGCGGCCAUGCGCAAUAAAUGCCGGAGGGGUGUUAGAGUACGGUCCUCAGACAUCGGGGUUUCUCUUAGGUCGGAGGUUUCGGGGUCGGUCGUCUUGCGGCCGAGCGUUCCGAGGUCGGACGCUGACUUCGGCUGUCCGGGGUCGGAGGUUGUACGGCUUCUUAGGGGCAUUUAUGUCAUUUGGGGGGAAACUUUAUUCCCCCCAACACUACCCCCCGACUUCCGAGUUCGAGCAGCUUGUGGGGCUCGGACGUGGGAAGUAAAGUCUGUCUCUAAGGUUGGGGGGAAGGUCUCGCCCGCCCCCUCGUGCUUUCCGGAGCUUUCAUGGUGAGAUAUGCGCCCUUUGGCGUCUCGAGGCUGCCUUAUUCGGUGAGCUAAUGAUGGAGCUCGUAUCAUCAUGCUUCUUGGAUUNNNNNNNNNNNNNNNNNNNNNNNNNNNNNNNNNNNNNNNNNNNNNNNNNNNNNNNNNNNNNNNNNNNNNNNNNNNNNNNNNNNNNNNNNNNNNNNNNNNNNNNNNNNNNNNNNNNNNNNNNNNNNNNNNNNNNNNNNNNNNNNNNNNNNNNNNNNNNNNNNNNNNNNNNNNNNNNNNNNNNNNNNNNNNNNNNNNNNNNNNNNNNNNNNNNNNNNNNNNNNNNNNNNNNNNNNNNNNNNNNNNNNNNNNNNNNNNNNNNNNNNNNNNNNNNNNNNNNNNNNNNNNNNNNNNNNNNNNNNNNNNNNNNNNNNNNNNNNNNNNNNNNNNNNNNNNNNNNNNNNNNNNNNNNNNNNNNNNNNNNNNNNNNNNNNNNNNNNNNNNNNNNNNNNNNNNNNNNNNNNNNNNNNNNNNGAAGAAGCUUAGUUUGUAACCUUUCCCAAAUCACUUUCUUACUUGAUUCAAUCAGGGGAUUGAAUCAAGGAUUGUAAGGUUUGUUGGUGAGCCAAGGGUAAAACCAACGGUGUAAAGGUUUGAUUGUGAUCCCGGAAAAACAAUCGGGUGGUUCUAGUCGGUGAGUCUGUGAAAACCGACCGAGUUCGUUGUGAUCUCGUAAAACAACAAGUUGGGUUGUGAGCUUAUAAAACAACCGGCUGUAAUCCAAGGGAUUAUAGUGAACUCCCAAGUGAAGCUUGGGGAGUGGACGUAGGGGCAAGGGUUAGCUCCGAACCACUAUAAAAUUGCUUGUGUUUGUGUUGGCUGGUUUCUUGUCUCUUGUACUCUCUCUACUCAUUCACAGCAAUUACUCACAUAACCUGAACACUAGAAAUAGAAGCAGUCAACUAUUAAAUAAAGUUUUUUAAUUGGACGAGAUUUAAAUCAUAACCCAAUUCACCUCCCCUCUUGGGUUGUCUACUUGGGCAACACAAAUGUUGGUGUUUUAUUUGUUGGACUACUUUGCCUCAGAAUUAUAUGGCACAAGUUUGGUUUCUGAAGGCAAAGUUAUUUUUGAGGUUCUUCAAUGAUCAAUCACUAUAGGAGCAACAAAAACAGGGUCCCUUCCCCUUGCUCAUAUGUAUGGGAAAUUUGAUAGGUUGCAUGGCUAUUCCAAAAGGUUUAGGUACUAAUUCUCUUGGUUGGGCUAGGGAUUGGGAGAGUAAAGAGAGGGCUUAGGCUAAUGGGAUGCGUAGAUUGAUCAAUGACUUCAUCAUAGCUUUACCUCCCAUCUCAGUGCAUAUGAUGUGAAAAAUGUUGAAGAAUCAACUCUCAUGAUGUCCUCUUAGUCACGUUAUUUCAUAAAAUUCCAUUAAAGUCGCCUCCACCGAAUAAUACAUUGCUUAAUCCUACUCAAUUAUUAACAAUCACAGGGUAUUAAGCCCUAAAUUUUAUUGCUGAGUGAGGCGAUCUUGGAGACUAAAUGAAACCACUGACAAAAAACAUCAUAAAUUUGUGCUUUGUAGUUUUGGAAGUGGUAGAUAAGACCGGAAAAUCUUUUCAAACUUCAUGCUGUAGAAAAUCUCUCAACUAGUGAGUAUUUAAACCGAACAAAUGAUCUGAGGCUGUUUUGAUCUCUUAAAAUUAUAAAUUAAGGUGUUGCCUUUAUGAUGGGCAUGUAUAAGAAUGUGAAGAUUCUUGCUGACUAUAUAAUACCCUUGGCCAAACUUAGUUCUCAUCAGAGUCCCUCCUUUUUACAUUGACUUUGCUAUUAAAUAUUAUUACUUAUAUGUAAAAAGGCUGUCUAUGUUUCUCAAUGUAAAUUUCUUAGGUUACAACAUGAUACCAUGUACAUCCCACUUUAUUUUUUGCUAAUGAAAAGAAGUUAGAUUUUGCUGGCUCAUAGAUACCCAACCUAGUCUCUAGUCAUACAUUGGAUUUCCCAUAUUCAUACUUAAAUAAAUUACAUAACCAGAAGAACACAAAUAAAUAUAUUAUCUUGAAGUUGAUGGUUAACAACCAGAAUUGAUCUUCAAUCAUCAAUAUAAUUAAUCUAUUUAUGACUCAUAUUUGUGAAUUCUAGUACAUGUAUGUGCAACAUUGACUUUGUCCUAUGGCAUCUGAUAUUGCAGUUAUAAAGGACAAAGCAAAAUAAGUGACAAAGAGAUAUGAUUGCUUCAAUGCUAAUUAAUUGGUGUUAUCUGAAAAGGUGAUGAUGUUAAAAUUUCAAAGAGUUGAGUUUCAGAAGUAUACAGUCUUCCAUUUUGAUCUAAAGUGCACAAGUCAGAGGAGUUUACAUUAAUACUUGACCAUAAGGAAAACAAACCAAGUAAAUUAGAGCGUGCUUAACUACUUGUGAUGACUGGUGGUACUUUUUAUAACAAGGGAUACUUUUACCAUGCACAAUAGUACUUUUUGCAGGGAAAGUCGUAACCUUAACUCAAACAACAACUUGUAACUCUGUUCUCUGGAAUUUGAAGUGUCCAGAUCAUCAAAACAAGUUCCUUGAGAACACUUACAGAGGUUGGAAAAUGGAUAAAUUGGUAUACUUACCAGAAUGAAUAUUGAGUUCAGAGACAUUUGAUCAAAAUAAAAGAGUGGAAGAAUUAUUUAUUGAAAUAAUGAGGAUAAAUUUCCUUGAGUAGGAAGGGAAACAUCUACAUGCAUCUAUGAAUUGACAGCUAUUGGCCCCAGUAUUUGCAUCCUCCUCUCAAAAUUCCAUUCCAUGAAGGUUUUGUCUUGAGCUUUUGGAGGUGUUCUCUCAAGUAUGUGGCUUGCAUUGUCAUGCCCCGACCCCAAUGGCCCGAAGCGAGUACAUGACAGACGACUACACAUCCCUAGGGUUAACCCCAUAGGACUUGCAAGGUCUGCUUUUUGAUUCAUGCACAUGUCAUUCCGAAUUUAGGCACUGAUUGAGAUGAAUAAACUAAUGUAUUUAUUCAAAAAAAUAAUCCACAAUUACUAAUAAUAAAAAAUAUAUCAAAUUAUUCCAAGAAUACUAGUCAGAUAUUUUCUAAAUCUUAGGCCCCUCACUGACUCGAUCCCAACCUCAUCUAACUCAACUGCACCUAUAAAAAAAAUGGAAGGGAGAAUGAGCUUCAUAGCCCAAUAAGUUACCAAAACCUCUAAUUAGAUCAAGUAUUUUAUGCAAAAAAUAUAAAUUUUUAAUUUGCAUGAUUUUUCAUAAAAACAUGCCAAUGAACAUAUCAAGUCUAUCAAUAUAGAUUUGAAGAUAAUAUAUUGGCUAAAAUUAAUUUUCAAAUCAACUAUGGACAGACCACCCUCUCUCAUCUCCUAGUCUUUAUGGCUGUCCCAGUAACUUCAAUCUGAGAAUAACAAACUAAUUUUUAGCAUUGCUACUUUCAUUCAGCUAAUGAAACUAUGAAUGUGGAUUAUGUUUGCCCAAAUCUUUCUCAGAAAAAAAAACAAACAUAUUUUUUGAGUUAUGUUCUUAAUUCACCUUUUCUUACCUUUUCAUUAUAUGAAGUAAUUCAAAUUAUAAUGCAACAAAGGUCAAAAAUGAAGUUAUUUGUCAACAUUUACUGGCCGGUAAGAAAUCUUUCUUCAUAAAUUUUUCUUUUUCUGUUUUCUUUUUUGUUUCCUACUAACUAUGAUAAUGUAGAUUUGGUGAACGGAGAGCUAUUGGUGAUAUUCCUUCCAUGCUCCCAAGUAUCUAAUUAUAUACGUUUUUUUUUUUUGAGAAUAGCUGAUUAUAUGCAGGUUGAAGACUAAUCAACAACAAAAUGACCCAUGAAAUUAUUUAUCAAAGUGAAACCUAUAACUACUCAUGGGUCCCUCUUCUUGGUUCACUAUCUUCAAAUUACUAUAGAGCAUAGCUUUCAAUAAUUGAAUUGAGCAGUCUAAAGCCUGUUAGGCUUUGGAUUCUUUCCAAAGCAAUCCCAUUCAAUGGUUCCAAUAGGAGCAUUCCACAAUCCCAUUCCUUGAUUGUUGGAUUCCAUGGAAAAGCCUUCCCCUACUUAUGAAGCUGCAUGAGCUACUCACAAGCAGUGUUCCCACACUUCUCUAGAAGCCCACAGCAAGGUAAGCUAUCUUGAUAUGGGACUCUGUUUUGGUGCCACUUUGUUAUUGUAUAGGUACAUCCAGUAAGAGGCCAGUUCAGAUAUUGGUGGUAUGCCUUAAUACCGUGUACCAGUUUGGUACUGAUAAAGUAUGGCAUCACUACAAGAAUAAUAGGUUUACCGAUGUUUUUUUAUAGCCUUUACCGAUGCUAAUUAAAGUUGGUAUAACUCCCGUCGAUGCCAAAUGAAGCAUCGCAAAAGUAUCGGUGAUAAUUGAGUGGGGAAAAUUUUUGCCGACGCUAGGGAAAAGCGUCGGCAAAACCAAGGAUUUUCCGACGCUUUUUAAAGCGUCGGCGUACUAGCUUGUUCCGACGCUUAUAAGCAUCGGCAUAAACUAAUUCUUGGGCGAGCCGGCUGUAGUGAUGGGGGUUUUUACCGACGCUUUUAAAGCGUCGACGAAAGCGUGCUAGUUUGGUCUUUUACCGACGCUUGAAAGCAUCGGCGAAAACGUGCCAUCCCGUGCCAAACCUCUUUUUAACGAUGCUUUAAAGCAUCGGGAGUGGAUUUUUUUAAAAAAAAUUAGAAAAAUAAAUGCAUAUCAUAAAUCAUUUUAUAGCAAUAUAAACAUGCAUUACAUUUACAUCAAUACAAACAUUCAGAUCAUUCGAAACAUUCAUUCAAAAUAUUCAUAUUGUCAUAUAUGAUUAAAUUUACAUAAUAAGUUUAGAAUUACAAUGUACUUUGAAAAAUAUGAGAAAGAUACAUAUAAAACUCCUUAAAUAACAGUCUAAAAAGUAUCAGAUCAGAUUCAGCACCAUCAUCAUCUCUACGAGCUGUUGAAGUAUCAGGAAUCUAUAAAUAAAAAAAGACAAACUUUAGAAGUUAGGAAUAUGAAAAUCAUUAACUCAUGCAAAAUAAGUAAUAAUUAUGUAAAAUCAUUAAAUAUAUAUAGUUAUUUUUCUGAGGAGGGAGAAAUCACUGUAACAUAGAUAAAAUAUGCUCAAGCUAAGACUGCAAAGUUUGUUGGUUCUGCUUCAGCUCCGCCAACUCUAUCUGAUGGCGAUCCUUCAUAUCUUCAAUUGUUGCCCGAAGUCUACUAACUUCUGCAUUGCUACUACCUUCUCCAGCAUAUGUCUCGUAUUAUUCGGUUCAGUACAAUAUGACAUAUGUUAGCUUGUAGUGUUGACCAACCGAACUUCUUUGUGAUCAAACCAACUUCCACUCCGUUUCUUUCAAAACUAGAUUAUUGAUGCAUAUGAUGCGUGGCUUUCUUGCUCUCCUCAAAUUUCAUCACCAGGUGGUGGUUGGGAGGAGUGUCUUCAGGCUCCCAACAAAUGCGGCAGCCUGCGAUGACGGCAAGCUGACACCAUCAGUGACGAAGAAAACCAAGUCAGUCAUCCAUAAGACAUGGACUUCUGGGUGGUGGGACACUGCAAGAGAAACCUUUUCUAUGGAAAAGUAAGCAAAGGUGGUGCCGUGAGUGGCCUCCCAAACCUUUAGUUGGACGACCGAUCCCAAAUCCCACACUCACAAGGCACCCUGGUCGGCGGUUGUUUUAGCAGCAUCUCAUGGCAAGCACGUAAGGUCUUGGUCUUAUAUUUUAGCCGUCACAAUUUCAGCUCUCGAGAAGUAAGAGUUAUAUAGCUAUAAUGGUGCCAAAUCCACCUACUUCAAAGACAUGUUUAGGGCGUCCACGAUUGCCUUUGUCUCCUAGAAGCCCCUACCCUUUAACUCUUUUAAGGUAAACUUUGACGACAAUGUUUUUAAAGGUAGAGGCAGCGGAGGGGAUCGGCGUAUAUUCGACGUGACUGUCAUCGGAGCAGAGUUGAGAGCCAUAUGAAAGGGCAUCACCUAUGCGAAGCUAGUUCUAAGUGCGGACAACAUUUACCUUGAAGGGGAUUCGGUUAUGAUGAUCGGGUAGAUUCAUGGCCAGCACAACAUUGAUGACGGAGAACUGCUGCUUCGAGACAUACGUAGGCUCUCGAGAGGGUGUGGCUCCUUCCGGGCAACUCAUGUUUAUCGGGAGGCUAUGUUACACAUCAUUCGGGAAGAAACUUUUGGCAGAACCAUGAGUCUGUUCCUCCCUCUCUUCAUCAACUUCUCUUUUUCGAUCAUAUUGGCUGUACUUGUGCACGAUCAGUGUGAGUCGCCGUUGUAUCAAAAAAAAAAAAAUGUUAGUGCAGUUUAAACUAGUUGGUAUUGUAUAUAAUUAUAUUUGCCAUGGCUAUCAUCUUUAAGAGACCUUAGGGAAAAAAAUGAAAAAGAAAAGAAAAAAAAAAAUCUUGUCGAAGAUAAAAGCUGCAAAUCCUAAACUAGUUCAAUUGUUAUUGAGAGAAUCCAACAUUUAAGAUCUCCUUUAUUUGCAUGCAGAGUAUGUUAGCACAUCUAUAUUUGGAAGUUGAAACAAUAUCCACUUUAUGAUUUGUUUGUUUUGUUUGAGUUUCAAGGUUUUAAUUCAUUAUUCAUAUUUCUCGCACGAUCUAGUCUAAGAUUUGAUAAUUCAAUUGCUACAAUUUGCUUAUAUUAUGUCCUGAAUAUUUAAAAGAAAUAAUGUGUCAGUUAAAAAGAAGACAGAUGUAAAAGCUUGAAAAGAUUAAUGUGGAAAAGCAGAAGAGUAUAGCUAAUUAUUCUGUUUUGCACUAUCUCACAGCUUUGCCUUCCAGUGGGUAAGUUGGUGAGCAAGAUAAUGCCCAUUACAUCAAUGACAUAAUUAUUUUGAUGUUUUUUAAAGUUCAUGUGCCUUUACCUUAUAGGAAACAUUUGUUGUUUUUUUUGUUGGUGAUUAGUUUAAUUCAUCAACAUCCCAUAUGCUUCUAUCUUCCACAGUUCUGAAAACUGGUGAUUUGUUUCAGGCAGCCCCACAUAUUGUAGAAAUUUGUUGGAAGGAUCAUGAUGUAGCUCAAUCCUCUACAUUGCAAUUUGCAACCUUCCAACUUGUUUGAAGUAUCUGUUGCAACUACUCCAAAAGAAAUCCUACUAAUUGUGAAUCUGGUAGCAGGUGCCCUCUAUCAUUGAAAUCCCUUAUCGUUUGUCGUUGAAAUCAUACCCCUGCUUGUUCUUAUGCUAUUGAUUGCAAUGAAGUAGAAAGAUUCUAUAAGUUAGUACAUUAUAGACUGAAAAAUUCAGAAGACAAUUGAUGCCAGUACAAAACCUGAAACAGUAGAUGGAAGGUUGUCGCUUGGCUAACAAAUAAUUAUUACAAAACUGGCUUAAACUAUGAAGCAAUUCUGUAUUUGAUUUUUCUGGCUGUUACCUAUUCGAAUUCGGUUAAUGACAAGGAAGGCUGCUGUCUAUCAGCAGUCCCAGAUAACUAGAAUAUCUGUUGUUGAUUGUGAUAUAAUUAUCUUACCAAGAUCUGAGUCAUAAUUGAAGUAACUGAGUUACAAAAAUUCUCUAAUUUAUCUAUUUAACCUUUCAACCAUAACUCCUAGAAGACCAACUGUAAGCUAUUGGGGAAACUUUACUGCACAGACAAUAAUUUGAAGGUUAAUGCUUACUGAAAUGAACAAAUCAGUAAGAAACUUCUAUCGCUUUCCAAGGUUGCUAUAACAUGUCCAAUUUCUUGGUUUAUUUCAUUAUUUGAGGAAGGCCUCCUUGGAAGCUUGCCUUUGUUAAGAUCAGAGACCUUGAUGGAUAGAGAUGUAUCCAACUAUGUGACUUUAUUGUGGUCACCAAGAAGGCACAUUGGAAGAUGCAAUGUAUAAGGCUUUACUCUAGUUCACCUGGAACCCCACCCACAGCUUGAUCUUUUGAAUCUUAUUUAGUUUUUUUUCUAUAUUACUUACAAAUCAUCAGAGAAAUGGAAAAAAAAUGUUUGAAUUGAAGAGUGAACUAUAAGAAGUCCAAAAAAGAAUCUUCCUACAUCUUAUUUGUUGGAAGAUAUGAUCUUGUAUAGGAAGUAAUGAUGAAAUAGCAGUAAUACCUUCAGCUAAGGUAUGCUGAAGGUCCUCCAAUGAUCGUCUAUGUGCUCGAAUCAAACAACUAAGAUGAUCAUCUAUGUGCUCGAAUCAAACAAAUCAGGCGUUCCCGAUACAGUUUGCUCUCAGUAUUUUCUGCACAAGUGGUCCUAAAACAAUUUGUUUAGCUCAAGACAUUAGGAUAACAAAUGAAGGUGAUUUCCUGAAAGGUGCACAUAGUUAUGUUUCUUAUAACCUUUCAGAACAUCUUAGUCAUGGUUAAAUUUGUGAUAACAUACUUCAUAGUUACUCAAUAAAGAGCAUGCAUCCAUAUCACAACAAUAUGCAAGCAUCAGGUGAAGAAAAAGCUUAUGAACAUGGAGGCAACAUUUUCAGAUGAUUUGUGAUUACUCUUUUAUCUUUCUGUUUUUUUUUGCAAAAAAAAAAGAAAAGAAAAGUAGAAGUGCUUUUGCUCAUGUUAGUGACAUGAAUUCCUUUUUGUGGUAUAAACAAGGGUAUCUAAUGUUAUCUAGAUAGUUACUUUUUUUGGCUAUAGUGGGGGACCUUAGGGAGCAACAAAUAAGUGUCUAUGUGGUGGCCAAUGUACUCAGUCAGAGUAGCAACCCAAAAAUAAUCAAAUCUAAUGCUGCAAGUCUUUGUUUUGGUGUGGUCUUUACCUCUCCCAUAUCAAAGCAAAAUCUAGUGUUGAUGUCUUAGGCCAAGAUGGGUACUUAUCAAGGGACCCAGAUGCCAAGGACAAGCUUUUCUUCACCAAGUUCUUAUUCCUCAGAGGCAUCUCUUUCUCGAACCACAUGGAUAGAUGCCUUAUCUUUCCCUGAUCUCUCUCUCUCUCUCUUUUCUUUUUACUGCAUAGGAUCCUCUUUUCUGCUUGCAAAACCACCUGACCUUAAAGUUUUAUCUUUUACUUUCUCCACUCCUUUAUGCAUUAUGUGAUUUAGGCGUCCAAAGACUUUCUCUGAACUUGCGAAAAGAGAGAUACGAAGCUGGUCUCAACUAUGAUCAAAGUGCUAAUAAGAACUUCUUCUGCUCUGAGUUCACUUAAUUCUGAACUGUUCGGAAGAAUUUGCUUUUGAAAAAAGAAGAAACACCGUUCAGAAGAAAGCGAUUACAAGAGUUUCAGAGGCUACAAGUGCUAGAGCUCAGCUCCAAGGUUAUUCGAGUUGGUAUUUUUUUUUUCUUGAAAUGAAAGUUCUGAUACAUUGCAGAAAACCAUUCUACACCUCUUUUCCAUUUGAAGAUGAAGCCAUGCUACGGCUGCUACCUUCCUCUCCAUCCUCUGAAAGAUCUGUCACACAGCUCAAAGAUAAAGAAGCACCAGGAUCUACGUGCUCAAUGUUGUUUCGAAUUCGCCUGUAGUUGCAGUAUGGUGCGAUCUCUGCAUCAAUCCUAGUUGCUCUUCUCUUCUGAAAAAUCCGGCACACCACCCAUUCUUUGGUGUGAGCCAUGGAUCUCUGCAAGGCCAAAGGCAUUGUAGUAUAAGAAAGCUGUCAAAGAAUUACUGGACACAUCCAAAAUAAUUGCUUCCAAAACAAUUGUUCUAUUUUCUUUCUUACCUUAGAAGAAGAAGAUGAUGAUGAUGAUGAGAUUGGAGAGCUCACAUGAGCUGAGAAUUUUCUUAGGGGAAAGCUGAAGGCACUGGUUUCAGGAGCAGCGAGGCGGUACUCAUGCAUGAUCCAAUCAGUUGGAGAUGCAUGCGGGGGCUUUCCCCUGUAGAAGACUAAAACCUUCUUCAACCCCACAAGCUGGUUGCACCGGGAGGCUACGAUCGAUUUAUCCUUUCCUGUGGCCUUCCAGUAGCCAGAGAGCGUUGCUCUUUUGAAUCUUUUACCACUCAAAUACUUUGCUUCUCGAAGGUUGAAGAAAUAUUGCUCUUCCUCGCUUCCACCUGAAUUGCCAUUGAUAUCCAUUUAAAGAGCAUCAUGAGCACAUCCAGAGCCAAAACAAAUCGAAGCAAAGAUGCUAAAUUGAUUUGAGUAAUGAUGAUGAUGAUGAUGAUGAUGAUGAUGCGCUUGAUGUGUUCCAGUUCUAAGUCCUCAAACUUGUCAUCUUAGCUAAAUAUUUCACUGAAAUACUGAAAAAAAACUCGACAAGAGUCCUUAAGAACUACACCACAGUAUUAAAGCUCCGACACAAAAUCUAUCUCUAAAUUACAUAUUUUGUUAGCCUCAACAUAAAAAGCAUCUGCUACAAGAUAUUGCCAAUUUUGAUCACAAAAUGGAACUCCUGGAUUAUGGAAGAGUGAUGGGUACUUCACGUGUUUAUAGAAUUCCAAAUUAAACUGAGCAACUGCUAAAAUUAUGAAGAGUUGCUACUGACCAGGUAAAUCCCAGGGAUCGAACUUGCCGAGAUCAAUCUCAGGAAUGACAGCAGCAGGCAAUGGGCAAGAAAAGACCUUCCUAGUGAGGUAGUGGACCACAAGCUCCUCAUCAGUUGGGUGGAAUCUAAAACCGGGGGGCAGUCUCUGAACUCCAUAUUUGAUGAUGAAGUCCGGCUUCUCCAUGCCCCCGAAACCCCCCACUUCCACCUCCAAGGUCACUUAGCUACUUUCGAUGCUAAGUUAUGGGAAGCCAUGUUCCAUUUCCUAUAAAUAUUUCACAACAAAAAUGGCGAGGACAAGAGCAUCAGAGAGAGAAAGAGAGAGUGGCAAGGUGUGGGUUUCAUGAAGUGAAAAGCGACGGUUCUUUAUAGCAAAGGCUGUGAGCAGAAGAGGACGAAUCCUGUGGCGUGAGACAGACGCUACCGCCUUUUGCUUUGACGAGUUUUUAACCAGGGGGCGGUGAUGGUGUUCAAAAUAAGGGUCCUGUUUCCUCGCUUCAGACGCCGUCGCAGCCUCUUUUAGUUUUUGGUUAGUUUUUCUUUUAAAUAUUAGAAUGGCUGCCUUACAAAGUUCAUGCGUCCAUUUGGAUUAGACAUUAGAAUAUCUGAAAAAAAUUUCAGUAAAACAGAAAAUCUUUUUUUUUUUUUCUUAAUGCGGAUGAAUCAUACCCGGCGGGUACGGAUACACCCAAUAAAGUCAAAAAAUAGGAUACCUCAGAGUGCCAAAGGCAGCUCCCCAUCUCCAGACCACAAAGUGCCUCCGAAAUGACUAGCUACAUACGCAGCCACCCAAUCUGCCGCACCAUUGGCUUCACGGUAAAUAUGCUUGGCCUGAACGGCCCCUCCAUCUCUCACCAUAGCCCAAAUGUCUCGGAGCAAGGGAUGGUCGCUACCGCCACCCCGAGGUCCCCCCNNNNNNNNNNNNNNNNNNNNNNNNNNNNNNNNNNNNNNNNNNNNNNNNNNNNNNNNNNNNNNNNNNNNNNNNNNNNNNNNNNNNNNNNNNNNNNNNNNNNNNNNNNNNNNNNNNNNNNNNNNNNNNNNNNNNNNNNNNNNNNNNNNNNNNNNNNNNNNNNNNNNNNNNNNNNNNNNNNNNNNNNNNNNNNNNNNNNNNNNNNNNNNNNNNNNNNNNNNNNNNNNNNNNNNNNNNNNNNNNNNNNNNNNNNNNNNNNNNNNNNNNNNNNNNNNNNNNNNNNNNNNNNNNNNNNNNNNNNNNNNNNNNNNNNNNNNNNNNNNNNNNNNNNNNNNNNNNNNNNNNNNNNNNNNNNNNNNNNNNNNNNNNNNNNNNNNNNNNNNNNNNNNNNNNNNNNNNNNNNNNNNNNNNNNNNNNNNNNNNNNNNNNNNNNNNNNNNNNNNNNNNNNNNNNNNNNNNNNNNNNNNNNNNNNNNNNNNNNNNNNNNNNNNNNNNNNNNNNNNNNNNNNNNNNNNNNNNNNNNNNNNNNNNNNNNNNNNNNNNNNNNNNNNNNNNNNNNNNNNNNNNNNNNNNNNNNNNNNNNNNNNNNNNNNNNNNNNNNNNNNNNNNNNNNNNNNNNNNNNNNNNNNNNNNNNNNNNNNNNNNNNNNNNNNNNNNNNNNNNNNNNNNNNNNNNNNNNNNNNNNNNNNNNNNNNNNNNNNNNNNNNNNNNNNNNNNNNNNNNNNNNNNNNNNNNNNNNNNNUCUUUCGCAACAUCAGCUUUGCAUGGUCAGCCAUAUUGAAAAUAUAUCUGACAAUUAAAAGAAGUAAUGCUCGAUUUGAGUUUCCAAAUAUCCUGUAUCAAUGAAUGGAUUCAUGCUUCUACUGUAAUUCAAGAGAUAAUUGUUUAGAAAUUCUUUUCUAAAAUAAUAUAAUCUGUAUGUGCAUAAUUUUAGGAGUUACGUAGCAAUCUGCAUCGUCCACAAUAUUUUCUUUUAUUAGCAUAAUUCUGUAUGAACCUAUAUCAUUUUUCUUUAUUAGAAAGAUCUUGUUAGAGUAAUUUUAGAGAUAACAUAACAAUUUGUAUUAAUAUUUUUCAUUAUUAGUGUGAUUCUAUAUCAGUCUAUACUAUUUUUCUUAUAUGGAGCCUGUAUGUAAGUAUAUAUAACCUCUGAGAUGUACCGAAUAUGAUGGAUCAGAGAAAUAAAAUUAUUUUUCUCUUUCUCUUUUUCUCUUAUUUUUUUCUUCUUCUCUAAAUAUUUUAACAAACAGUUAUGACAUAUACCAACCCUCCUACAACCCUCAUUUCAGUCAAGAUAAUCAUCUUAUCAAAGAGAGUAGAACAACUUGCUGCAAUGCGUGUAGACCUGAAGUCCUGAAUAACGAAAUCUAUACUGCCAAAUUGACCCCUUUUUCACACUACCAUCAAAGUUGAUUUUGAAAAGAAAUAGAGGAUGGAGGUUCUUAAGUAAAAUAAUCUAUCGGGAUGCAGAAUCUACAUGUAUGAAAUCCCAGAUUUUACUAACAUUCGUCAGAAGCCUAAUGUAAAAUUCCCGAUGCAGUAAUGACACGGCUUUCCCUAGUAUUAUCAAUUCUUUUCAACAUUUGUCACAAAAUUGUACAUAACAAAUAAAAAACCCCUAUCUAUAUGGAUUCUGAAAUCAAGAAGUAUUUUAUAUAUUCAAUAAGUUGAGGGGUGAUCUGUAAAAAGAACAUAUAUAUAUAUGUCCAUUCAAAUUUAUGUGUGAUUGUAAACAUAGUAUCUGAACUAAAUUCAACUUAAUAGAGAUAGAUUUUCGAGAUCUCUUAAACAAAUCUACCAUCUACUCACUUUCAUGUGCUUCCAUCCAAGAUUGUCUCUAUCCUUCUUCUCAACACCGUCCGUUGCAUGCAUCUGUCUCCCACCAUGCAAGAAUAAUACAAAGAUAUUGAUGUUUCACCUAAGCAGGUGACGGUGCUAAGUUGUCGUGCCAUGUUUACACGUGUAUUGAAGAACCAAAAGAAUGAGAGGGAAACUGACAGGUGGCACGAGAAAGUAAUGGUGUUGCAUGUACUUAUAAAGAUGCAUGUAGUGACUGAACGAGAUGAAUGGAAGGAAUAGGGUUUGCAUUCUUGUUGUUGUUGACAAGGAAAUACACUCAAGUUAGUGUCUACUUUUUGAGAAUUAAAGUUAAUCCUUUACUUUUAAUGAUUAAACAUACAUAAAAAGUAUUAAUUCUUGAUAAUGCAUAGGUUAUGAGAAGAAAGAAAGGUAAAGGGAUAUCCUUAAUUUGUUGUUUAGUAAGCUAAAAGUUACCAAUUACCUUCUACUUAUUGGCCAAGGAUCUAUGGUUACUAAAGGGCAGGUUGUCUCGCAAUUGCUAAUAACUAAUAACCAAGGUUAUGGGGAUGAGGACCGAGAGUCCAUGAUAAUUUGGUUGAGUUGUUAGUAGGAUGAUGCCUUGAGUCUAACUCCUAAUCUUUUUAAAUCAAACAUGUCUCUUAUGAAUGAUCGCAAUCAGGAUGCGGCUUCUCGUGUGGUCUGGUUAAUUGCUUUUUACGUCCAUAUCUACCAUAUCAAUGAAAAAAAUGGCAUCUUUUGUAUGAGGCUCAUGCCAUUAUAGAAUUUGGAGACGGUUAGAUAUACAUAACCUCCCAUAACACCUAGGUUAUAAUAAAGUAACCUUACUAUUGCCUUAAAGCCUGCCCUUUAUCAUCUAAAUGAUUUACCUUUUAAAAGUCAUGCUUGUCGUGUUGUUAUUUAUAUGAUGUCGUUCUAUUAAUCACCAUCGAGCAUAUUAUUGCUGCUGUUGCUGCUCGCAUGCUUCUCCAAUAUAUCUAUUAUAUUUUUGAUUGUAUUCACGUACAACCUUGAAGUGGCGAUAUGGUGUUACCUUGCCUUUGCAUAUUGAUUAGCCUAUCAACAAACUAUAUCAGCCAAUUACAACCGAUAAAAUACUGUGCUUCAUGUUCCACUAAUCAUAUAUAUAUAUAUAUAUAUAUAUAAUCAAAAUAGUUUAUUAUUUUGUUGUCGCUAUAAUUACAAUGAAAUGUAACUUUAGCUAACAAAAAUUCUCCUCGCUUGCAGUCCAAUCCACCUUUUCUUUAAGGCUACUAACCAAAUUAGACAACAUUUUCAGAAUUCCUUAACAUUGAAGUUGAUUAUCUAUUAAUUAGAAAGUGUGCAUACGAACACACAUAACAGAAGAUGUUUAACUAAAUAAAUGACAUUGUAACCAAAUUUUUAUGUAACAUUUUCAGAACUUGCGGUAAAGGUCGAAAAGGAUACACAACAAAGGGGGCAACGAGGCAUCUGCAGAAAGUGUAAAAAGUUGUGCAAGGAAUGGCUGAAAAAAAAAAAAAAAGGUGGUGGAGGGAGCACUUAGUAAAAACUUCACAAUUGCUGGGGAGGAAGGCUAAAUAAGCCAGCCUCACGUAUGAGAAACAUGUUCACCUAAAUGCCCUCAUUUAAAUUCCAUAUUUACCAACUUGAUAGAGUGCUGCAGUUCAUCUGAUUCAAGGGCAUUUUAGUCAUAUUACCCAUAACGGCUAUGCUCCACGUAGUUCAGCGAGACGACGUCAUGCUUACAGCUGAGCCGCAUCAACCCGUCUCUUAAACUUUAACUGACGAAUAUACCCUCGUUCCAACAUUAGCCAUUGUCCAGUAUAAUGACCAUAUUGUCCCUGCAAGGGGUCCCUCACUGUGUACUGGAGAUUCGGUGAAAGGAAGGCCAUCAUUACCGACUUUUCCUUUUUAUUCCAUUAGAAGGUGCAAGGGGUUUAUCAAAUUGGAUAGGCGUAGAGAGGUAAUUAAGUCUACUAUUGCCAAUAUGUUAGAAACAAAGAAUACGAGUCAUUAGCAUUUUGUGCCUUAAACGAUAGAAAGACUGAUAAGUUAAUGGUGUGACUUGAGUUGGCCUUGACCAAACCUAUCCGUUCGACCGGCUCGUCCCAUAGAGUUUGUUUGAAGUUUUAUAAAUAUUUAUUAGGCUUGGACUCAAAAAUAGAGAUGGCAAUUUUUAACUGUUUAAUCAUUUUAACUUGUUUUAACGCAUUGUUGAUCGAGCUAAAAUACCUACUUAAUAAAAUCAUCAGAUUUGGAUUUGAAUUUUUGACCUAUUUCAUAAAUAGGUCAGAUUCGGAUUAACAUUUUUUUGAUCUAUUAUGUAUCUAACCUGAUCCAUAUCUUGUCUGACCCAAUCCAUUUUUCACCCUUACUCAAAAGUCUAAUCCAACAUCAAAUAGGGUUAGGUUAGUGCUAACUUUCAAUUCAUCCAAAACCCAAUCCCACCCAACUCAAACUCAAUUUAGCCUAAUCUAAUCUGAUAAAUAAAUAAAUAAAUUUUUAUGUUUACAUAAUUGUAUCUUUAAUCUUAGUAGAUUUUGUGUAAGUAUGUUAUUGAAAUUUAUGAAUAUUUAGACUCCAGUUCAACAAAUAUUAGUUCAAUAAAAAAUUCCAAACUUUCUUUCUAUCUUAAACUUUCUAUUGUUAACUCAAUUAGCAUAGCACAAUCCAACUCGACGCACUAAACCGAUCUGACCCAACUAGCCCAAAUCAAACCAAAUUUAACUGAUAAUGGGAUUGGAUUGGGUGGGGUUUGAGAAAUCCUAACGCAAAAUCAAAUUGUGUUGGGAUAGCGUUGCAAGUUUUGAGGUUUUGUUGGGUUAGGGUUUGCCUUGAACCAGACCUGACCCUCUCAAGUUGCAAAGCCUUAUAAAUCGUAAAGAAACCCUUUUUAUGAUUCCCUUCUGCACUUAAGUUUGGCAUUUCAAAAUGGUCAAUAUUCCUUAGCAUCUAUGAUGGGAACAAAUAAACAAAUAUAUAAAAUAAUUUAUUAGAUAGCCUCAAAGACCCUUCUCACAAACUGUGCAUGGGAUAGAACUGCAAAUUUUCACUUAUUUGAGCGAUGAGCAGAUUGCGAUGAUAGUCAAAACUUUAACAAAAGUGCAAUUGAAUCAAAUUUAGGAUUAGUUGAGUCUCGGUACAAUAAAGAUAUCUAAAUAGUUGACCUAUAUGAAAAUUUCUAUCUUAGGAUGCUUGAAUAUACUAAAGGAAGAUUUUUCAAAACAUAUGAUGACAAGCAAGGUACUUGAAGGCUCAAAUUUGAAAAUUUACUAACUCCACCAAAUUCAUAGUUUUAUUAGCACACUANNNNNNNNNNNNNNNNNNNNNNNNNNNNNNNNNNNNNNNNNNNNNNNNAAAGAUUGCAUAUCAUGUCUAAUAGUUAGGUUUUCAUAUGAGAUAGAAAAGCUUUCAUUCUAGAUAUAAUAGCCAGACUAAAAAGUAGAGAAAUAAAAGAGUUCAAUUGGCAGAAGUUAGAUAUAGAAUUUCACAAGCGUAAUGGAAAGAGGAGGGCAGUUCAGAUCCUAAGAAAGCCGUUGUGUUUGGUCUACUAACUCCAAAAUGCACCUGAUUUUUCCUGCUUUCUCUAGAUAAAUAAGAUAUUAUUGUACUUUCACUUUUUCUUUCUUUUCUAUUAUUUUCUUUCAAUCCGAAGAUAGAGGCAUGUGUUUGUUGGUUCUAGUAUUUAUUUCUUUAAUAUUUUUCUAGUCAAAGGGUUUGCGUGCAGGUGUCCGGGUGGGAUUUUAUGAAUAGGUGAUUAUUCUAUUUUGAGUAGAAUUUUGUUUUAAGUGUCUGUUUUGUUUGGCCUCGAAUCGUUUAUUUCUUUCACUAUUCCCAGUUGGAUUGAUUGGAGGAAGAAACGCAAAAGAUGAAGCUCCGUGCAUAUGUUGCGGAAUGUCUGUGAACACUGCAUGUAGUUUUUCUCGUCAUUGUCAUUAUCGUCGUUUUACUGAUCCAUAAAUAGUAAAAUCUAUAAAUAAUAUUAUAAUAAACUAUUUAGCUUAACCAAGCGCUAAGAAAAUAAAAGAUAUAAACGUUAAGCUUUGAGAUCUAUGAUUUGUACAAUAAUCUUCAUUUGCAAUGCUAUUAUAUAGAUACUUUCCAUUAUGUUUUUAGAAAUGAUGACGAUGCACCACUAGCUAUUUCCAAGAAAUGAUAUAAACUACUCAGUCAAAUGCCUAAGAAAAACCUCCUACAAUAGAUGAGAGAUGCGACCAUGGUAUGCCGUAUUGGCCCAAAUCGAAUAGUACGGAGCAUAUCGUAUCGUAUAGAUUCGGUACCGGUAUCCGGGUACGGGUGACGUAUCGACACUCGAUACACCAAAACAACUAUGUAUCAUAUCGUACUAAUACUGUAAUAGUGUGGCACUGGUACGGAGUCCGGUACCGAGACAGUGAACUUUGGAUGCAAUUAUUGAAGCAUAGCUAAAUUUGCAAUACUACACGAGUUUUAGGGUUACAUACACAUCAUAGGAUGUAGCUCUUCCAUGUUAGAUGCCACUUGCUAGGAGUUUUGCCAAACUUUAGCCAGUAACAAAGUACUAUAAUGGGUAGAGAACAAGACUUUAGGGCCUAGGAAACAUUCAUUAGGUGCCAAUUCUAAGGCUAAUAUAUGAGAAAUAUGAUCUGUCAUCUAAAUUUUGCUAUGCUCUACAAUAGGAAGGGGAACUGGAGGCAAUGUUGUUGUGGGCGGUAGGAAAUGAAGGUAAGGCAUUUUGUAGGAACUUCACAAAGAUUAUGAUUAUCACCUUAGGAGAGAUCCAAGAUUCCAAUCCUAGUGGUAGCAUCUCCACUGUAUUUCUUGAAGAAAAAGAAGUAAAUUAUGCAUCAACCUGGAAUAUAAGAAUGCAGCAUACUAAAUCUAAAAGAUAUAGGAAUGAAGCAUAUAUACUAAAUAUGGGGGGCGAACAAAAAUAAGUGGAUCAAAUAUUGUAUCUAUGUUUUAGUAUUUUAGCAUGUCUUUUACCCCAUCUUGUUAUCUUUUCUCUUCUGAUGUUCUAUUUAGAUGGCUAAUACUAGGUUCGCUCUUCUUAAUUCUAUUUAAUUUUUAUUUCUUAAGAUAUAGGACACAUGAGUGAAGCUCCAUUUGAGUUUGGCGAGUUAGAUAUCGAUCCGUAUAAACUAAAUGGAUUGGAUAUGGUUUAUUAUUCUCGACCUGAAUAUAAAUAGUUCAAGUAUGAAUUAUUAUUAUUAUUAUUUUGAUGAAUCAAAUUUGACCCAAUCUGUAGUUGCAAUCCGAAAACAAGCAAUGGCUCAAGGAGUGAAUGCUAGUUAUAAUUUAUUUCUUUGAGUACUGGUCAGAGAACCAUCUUACUUGGGUUAAUUGCUUGGUAACAAAAGCACCAACAUUUAAAUGCAUAAUCUCUUCUUCUAUGAAAGAAUUGGGCUAUGUCCCAAUUUUACAUGUUGAUCAUAGCUGGAUCUAUAUAUAAUCUUGUCAUAGAAUUUUUUUUCUUUUCUAUGACAAAUAAAGCUUAAAAAUACCAUAUAUCAGUUAGAAGUGUCAACAAAACAAAACUAAUUUUUAAACACAACCACUUUUUAGGAAUUUUGUGCAGAAUUAAUAAAGAUUAAUAAAUAUCUUCAAGUUUCAUUAAAGAUCAACAGUUAAAAAGGGAGUAUUAGUGACAAAGAUUGGUAACCUUGAAGUUCAACUUUUCUGUGUCUGGUUUUCUUUGGUUGCCCUUUUAAGAAGCAUCCAUGUGUCAAGAUGGUCACCAUCUUAGCCUCCCACUUGUCUGUGAAUGGUUUUCUUGCAAGUUAAAUGGUUGACAGCAAAAGCGGACGUUGAAAGAAUCCUAAAACCCCCUCUCAAAUGGAUAAGGCUUUGAAACUUCUCCCUUCCAACAGGGUUUGAAAAAUAGAAAAGAAAUGAAGCAGAAACUUUCCAUGGUAAAGGAAGUUCGAGUGGGGAACAAAUGUUCCUGCUCCUUAGUUUCUUUUUCUCUGAACAUAUAAUAAAUCAGUAUGCCAUCAUAUUGCCCACAAUUGUUUGUCAACUCUACUUCAUGUUUCUUGCAGCCAAGUGAUCUGAUCACAUUGAGAGUCUUUUUGGAUGAUUGGGCUAAAAAUUUUACAGGAUUCGUGGGUGGGGUUAGUAAAUCACUAAAAUCAUAGGAUUAGAGGCUAGGCUAGGCAUAUAUUCAUAAAUAUCCAGAAAUAGCUUUGGAGUAAACCGGUCCAAAUUCUAUAGGAAGAUUUUUUAUAUUCAUCAAUCCGAUAGGGAGAUUACUCCAAGGGAAUAUAUGUCUAGCCUAGCUUCUAAUCCUAAGAUUUUACUCGUUAUACUAUCCCAGCUUAGGAAUCUUAUAGGAUUUUCAGUCCCAUCAUCCAAAUAGACCCUGAAUGUGAUAGAUCACCAAAACAAGAAUUUCAAGAAUAUUUGGCAAGCAUCUGUCCAUGUCAAUGUAUUGUGCAAUCUUUUACCCUGCAUUGAGGAUUUGUUUGGUCAGUAAUGACUGCCUUGUCUGAGUAGCCAGAAGAACCACACAACAUUAAUGAUAGCAAUUAGCCAUUUGCAGUGCCUUUGUGUAGAUGAUUCAUGUAAUUCAAUUUACAACAUUAGUUGUUGUUAGUGAAGCCUCAAUCCUUGCAACUUGUCAUCACCAAUUUGGCCAUAGGAUAAGUUACUAGAACUUGGAGGGCUUUGCUAGUUUCAACUACACCAUAGGUCAUAUUACUAGAUCAAAUGCUCACUAGGGGGGGAAAAAACACUCAAGAACAGAUUACUGUAUGGAUUGGGGUUAGACUAACACAAGGUGCUCUUCUACAAUGUAAAGUCAUCUGAGAUACCUUGAAGUUAAUUACCAAGUUCUUGCAGGAAGAAGUUUCCAAAAUUUCUCUGCUGAAAGGACAGCUCCAGGAAAGAUGAAAGGCCAUUUCAUAUUCAGUUUCGAGGGACACAAUUUCUCUUGCUCAAAUCAACCAGACCCCCAAGUCACAACAAUCAUCUGAAGAUAGGUAAUAAACCAGCCCUUAAAGUUGGAAGGAACCAAUGAGAAGAAUUUACUUGUUCCUAAUGACAUAUGAGGCAGUUUUCAUAGUACUAUGGGCAGUUCUAUCAUUGACUUGGGAAUGAGAUGAGCAUGACUAUGGUCUUCCUGCCCAUGAAGCAACUCCAUGGCACCACAAACUUAGGAAGAUGGUACAUAGAAGAAAUGUAGCCAUCAAAUGUGACAGUAAAUGAAAUGACUUUGUCUGCAGGGAAACUUAGGACCCCUACAUUGUAGUGGUGAGUGGUCUGAUCAUUUUGGCCUGUCUGCUGAUAAAUAAUGCUCCAGCUAGUGCAUCACUGAUGUCGGUCGGUGGCGACAUUGUUUUCAAUUUGCACAUGAAAUGAGUGAUCAUGAGAGAGAUGUUUUCUGUUUGCAUGCAUCUGCUUUUAAACCCCAUUACAUACUUUCUAAGAUUAAGAGGAAGGGAAAGAAGCCAUUGUCAAAUCAAUUUCCCUUUCAUCGUAAUGACCAAGUUACAUGAUUCAUGAAAUCCUUGGCAAAGCAUUAGCUUCUUUAGGUUUGACAUGGACCCAUUGGCACUUCCGUAUGCUAUUUAUCCUCUCAUUUCAAUUGUUGGGAUAAAAGAUCAUGUGAUUUCAUGAUAAAAAUCUUAAAUAUGUUCAGACUAGUUAUGUAAUUUUACUCAUAUCGAGGAGCUUUUCAUAUGCCGAUAUUUAUUGUUAAAAGUAUCAAGUUGUAUUGUUACCAAAAAAGUAUUAAGCUAUUAGGUUCAUUGCUUGGUCUCAUGGUAAAAGCUUAGGCCGAUAAGUUCGAUGGCAGGGUUCGAAUGUCAAAAAUUAGACCUGCCCCGGUUUGUCUUAACAUGGAUUUUACUUUUGAUUAUGUUUAAUUGAUUAUGUUUAGGGGUGACAGCCCCCAUAGGAAAAAUAUUUCAGGUCAUAGAUAUAAUUUUCAAGGACUGCUUUUCUGCCUAAAAUUGGUUUAGAGUAUUUUUCUAAUCAUAUAUUUUUUCACUUUUAUUAAAUACUAAAAUUUUAUAAUCUAUCUAUAAUCCCGUGAACCUUGGAGGAAACCAUAAGUUAACAUUUGUCUUUGCCACCUUUUUUCUGUGAACCGUCAGUAACUCCCAGCAGACUCUUGUGAUUUUAAUUUCUUUGUUUAUUAUGGGAUUGGUGACUACUAAAUAGCAAUCAUUAUUUCUUUAUUACUUGGUGUUGAGCACUUAAAACUCUAUUAUCUACAAAUGGAGCUGUUUUAUGACAGAGUAUUAUAUGCAGAAUACUCAGAGACUCUCUUUUGUUUAAAAAUCAUCUAAUAUUUUCUUUCCAAGUCUUGAUCUCUCUUUUAUUUAAUUUUAGGGUCUUAUGGCUCAAUAGGCAGGGGUGAGAGUGGAUAAGAUAAUAUCUGUUUGGAUCCAUUUUCGUAUCCGAAAAUUAUUUGGAUAUAGAUAAAAAUUUGAGCAUCUGCAUAUUUGCAUCCAUAUUCGUCAAAGAAAGAUAGAUAUAAAUAAACAACUAUCCGUUCCAUAUCUAAAUAUCUAAUUCCAUUUGUAACUCUAUUUAAUUUUAUAUAGCACUCAUAAAUUUUUUAAAAAAAUAAAUAUCCACAUUAACAUGCUAUUAACUUGAUUUAUAAUCCACUUAAUAAUAUUUUUAAUUUGGUGGCCAUAUAGUUUAAUUAUUCAAUCUAUAUCCGUAUUUUUAGUAUUCAAUUUGUAUUCAUAUCUAUUUAAAGGAAAAAUGGAUAUGAAUUUUUGCAUCCGACUAAUAUCUAUAUCCGUAUCUAUAUUCGUCAAACAAAAUAAAUAUGAAUUUAUAUUAAUAUCUGAUCCUAUUUCAACCCUAUCAACAAAGCAGUGGAGUUCAAAUAAACUAAUUAUUUUAGGCUUGUACCCUUAGGAGACGGUUUCUAGUAGCCCACCUACAGCUACCAUGUGGGAGAAUUACACUCCUUGAGAUAGUAUUUGAUUAUCAUACCUUGCCUAUAUUCUCUUUUAAUUCCUUCCAUAUUCUUUUAUGUUUUUCUCUAUAUCCCUUCUAUUUGUUCCAUCAUUUUUCUAAAAUUUAAAAAUGGUAAUAAUCCUUCAAGAAUUCUACUAUUGAAAUAUAAAGAUUAGAAGCAGCUCGAUUGUAGAGCUGAUCAAAAUCCGGGCUGGGUCGGGCUCGAGCCGGGCUCUACAGCAGAAAUUAGGCCCGAUGGCUAUGCCCAGGCCCGGCCCGGCCCGACUGUCGGGCUUAAAUUUUUGUCCAGGUCUAAUCCGACUAUCUGGUUCUAGGCCCGUCUAGCCCGGCCCGACCCGAUAGGCCCGAUCCGACAGAUCCGAUUUUUUUUUGUUUGGAAUCUGGAAAUGGGCCAGAAUGGCCCGACCAGGCACGGCUCAAUUUUUUUGAUCGAGCCACUUUUCUUGCCCAGGCCCGACCCAUGGGCCUUUUUUUAAUACCGAAGCCCGAAAAAUUCCGGGCCGGGCUGGGCGGGCCAGAAGGCCCGUGAUCAGCUCUGCUCGAUUGCUAUACGAGGUGGAGGAUGACAUCUGUCAACUUACUAUGCUGGAAGAGACCUCGUAGAAGAAGAACAAUGCACUACUGCGCAAAGAAGUGGAUUGAUGAUCAUUUGCCAAUUUACCCCUUUUUUUUGAUCUCACACUAGUCGAUCAUGAGUGCACCUCGAGCAAUCCGUAGUGAGUAUCUGAUGUAAAGUAGGCGGGACUACCUCAAUACUCUUCCAAAGGAAACCUUCUGAAUGGUGAGGAACAUAGGACGCAAUCUAGUCGGCAGCCCUAUUCAUCUUCCGGAAAAUGCGCAAAGCUCUGAAUGCAACAAGCUUCCUCGAGAUCCCACGUAUUCAAUGUGAUGGAAAACUCUCUUAUGCUAAUACCACAAGACUACAAGUAUUGUGGAGUUAUAGAGUACUUGAAUUACGAUAAGUCGUAGACGUGCCAAUAAUUACCUCAGAAAAAGUGCUUAAAUUGUAAGAUGCAUUUCACAUUCUAGGUCUUAAAAAAUAUGAUUUCUGUUUCAAAUUAAAUGAUCAUGGUGUGUUUUUUUUCUUUUUGAUAAUUAUAAAAGUGACCAUCAUCAAAAACAGAUCCUCUAUUAGAAAGAGCUACAUGAAGGAUAAUAUGCACUUGCUUUCUUUAAAUACUGAAGUGAAUUAUUCUGCUUAUACUAUUGACUCUUCCAUGGAUAAUAUUUGGUAUUUUUAGAUUGGGUUAUGUUGGUAAAUCAACUUCAGAUAGGAUGAUGUUUAAUGAUUUAAUUCCUAAGCAUGAUUCUUGUUUGAUUGCUAAUACUUGUGAAUGUGAUGCCCAAAAUAUCAAAUAUGUUUCAUAUAAUUUAACAUAGAAGUCAUCAGGACUUGGGAUCAGCCAGGAAAGGUUCCAUGGGGAUCAGCCAAGAAGAAUGUGAGCAAGUAUAUUUUAUUUCUUCCUGUGUGUUCUAGUAGUAAGGUGCUAAAUAUAUAUCACACACACAUCACUAACCCACUUCACCCAGAAGUUUUUUUGCACCACUAUUUGUUAAUCUAUGUGUUUUGUGAAUUAUAAUCAUUGUUAAACCAGAUCUCUUCAACAGGGGAUAGGACCUCAUUGGAAUGUAUAUACAAUAUAGUUCAACAAGGGCCUUGAACCCAAUAAAAUAGCCAUUAUUUUAGAUCUUAAUUGGAGCUGGUUUGUAAGGAUUUGAUGUACCAAGCUUAGGGACUAGACUUCAGAAAAAAAAAGGGAAGAGGAUAAGGAAGGAAAACUUUUUAAAAAAAAACAGAAUAAAAUUUACAAACUGUGUUUAGGGCGGCGAGUGAACCAAGUUGUUCAUGAACAGCAUGGGCUAGGUUUAGUAAUGGUUACUUUAGACCUGGUUUAGUGAAAAAAAAUGAGUCAAGUUUCGAAUAUCAUAUUAUAAAGCUCUGCUCAAAAGAGCCAAGCUUGAACACCUUGAGUUUGCAUAGUUGGAUAGAAGCUCAGCUGGUUUCAUAAGUGGUUUGUUCCAACUCUGUUCCAAUGAUAAAUUAAUCAAUCUUGAACGAAAUUUGUUAAUCCAGCUCAAACCUUAUCACCCCUUUCUUGUAGUGAGCCAAGGUUGAGCAGCCUAUUACUCGUUGGCUAAAUUUUACCAGGAACCAAGUUUACUGGUGCACACUAAACCACAGAACACCACCAUAGAAAAUAAAACCUAACUCAUAAUUUUGAGGGGAACAAAGGUUUUAGUGGGAAUUCUGAGGACAACAUUUAGCCUUCAUGCUUAGAGCACCUAUAUGACGGCGAGGACGACAUACAACCCUAACAAGAAGAGACGUUAUACUCUACACCACAUGCACCACAUCAGCGGUGUUUUCAGGUAAAAAUAAGACAGGCUACGAUCCGAAACGAGCGUAUGAUGAAUGAAGCCCACCGAAAUGAGAUGAGAUGAUUGGCAUGGUGCACGUGGUGUAAGGUAUAAUUUUACCUAAUACGAAUUGUGGUCACAUUCACAUAGGGCUUUCCAGUCCAUCGGAUCGUAAAGACAUCAAAUUACAUUAUAAUGCUGUUAGAAAAGAAGCAAACCAUUUGGGUUUUUCCAUGACCAUUGCCAUCAGAAAAACUACCCACUGAGAAGAAAAAAAACUGGUAAAAAGAGAAGAAAGAAGAGGAGGGAUGGGUUGCAGCUCUUCCAGAUCAUUGUCAGCUACUGAUAUUGAUUUAAAGAACCUACUCUAAACUGCCCAAACCAUGUCAUGUCCCUCCAAUUGAGCACCACAUGAAGAAAAUGGAAAGAAGUAGAAUUCUUUUGCACCAAGAGAUGCAAGAGAUCACCUUGAGAUUCCCAGUUUAAGUAAUGAAAUCUAAAGGAAGAACCAUCAGAGAUCAACAACAUGUACAUUAGGCAGUUAAUGAAGGACCUCGAUGAUGAGAUACCCUUUUGGGUGCUUGGAAAAAGAGAAAAAGGGGGGGAAAAACAAGUCUCCAUGCAUCCAUUGACUGUGAUGGAAAUCACAAUGUUGCCCAACAAACAGAAGUAAGGCCCUCAUAUUAUGUGGGCAUAUUGAAUUGUUUAGGGUAAAGGCCUUCAACAGAUCACCUGGAACCACCGCCCUGGCAAGUUUUAUUCUUGAUGAUAGCUAUCUAAGAAUAUUGAAAUGUGAAAGUUCAAAAGAAGCGUGGUCGAACCUGCACUGUCUGAUCAUCUACAAUGAUAAUAACUGAAGGUGAAAUGAGAGUUCUUGUAGAUUUGGUGUGGUUUAGUCUGCUGAGGGCUUCAGUAGUGAUUCCCUGUUCCCUUCCUAUCUCUGCUACUGAAAACUUUUGAUGUCCAGUAAGUUACUAGCCACCUCAAGUAGAACCUUCUCCCCUUCUCUCAUUUGGAAACAAUUGUAUAGUCUUCAAGCAUUUAUAUUUUCAAGCAUGCACUCCAUUUUAGUAAAAUAGAUGGAUUGACACUUGAAUAAAUGUUUUAGUCUUAUGUAAAAUGUUGCUAAUAGAAGUUCUGAGGACCAUGUAAAAGAGUAGCACAAUCCUUCUGUGAGGCAGGUUAAGGUCUACUUAUAUCAAAAGAAGUUAAUUGGACGGUUGCUCGCUAACAUAUGAAACUCCUAUUAGCUAUAUAAGUUACAAAUAUUUGUUCCAUCUUUCUGAACUUUAACAUGAAUGGAAAUUCGCAGGCACUUGUAUUGCAGAUCAGUUCAAAAUUAAUCUCAAUGUCAUUUUCUCGAAGAAAUACUUCUAAUAAAUUAUUCCUCGCAGUAUAACAUUUAAGCACAAAUUAUAAGAAUCAUGAGUGUGAACUGAACAAUGACUCAGUCUCGCACACCUUGUUAAGGGAGGAUCUGGAUUGAGUCUCCACUGAAGCAUCUCCAAGUUUAGGCCAGUAAUAUUGUAUCAAUAAAUUAAUGGAUUCAUAGUCAAGCUUGGGAUAAUCCUUUUACAGAAAUGCUCGAAUCAUAGGACAAUUAUGUAUAAUAUUUGCAUUCUAUUGAUGCAAUUUAUAGCGCCACAAGAAAAUUGUAUAUGUUCCUAGUAGUCCUUUCAUAAUGUUGGUGGUCUCUACAAUUGAUGGUUGGCCAUGAGGCUUAUGCCAUGAAAAGAUGCCUUAAAAAUAAUACCCUAGAAAUAGAGAUCCAUUAGAGAAAAUUUCAGCAGAGAAUCAUAGCUCAGUAAUUGACCAGCAUUUUACCUUUGACACAGCAACCAGCAUAUAUACUAGCACAGCAUGGCAUCUUAUGUCUAUUGGAUCUACCACUAGAUUUCAUCAUAAAUGGCAUCAAGGGGUCUCCAUUAUCUACAGAAACAGCAGAAGUACAGACGUUGUAAAGGAUCACUCCCUUGAUAUCUCUACUCUAUCCACUUUUCUUAAACUAAAUUUUUCAGCCACCUUGUCAAUGAUCUACAUGGUGACUAUGACUAUAAAUCAUGUCUCAUAUAUUCUAAUCAGUCCUUUAAAAUUACUAUGCAAUUUUUUCACAACAAUGGAAUACUCUUCAAAGAUCUGCAGACUGGGGAAAAAAAUCUUUAUAAGCAAAUCCUCUGGAAACUAUUGAUCCUUAGGCUGCCUGGUCAUCCAAUAUCUUAAUGGUAACAGAACUAAUCACCCAGGAUAGAUAUCUUAUUAAAUGAAAUUUCCAAUGAGUAAUAUCAUGCACUCUGUGAACACAUUAUGAAAGUGCAAAGGAAAAAAUUUACAUGUUCAAAAUGAAAACCUUUAAACAAAAUCUUUAUAAUGGAAUUACCCAGCCCACAGAUACUUGGAAAACACCACCAAGUUUUAAACUUGAAACUUCCUUCAAAUGCAAGGGUGCUACCAUUGGGUUAUUGUUCAUCUCUUUUCUUCUUUUUUUCUUUUUUUUUGAAUGAUGUCAACCAGAAUUUCCGAUUUAAAAUACAUCAACAAGCAAUCCACUACUAAGAUUUGCCGAACAAAAUAUACUAAUAUAGAUAUUCUACUUGCAUUACCAACAUAUGUGCAGCACAUAUCCUUUUUGGGCACAACAAUAUAACUGAUAGCUUGUCUUCAUUCUGAAUGCGCAAAAUAGAACAUCAAAUAUGCUGCAGUUUGAACCAAUUAGCCACUCCCAUCAAACUAAAACAUAUAUUGAGAUUGCAGAAGAAAAUGAAUAGCACCUACCAGAUAAGCAUGAUAGGGCAAGAUAAACGCUCCAUACUUGUAAGUUAAUAUAACUGCACCUUUCGAAUCUCUCUUGUAAGAUGAACUUUUAACAUUGUAAAGCUGCAGUUUCGAAGCUUUCAUAAGUGAGUUUACUACUUGAACAUCUCUGGAGGUGAAAAUUGGCCAUUGAGAUGCAAUGUUUUAAAAUUUAAUUUCAAGGUCGGCUUAUUAAGACAAUAAUCCUCUACUGCAACCACAUUGAAGAGCAAUAUGACUUACCUUAUUCCUGUACUUCAAGGGAGUCUCUAUCACUUGAACUAAGUCAAUGAACAGGUACCCUUGUAGGUUUUCUACAGCCCAAAUGCUCAUCUUACUUUGUCCAAAUCUGUUUGCAUCUCAAGUAUGAGGAAGUCAUCCAUUUGAGCAGAUAGCAUCCUAUUUAGCAUCAAGUAUCAAUGCAGUAUUAGAGUCCAUGCAUACAUGUUAUUAAACAAAUUAUCCUUGACAAAAAUUGAUCUAACUCAAAAGAUGCAGUGAGCUUAACCUCUAGUUACCCAUCACCACAAACUGACUUCUUAACUUAAAGCCUCAUUGUCACCACAAUUGUAACAGAAAAAUAUAAACUGUUUGGCUAUAUACUUCACUGAAUCCAAAAUAUCAUGCAGUUACCAGAUGACAGAUGCAAGUUGUAAUCAAUGAGAAAAAAUCAUAUAAGUUGAGAACACAGUAGAGAUUCAUAACAAUCUUACACUGACUAAUUCAGGAAGAAUAUUUGCUCACAUCACUACAGGAGCAGGCACAAAUGCUAUGGAUUACAAAAUUUAGCCAAAAUUAGUUCAAGAUUUGCUCAAUGUAUGAAUUCAAGACUCCGGAAAGCUAAAAGCCUGGAAAUUUCAAAAACCUCAAACAGAAAUCACGUUAUCAAAAUCUGUGGAAGAUACGAUUGGGACCUGUGCAUUGCUCCCCCGAUAAGAAUUUUUUCUUUUCAUCAUUCGCAAUUCGACGGCGGCGUCGGUGGGGGUGCAGAGGCAGAUAAGGGAGCGCCGCCGCCCGGCGGCGGAGUCCUCGGCGUCGAUGAGCUUGCCAAGCCGCUCCUGGAGGGCGCGGACCUGGUCCUCCGUCCGCCGGAGCUUCCGCCGCCGCCAGGUGAGGUACCGCCGUACACCAGAAUGUACGACACCCACACGUACGGGUACGUCUCCGCAGUUAUGUUUUUGAAAGGCAGUUCCGUACGUAGUUAUGUAAGAAAAAACAAAUAUUUUGCAACAUGCAAAAAUAAAAAGGGAAAAUUCUAAGUCAUGCAAAAAAAAAAAAAAAGAAGAGAGAGAAAAUAUUUUGUUCCAUCCCACUGGCCUCCAAAAUAGCUGAAGAAGAUGUUGCGCGUUCCAUUGAUUUGGCAAAUAUUCUGUGUUGCAUUUAAGAAAGUUUCAUGGUUUACCCUAUAUAUCCAGAGAUAUAACCUUUAUGUUGUCAUAUGUCUCUUGUGUAUCUGUAUAUAUUUAUACCUAUUAUAUGAAUAGGUGAGAGAAAAUUUCGUGGUAUGCCGAAUCUGCAACCCAAGUCGAUCACGUGACACAGCUACGUAAUUCCUAAAGCGAAGCUCUAGAGAUCGGAGCCUAAAUUGACAAUAUCCAAUAAUUUCAUAAAUUUAAAUCAAUAGUAAAUAGCUGAAUAAUCAACUAAAUAAAUCUCUUAUGAUCAAAUAACUAAUUUGAUCAAUUACAAGAUUUUCAAAUAUUUUUGGGUAUCAGAAAAUAAACUAACUCAACUCUCGUGCUUGAACUCGAUGCCCAACCCAUUGGAGACCACAUCUUAGGACUCUCAAAGAGAAAAAGAAAAGAUGGUGGGAGCUUUACAACCUAACAAGAAUCUCACACCAAUAUAGAUAAAAUAAAUUUGAAAUAAAGAUUAACUAUAAAUCAUAUCAAAAUAUAUGCAAAGUUAUAAAACCCCAUACCGAUUAUUCAAUAUAGCUGGAAUAAACCAUAUGAAUAUGCAUCCAUAAAUGUACAUUAAACAUACAACUCAUUCCUAAAAACAUGUCAAAUAUUAUCAUACGGUGAUUUCAUAUAUUUUAUUUUCCAUUUUUAUUCAGAUUUCUGAUUAGCAAUUAUCUUUUUGAUUUGGACUAUCCAUGGUCACGCGUCGGCCUGUUAUUGGCAAACUAUGAUUCCACGCUUUGGCCAGUGGUGGCAAAUUAAAAUAUCCGUACUUCGACCCGUGGUAGCAAAUCAAGAUAUCUAUGCUUCGGCCCGCAGCUGCAAACCAAGAUAUCUGCACUUCAACCAUUAGUUGCAAACCAAAAUAUCCGCACUUCAGCCCACGAUGGCAAUCUAAGAUAUAUGCGUUUUGGCCCAUAGUGGCAAUCCAGUAUGUCACAAUUCGGCCUAUGACCGGCAAUCUAUAAUAUGUCUAAUCCAAAUCCUUUCAUUCAAUUUCAUCCAUACCAAAGAAAUAUAUUUUUUAUUAUAUUUUAUUCCCAAAUUUCAAAAUAAUCAACACCAUAUUUCAAACAACCAAAACUAUAUUCCAAGCAGUCAUAAUCAUUGAUAUUUGAUAUGUCUGUAUACUAAAAAAUAUAUAUAUCUAUAUAACCAUGUCAGAAAUCAUUCAACAAUCACAUGAAAAAUGAUGCAAAUCCAAAAAUUAUCAACACAUUAUAAAAUACAUAUUAUCUAUAUAGGUGAUUGUGUAUAGGACUUCUUAUCUCAGACUUAAUUACAGCGCACACCGAUCCACUUCUCGAUCUACGAACUCGAGUAGGAUGUCCUACUCAAAACCUUCUUGCUUAGACGAUUAUCCUAAUGUAAGAUCAGGCCUAAUUAUCAAAGUAACUACAACAACCAUGAUCAAUGAUAUGAAAUUAUGGAAGAAAUGAUAUUUAAUUUUAAUAUUGCUUGCCCGAAUCCUUAGUCGUACAAUGCUAGAUGGGGACCCCUCGAAGGGUCAACUCGAAUCCACAAGAUAGCAUUGGAACCACCAUUGGUCCACUAAAACCUAUAGAGAGAGAAAGAGUGGAGAGAGGUGAUAAAGAGGGAGGAAGCAAGAGAGAGAGGGAACCAGGGUUCCCUUGUCGGCUACACCCCCGGCAGUGAUCUCCGGUGAUGGUGACAGUAGUCGCAGCCCUCGGCGACCCAGACAAGAAGCCAUGGCUAGCGACUAGUGGUUGGCAGUGGCGAUUGGCCGGAUAGAAAGAAGAAGAGAAAAAUAGAGGAGAGAGAUACAGAGUGGAAGAAGCUCCAUUUAAAAAAUCCAGUGACCGGCCGGUUCAACUCAGGUUGUUGAUGGUGGCCUUGUAACUGGGAGAAGGCUAUGGAAGAGGAUGGGAUGUUGAUUACCUUAUUCCAGCGAGAUGAUCAACGGUAACUCACCGCGCACACUCAAUGGAAAAAUUGAGGAAACGGAGUGGAUCUCGCUGAAUCGAUAGUGAUUAAAAGGAGAUGCCACGAUGGAAAAGUGGACGCCUAUUUAGGAUGAGUCGAGGGCUCCUCGUGCUCGACGGAUUCCCGACAAAAGUCACUCCCAAAAGUAGUCCGCUACUUUCGUCUCACGUGCGGAGCAUGCGAGUCGUAAAUAAUAUUUUUUAUUUUUAUUUUUCUUUGCUUUGAGAUACGUGCAGAAAGGAUAUUGGGUUUGGGCCCUUAGCCUCAGCCCCUCUUUCUCGUCGAGGACUCAAGAGUACUGUGUUUUUAAGGCAGCAUGGAAACGAGCAAUCCAAUUCUACCUUGACUUUCAUAGAAAAUACUGGCAUGCCUCUAAAUUUUAAAAUAAUGUUAUAACAACAAUUAUAGCGGUUUUGGCCACUUGUUACAUUUUUGAGGAAAAUAACACGGAAACAUGUAACAACUAUUAAUUUUCAUUAUUUUAGAAUUAUAAAAGGAUAAUUAUAAUAUAAAUAAUGGCAUUUUCUUACUUGAACCUUUUUUAUAAUAAAAUAAUACUUCCAAAAUCUAAACUUUUAUCUCAAAAUUCCUUCCAGAAGGUGGGGAAAUUUUAUUAUUUUAGGUAAUGAAAAAUGAAGAAAAAGAUAAUGUUGUUAUUCUUUUAUUAUAACACUAUAUAACAGUAGUUUCUUCAAUAAUAUUUAAUAUUAAAAAUUUUAAAUUAUUUUUUGAGAUAAAAAUGAUCAUUAUAAUCAUUACAGGGGUUUGUAAUAGCAGGAUAAUGCAUUAAUUAUUUCAUUCCUUGCAUGUCCCCCAAUUUCAGGAGUAUGGUAGGCUAUUUAAAAUGAUUAUUUAUAUUCAACCCCUAUAAAUGGUAGAAAUUAUUAGCUAUGUCUUAUGCACUAUAUAACCAUGCACGCGGCUAAUUAUGGCUACUAGUUCUAUAAUAAUGCACCAAAUUAUUAGCUAUGUCUUAUGCACUAUAUCUAGCAUAGAAAAAAAAAAAGUUUCAUAAAAAUCAACAGCCGUGAUUGGUUGCAUGCACGACAACAUGCCCAUGUAGGGUAGGGAUGUUACCUAACCGUGUAACCAAGAUCUCGAUACUUAUCCGAGGCCUUUCUAACCUGGCAUUGUAUAACAAUUCAGGAUCUCACCUAAAAUAGCUAGCUGAAAUAUACUAUUUGGGUUCUUUGAUUCUAUAUAAAUACCCAAGAUCUAUUUAGCAAAUAACUGAUAUGGGACCAAGUACACACCUGUAGAGAUCUUCACAUACUCCUUCCAUUUAAGUCCUGACAUUUUUGUCAGGCUAAAAGUUAAAAUCCACUCAAAUUUAAUUACAAAUAUCAUGAUGGGCUCAUCGUCAACCCUAUUGAAUCUGUGCUACAGUAUUCCGUAGUUUGCAUAGGUUAUACGCUAGGUCCACUCUGAUACCAUUUGUAACAAUUUAAGAGCUUACAUAAAAACAAAAACUCGNNNNNNNNNNNNNNNNNNNNNNNNNNNNNNNNNUUUUUUGCAUUGGUCUAGCUUAAAGAUAUUAUUUGGAUUGUUUGAUUCUAUAUGAGCAUGCAAGAUCUACCUAAUAAAUAAUUAAUAUAAAAUUAAACAUACGUCUGGAUGGGAUCUCAUGAGUCGGAAUUCGCGGACCGCCACACGACAGAUGUGUCCACGGAUACAGAGAGAUGGUCAAAUGUCAAAUAGGAAAUUUCUCCAGGUCAGCUCCAGGUAGGAUAGGCUAUACCUCAUACUUUUCUUGCAUGACAGCUUCGCGACGUCAAGAGAACGACAAGAAGCCAGAGGGAGAACAAGCUGUCCCUAUUGGAAUAUCCCAUGGCAUAAACCCCACAACUUCACGUCCCUCCCCUUCCUUCCCAUCUUCCUCCUUUCAAACCCCCUCUACCCCAAAACUAUCUAUUCCUAAUUCUCUUGUCCCAGUUUCCUUAUAGUCCUCGAUCCUCAUGGCUCUCAUGGCCAUCCACGUCUCCCAUGUUCCCAUACUCGACAACGUCCCAAAGAGCCCCUCCGUCGCCCUCUCCUCCACCCUCUUCCCCAAAGGUCAGCCACCUUCUCUCUCUCUCUCUUUUCUCUAGUUUUUAGCUAUUUAUUUUGAUCAAUAUUUCUGAGCCAUUGGAUACAGGGGCUGAGAUGGUGCGACCGCCGUGGAAGGCAACGGGCCUCGUAGUGGUGGGCCACCGGGGUAACGGGAUGAACGUCUUAACGUCGCAGGACCGGCGCAUGACGGCCGUUAAGGAGAACUCCCUCCUCUCCUUCAACCGCGCCUCCCGCUUCCCGAUCGACUUCAUCGAGUUCGACGUCCAGGUGCGACGUCCGUCUACUUUACUCCUGUUGACAGCGUUACGUUCCCGUUAUCUCCGUUAUCCUUUUCCGUUACCUUCCUCGUCUCUCCCUUGUGACCGUUGUUGCUCGUCGCCGAGUUCUUUCCCUUCUUUCGCUUCAACUCGGCACGCGAGGUCGCGUCCUUCCUGACGUGCCGAUUUUAAUAGCCGGGAAAUUGGAAUUAGAAAUAAAAAUUAAUUAACAAGUAGAAAAAUAGCGGGGUCAGCUGACUUUUUUGGUUUUUGGCAGUCCUCUCUCCGCAUUUAAGGGAGCAAUUCAUGGAACUUUUAUUAUUGAGGGAUAGGCUUAAAUGUACACUGCCUAAUUCUUAUGGAAGAAAAUACUGCUUCUAUAUUCUGAAAUCUGAACUUGCAACAUGCAGCUUUCAAUAGAGCAAUGUUAUCGUUAUGCUAAGGUAAUCUACUAGGAUAGAAACUAUAUAAUUGAGUGCAAUUUUAUAUGAUUUGAGAUGUUAUAAUCCGGAGAAAAGCCAACAAUAUAGCCAUUUAUGUAGUUGGGGAAGUAGUUGGACGGUGUUUUUUUCCAGAGUUUGGUCCAAGUUUAUUCUAGUUGGUGGUAUUGCACUAGCAUUUGCUAAAGACUCGUUUGGUUCGUGGAAAAAGAAGAGAGGAAAGUGUGGUCAACGGAAAAGUAACGAGAUGCCUCUUGUUUGUUUGGAGUAUAAUUCCCACAUUUCAUGGAAAAAUCUUUCCUAUGAGAAACAUAGAAAAGUUACUUUUCCAUGAGGAGGAAACCACUCCAUUUUUAUUUUUUCCCAAAAAGUCCCUUCAGCAUUAAAGAAGCAUUAAAGAGGCAUUAAAGACCUAAUUUUUAUUAAGGGCAUAAUAGGAAUUAUACAUAAUUUUCUCUGGAUGGCCAACCAAAUAUAGGCACUUUGGAAAUUUGUCACUUUCCCAUGGUCAACCAAACAUGCCAAAAGUACUUUUCUAGGCAUCCUCUUUCUAGGAAUUUGUUUUCCAGAAAUAUGUGGGAAAAUGCUUCCCGCAAACCAAACGAGUCCUAAAUGUAAAAGAAGAGUAUUGAUUAAAGGAAAUGUUAAAAUUAGUCUUUGAUUGCAUUGCAGUUUUUUUAGUUCGAAGUUGGUCUUGUUUUACAAUAUGUUCUUGAAGAAAGAGUUAGAAUUUCUACCAUUGCAAGAAAUUAGAUUCUGAAGUAGUUAGAAUAUUAAGAACUAUAAUGGCAACAAGAACAAGUCCAUACAUUUUUCUCAAUCUUCUUUAUUUUGAAGCAGUAUUCUUUAAGUUCAAAACAAGUUCAAAUAGAAUGAUUCGUACCGAGUUCAAACAGAACGGUUCGCACCAAGUUCGAACGAAACCAGCUAGUUCAAGCCGAUUCCGGCCUUUUUCGGCCAGCUUUGGUCGAUUCAGAACCGAUUCUGGCUAAUUCGAGAUCAUGAUUGAUUUCAAUAGGCGAACCGACCUAUUUUUCAUUAGGUUGGCUCAGUACGGGCCAAACCAGAUGGUUCAGUCUUCUUCACCCUUCCUUCGUAUAUGCUUUCGCAGCCAUCCAUUCAAUCAGAAAAGAAAGAGUCUGGAUCCUUCACGGUGCGUGUUUUGAUACUUAAGAGGGAUGAUUUGUCACCCCUGGUUCCAUUCCCAACAUCUUUCAGCAUUCUUAUUUAGCUUUUAUUAUCUUUUUUUCUGAUGAUAAUUUAGCUUUUAUUAUCAUAGGGGUCGGUUGCCCUUUAUUUUUCCCUCAUUUUCAAGAUAUAAAUUGGUGGAGCAUGGAACUCAUAUAACAUGAAUACCAUUUAUGCAGGUAACCAAAGAUGAUGCCCCCAUCAUCUUCCAUGAUGAUGUGAUCCUUUUCGAAGAAGCUGUAAGAUCCUCUCCUCUCUGCAUUAUUUUUGUUAAUUACAAGCAAAAUAUAUGUCCUCUUUUCAAUUCAUUUUUGACAUAUUUGUUGGAUUUGGUCUCUUCAGGGACAUAUAAAUGAGAAGCAGGUCACAACUCUGUACCUGGAAGAAUUCCUCUCCUACGGCCCUCAAAAAGAGCCUGGCAAGGUAAUUCUCAUCCUUUCUCUUGCACCAGUCCAUUUGAUAGAAAACUAGACAAUCCUUGAUUAUUUUUUUUCUUCUUUUAAAUGACACCAGGUGGGGAAAUCAUUAUUCAGGAAGGCUAAAGAUGGGAGAGUGUUAAAAUGGAGUGUGGAAGAUGAUGACUCUCUUUGCAUAUUGCAAGAGGCAUUUCAGAGUGUUGACUCCCAUUUGGGCUUCAACAUUGAGCUUAAAUUUGAUGACCAUGCUGUUUACAGAGAAGAAGAGCUUUCUUAUGCUCUUCAGGCCAUCUUGCAGGUAUGGUUUCUUGAUCAUGCUGCAUUCCAAUUCAUGAAUCUAAUUUUGGAAGCUGUAUCAACUCUUAAAUUCUUGAGAUUAGCUAUUCUUCACUAUUAAAAUUUUGUAACUAGGUGGUCUUCGAGUAUGCCGGUGAUAGACCCAUCAUCUUCUCAACCUUCCAACCUGAUGCAGCACAGCUAGUGAGGAAAUUACAGUGUGUUUACCCUGUAAGUGGAACUCUUUUGUUCUUUUUUUUCUUAUAUAUUCCUUGUUUCACCUGUUGGUCAGUUGUUAGAAUCUUAUAUCAUAUCAAUAACAAGUAAAUUAUGAUAUGAUAUUUGUUAUAACAUGUUAUUCCUUGAACCAGGUGUUUUUCCUCACCGAGGGAGGGAAUGAAAUCUUUGAUGACAUGAGAAGAAACUCCUUGGAUGAGGCCAUUAAGCUAUGCUUGGCAAGUGGUUUGCAAGGGAUUGUUUCAGAUGUCAGGGGAGUUUUCAGAAAUCCAUCAGCAAUAGCUAGAAUCAAGGAAUCCAGCCUUGCCCUUCUAACAUAUGGCCAGUUGAAGUAAGUCAUCUUUGUACACAUAAUAUUUCAUCAAAUCAUACCAGAAUUGUUGCUUUCUUGCAGGUGGUCAUGUUUACUUCUAUCCAACUUCGAAAUUAUUGAUCUGUUUUCAAUACAUUUGCAGCAAUGUUCCUGAAGCCGUUUAUAUGCAGCAUCUAAUGGGCAUCAAUGGUGUAAUUGUUGAUCUCGUCGAAGAGAUUACCGAGGCUGUGUCAGAUUUCAACAGACCAGCUACCGAAAGAGAUGAGAGUUUGUGCGACCCUAAAGGGGAGGAGGUCAGGAGGCCUAAGUUCUCACAACAAGAGCUCACAUUCUUGCUCAACCUUAUACCUGAACUAAUGCAACAGUAGUCCCAAAGGAACUAGGAUGUAAAGUUAUUGUAUAGCAUCUGAUUUAUAGAGACACAAAGAAAUGAAAAUGAUAGUAUGGUAACAUUAAUCCUAUAGAUGUUUCUUCCAUGAUAUUGUUGUUGCGCCUGGGCACAGCGCACGAAAAUUGAUCUGCUUAUUCAUACAAACGAAACUAUUAUGAUGGAUUGAUUUGUUCAUGACUAUGGAUCGCCGAAGACUUUAUGAUACUUUGGUUCAUGAAGCGGAGAUGAGGGCAGCUUGAGAGGAUAUUUUUUAUGUUCGCCUCAUCUUAGGGGCUGACCGGAUUCAGCUUAAAGGGGAUUCAACAACCGUUAUCGGGUGGAUCCAGAGUCACGCUAGGAUAGGUAUCGAACAUCCUUUUAUGUACGAUAUCCGUGGUCUUCUGCAGGAUUGUGUGGAUGCCCGUAUCACUUCUGUGUAUCGAAAGAUGAAUAGAGUGGCUGAUUGGAUAACUUUAUAUGUCGCCCAGCACUCUGGUGGUUUCUUGUAGGAUAGUUUGGAGUCCUCACCUUUUUCUCUUUACUUUCUUCUCUUUUCUGAUUUUGUUGGAUGUACCCAUACUAUAAUGGUAUGAAGGUAUCUGUGUUAUCCAAAAAAAAAAAAAGAAGCUUGUGCUCUGGCCAUGAUCUCACUAUAAUUAGCAUCAAACAAGAACCACAUAAGUUAACAUAGAAGAAAGAUAGAUAUGGUAGUUCUGAUUCUCGUGGAAGUCAGAAAUGGAGCAGAAGAAAUGAAAGCAAAUGGUGGAAAACCUAAGAUGAGCUUGUGUACAGAUUGAGGUGAGUAUAGAAGAGAGGUGGAAAUUCCUGAAUUUCUUGAAGAACUGGAGUGUUUAUAGCCACUUCAUCGAAGUGCCAUGUAACUCACUAAAAAUAAUUUCUUUAUACGGACUUGUAGUAACUGCUGGAGUAAAGAAAAUUAUGUGGAAGUCUUUUUUAUGCUUCUACUUUGUGUACACGAUGAGUUGCAUGGGUUUCUUUUCAGAAAUUAUGACCAAAUGUGCCACUUCCUUGAUGCUGAUGAUAUCAUUAUUUUCGUCAAAACCACACUUCCUAAUUGCUAACAUUAUGGAUGCAUUCUGGAGCUGUGAUGAUAUCUAAUCAACACAUUAGUAGGAAUGAGUCUUUUUGUUUAUUUCUCAAUUUAAAUGCAGCCUAGACUUCAUAGACUGGUUAAUGACCUAGCUGGGCACAAGCAAAUGACUAGGAUGAGCGAUAGAAAUAUAUUUUUAUGUGCAAAUAGAGUGCAUGAAGAGAAUAUAAGUCGAAGAAAUUAUAAAGUUGAAAUGAUAAGAAAUGAAGAGUAGCAUCUUUUGGAAGAAAGGGGAAUUAACUGCUACAUCAUGUCCUCCCUUUAUCUGGUCUUGGAUGAGUCCGGAGAUCAUCCUAAGGCCUUGUGACAAUAAAGGGUGCAGGUUUGGUUUUUAGUCUUUGUCUAGCACAACUUGUGAUGCAUGAUGCAUCCCCAACAACUUGUUCUCUGAUGUUAUUUGACCCUAUUGAUUCAUCCACUGAAAUCUAUUGUUAUGACAUUGGAUAUAAUAGGGACUUGUUGCUAUAAGGUGGGGCUUUCCAACCUAGAUCAAUCCUUCCUGGCCAUAAGGAUUUGUUUCUCAAUAAAAUAAUUUUGUUGGUACUAAAAAAUUUCUAGCAUCUCUAUCCCGAACAAGCUAAUCUUGUGUUAAAGCUUUUUAAAUGUCUUUUAAUAAUCCAAUUUUAUGGAUUCGUUUGGUUCGCGGAAACAAUUUUAUCUCAUUGGAUUAUGUUUUCUGGGAAGCCAAUGCAUUAUAUAUGAAAAAGCAAUUUUGGCAUGUUUGGUUGAUAAUGAGAAAGUAGCAUAGGAAAUAUACUUUCUAGAAUGAAUCUUUUAUACCCUUAAUAAAUCGACUCCAAGAAGCAAAAAUAAAUAAAUAAAUAUAAGCCACUAAGAUUAAAGGUAGUUUGGGGGGAAAAAAGGAUUUUAUCUUGACUCCGAGCCAAUGGGAAAGUGGAUUUCCUAUAUCUCACAUAGGUUUUCGAUUUUCCAUUUGAGGUGGGGCAAACCUAUUUUCAUGGAAGGACUACUUUUCCAUUUUUCUUAUUUGAAACCCCUGUCCAAACAUAAGAUACUUUGUCAUUUUUCAUACUUUUUCUUCUCUUCCCACGCACUAAACGGGUCCUAAAAAAGAGGAAUAAGAGCACAUGAAUACUAAUCUUGGUUCAUCAUAUAAACUCAUGAAGCUCCAUGGCAAGAAAUAGAUAUCCAGUUGAACUAUGUUGCUACUAUGGCUAAAAACAUAAUAUUUUUUGGCUAAAGGUGUAAUUUUUUCCCCUUAUUAUCAUUCACAUGAAACAAGAAUUCAUCCUCCUCUGUACAAAUCUACCAUUGGAUCACUUAUAGUUCUCAGAGUACUCUAAACUGCCAUUUAUUCAUCUGCACAGCUUUUAAAGCAACCAAUGGAUGAUCCAAUGGUGGAUUCCAGCGCAGAAAGGUACGCCGGGUCCGGUUCCUCAGGCCCAACCAUCCGGCCCAUUUAGACCCUACAAGGAGUUCUUUGAGGGUUUUAGGGCGAGCAAACUCCCGAGCGUUUUCAGAGAAGAGGCUGAGAUGGAGAAUUCCGCGGAGUUGCAGCGAUUCCUGGAGGUUAGAUCCAUUAGCUUCUUCUAUCCUCUUAGAGACCCGUUGUUUCUCGUGCGAUAAUUUUUCCUUGCGGCUAAAUAUUCUUGAAUUUUGCUGAUCUAUAACAAAAAAAAAAAAAUUCAUUUUUGAUGUAAUAUUCGACUGCUGCGGUUUUGAUAAAAUCUGAUAGAGUCUUCUUUUUUGUGAAGUUUAGCUUGGAGUUUAUGAAACACAAUAAAAAAAAUCUUUUUAUGUGGAUUUUUUCAAUAUAUCUGGGGACUUGGUAAUUGUGUCUUUAAGCCCUUGAAUUUGGAAGCAGCUUUUGAUUCAUAAGACGAUGAAUUUAUGUUAGAAUUUGUUUCCAUUCCAAAAGGCGAUGUGAAAUCGAGAAAUUGGGAGGAAAGCUUGACUGAAAUGAUGGAAGGAAGAUAAACGGAGUGAGGAUUUAAAAUAGUCAGACCAGAUUAGGGUACAACUUUAGGUGGUAUACGAGGUGAUAGGAUAUGUAGUUGAGGUCAAAGGAAAAAUUGGUUUUCCCAAAAGCUUGUCUUUAUGCAUUGGAUUUAAUGUUGGAAGGAGAUGAGGAAAGUUGGGAAUAUUUUGAGUACGAUUAUAGUACAGUUGAUGCAGUGAUAUGGGCAUAUGAUAGUUAGUAGCAUUACUGCAUCUACCAUCUAAUGAGGAAAGCGCAAUGCCAGAAACUACAGUAGGGUGCCUGGCUGGCAAGAAGACCAAUACCUUCUCCUUCUCCUUCUCCUUGAAGCUUUGAUUACUGUCGCCCACGGAGUCGUCAAAAUUACCUAGAUCGGUGGGAGAAAUUAAGGAUAGCUGUCAAGUGCUUUCAUUCACUAAAUUGCAUGGAAUACUUUUUGCUAUGCUAUAAAUUAAGCCCAGAUAUGCUUAGCUGCAUGGAUAUACCACAAGUAACCAUGAACGGGGCGAUUUGGCAGUGGGUCCAGGUUUUGGUAAUCGUAAACCAGAUCCAUAAGAGAAGUAAAUCACUAGACCUUUUUGAAAGCAGACUAUAUAGAUACGCAAAACCAAACAUGCGCUAGCUUAGCUCAAGCUAAACCACAUUCAUUCUGGGCUUUUUCAGGAUAAAUUUCUAUUCAUUUUGGUUUGGCAUUCAUCUUGCAACAUGCUCGUGCAAGACCUGAUCCCUAGUAUGUGUUGCAUCAGGAUUCUUGCAGAAGGGAGAUUAGAUUGCACAUAUGGGGAGAUGUAAUGUUUGUAGAAUCAAUUUAAUUGACAAAUUGGUUCCUACAUAGAAAUUUUCCCACAUCUCGAACAACCUAGUUCUAUGGUAAGCAGUAACUUGUUGCAAUAACAUGGUCAUGCAGGGCUUAAUAUAUAGUGUUCUUGCAGCAUCAAGUUCUUAUGCAAGUCAUGUUAGAUGCUAAAUAUGUGCAAAUGCAGUAAGUGCAAGGCUAAUGAGGAGAGGAGAUCAAUGGUGUGAAUAGAAAUUUCAAGGCAUAUCAGAAAGCCUAAUUACAUGCUAUGCUAUGCUUAUUUCUUUUUUUUCCUCCUCCCUUUUCUCUGAUUUGUGUGCACACACAUACAAAUGAUGGGAAGCCUAGAAGGAGAACCAAUACAAUCAAACUACUUGAAGGAUGUUUUAGGUUUAUAUCUUAGGGAGGUGCUCCAGAUAUCAUAGCUAGUGCACUGAUAUUGGAGGCAUCUGUAAUGCAGUAUAAUAGAUUUGCAGUAAUGAGCAAAUGUACAAGAAUGAGGAUGUUUUAAGUAGGUAUAUAGUUAUGCUAAAAAGGAUAAGUCAGAAAUGCCUAUGAUGGAGAAAGAUUAUGAUUUCUGAGCUUUUUCAGCAUAGGAGAGAAUGGAUUUGUUUAAAUGUGGCAAUAUAGUAGGUCAUCAACAGUAUCAGUGAAGAGGUUCUUGAAUUCAUGUAGAAAAGUUAUUAGAGUGGUAGGAAGUCCAAAGAAAAUUUGGAUGGAUGGUGUACAAACAGAUUUUAAAUAUAGUUUGAGUGGUUUGGGAUUUCAGCAGGAAGUUAGGAACUAAAGGCAAAGAAGGAUCCUUAAAGUUGAUUCCAAAUUGCAAGAAAUUAUGUAGUUUUCAUUACAAGAGUUGGACUUUUUGUACAUCAUUCAUGGAAGGUCAUGAUUUUUGGAGGGUUGUGCGAUGCAUCGCUACCAUAUUGGAAGGGAGUGGCUUUGUGAAUAUGGUGGCAUAGAAUAACAUUUUUUAUGUAAAAAGCCUAUUUGGUUAGGUCUAGAUUGGAUGAUGGGCGUUCUACAUCGAUAAUCUAAACUAUUGGAUGUGAUCACAUAUCUCUAAACUGCUUACCCAUCCGGAAUUAUGUUUGGAGACCCCUAAAUUAUGCAUCAAGUGGUCAAAAAACACAUUGUUAUGUAUUAUUUCAUAUGUCUAAUUUUUAAUCACUUGGUGUCUAGGCUAGAAGUCUUUAAAUCAUAUGAUUUUUGGUAUGUAAGCAGUUUAAAUAUAGUAGAUCUUUCGUUCAAUGACUCGGAUCAUUAAUAUAGAUCCCACAUUGUUUAGUAUAGACCUAACCACAUCUAUGGAGAUCUACUCAAGUGUAGCCAAGUCGAACUCUCUCUCUCCCUAUAUAUGUAUAUAAUAUAACUUUUUCAAAUGUUAAUGUUUCUGCCACAUAGUUGUUUAUGGAUAAGUUCGAAAUUAGUUUUAUUACUGAUUUUUUUAUUAAAACAAAAUAACAUGGUAUUCCCUUGUAACAAGGGUUGAAGUGCCAAUAAUAGUUCUUGUAUUGUACUACUACAUGGUACACUUCUUGAUGUUGGCACAACAUUAAUAAGGUGAUGUACCAGGUGUUGGUAUGGAUUGAUGCUGGUACCAGUGGGUGUGCCAAUAUUGUAAUAGUGCAGUACAACUGGUACAACCCAUUAGAUAUCAGUUUGUAAUCCAUGCCUUGUAGUCUUUUAAGUAAAUUACGAAAAACUGAAACUUAGAUUACAUCAAAUGGUUUCAUUUAUUUCCCUUCACCCUUUUUCCCAGGGAGAGGGGAGGUUCAGCAGGGAGUGGUGGCCUAACAAUAUCUUGAUUCUUCCAUAAAAAACUUCUCACUAUGAUCCCUGUUUUCCUAGGGGGUGCUAGCUUGAGCAUAAUUAAGGUUGCUUUUAAUGGUUCAAUCCACCCUGACAUCACCAAGCCUUUACUUUUCAUGCCAUAAGCUUAUUUGAGAUCCUAGGACCCAUAUAAGUUUGCCUUCAAUAUAAAAAGCUCAAAACUUUCUCAAUAAUGACACAUGUCUCAGAGAUCUUUGCUUGCACAUUUUGUGGUUCCUUGCCUGCAUCAUGUUAUUUGUCAUUCUUGUGGUUUUUCAUUAGAAGUAUGUUCUUAUAGUUUCUUCAUCAGCCAUAUGAUUUACGAUGCGAAAAUAAAGUUAUAUAUGCAUUAGAUGAUGAUGUUGUCAAUAUUCUAAAAAUAAGUGGAAUUGCUUGUAAAUGUUAUUUGAAUUGGCCAAGCUGUUUGAUUUUUUUUCAAAAUUUUUAAAUGUUGAGAAACAAUGUUAUUUCUGUAUCUAGAUAAGGUGUUCCUGUUGGACACGUGCCUAACUAUGUUAUAAAAUUUCAGUGUUGUUGCCUUUGAUUCUGUCCAUUAUUAUAGUGAAAACUUGAGAGAAAAUGUAAUAACAUUGUUUUAUUGUUUGAGAUUUGAUUUUCUUUUUUUAAAAACAUAUUCUUCAAAAUUUUAGUACUUUUCAACAACAAAGAACAUAGAUACAUGCAUGGAAAUAUACACCCCCUAUAUAGGGAGUUUUAUAGAUCUGCCGCUUUAUUUCUGUUGCAAAUUUGGACCAUCUCUCUCUCUCUCUCUCUCUCUCUCUCUNNNNNNNNNNNNNNNNNNNNNNNNNNNNNNNNNNNNNNNNNNNNNNNNNNNNNNNNNNNNNNNNNNNNNNNNNNNNNNNNNNNNNNNNNNNNNNNNNNNNNNNNNNNNNNNNNNNNNNNNNNNNNNNNNNNNNNNNNNNNNNNNNNNNNNNNNNNNNNNNNNNNNNNNNNNNNNNNNNNNNNNNNNNNNNNNNNNNNNNNNNUUCUGCUUAAAAUAUAUGGCUGGAAAGUAUCCACUAGAGCUAGGGGCAAAAGCAUCUAAAAAUCUUCAUAUAGGCCCAUGCCUACAAAAAUGUGGCCUUCAUCUGCAAGAACAGCAACAAUAAAUGUGGCCUGAAUCUGCAGAAAGGAAAACAUUGUAGGCUGUUUUUUCUCAGAGUUUCAAUAUACAUAUAAAUGUGAGUGUGUUUGUCACUUUUUGUGAUUUUGGCAGAUCCUUUAAAUGUGCAAGUGCAUGAAAUGCAAGACUUCUGCAUUAUGUGUUUCGUUCUUUAAGCCAUUUAUCGUAUCACUAUCGUCAAAGUCUUUAUUUGCCAUUACUUGCACAUGUUUAAGAAUUAAUAACCUCUAAUGUUUAUUGAGGAUAUUAAAUGUCUGAGAUCAAAAAUUUGAUUCAAAUGAUUGGCUUUCUGCAGGAAGAGAAGCAGAAAGCUAUGGUUAGUGAGAUGGUGGGGAAGAUCACAAAUGUGUGCUGGGACAAAUGCAUCACUGGUACCCCCGGCAGCAAGUUCAGCUCCAGUGAAUCCACAUGUCUUACCAAUUGUGCGCAGCGAUAUAUGGACAUGACUGUUCUCAUCAUGAAACGUUUUCAGUCUAUGCAGUAAAUCAUUGUCGUUUUCACCUAACAGUCUACCCAUUUAGCAUUUCAUCUUAAUUACUCUGAGUCAUGUACUUCUGGAUGACAACUUCCAUUCUGUUUCAUACUUGACAUUGUUUGCCUAUGCAUUUUUCUGCUCAUGUUCUCAUCUGAUUCAAUGUAACAGUAUGCAACAUCUAUCGGUAUUUAAGAUCACUCAAUUCAUUUUAAAAUAAAAAGUAGCAGAAAAUCAAUAUAUUGCUUUUGUUGGAACAGAGAAUUAUAUCUGGGCUUUUUAUUGUCAUAAUACAUGAUGAAGAUCUGGCAGGCUCAGAGUAAGUAGCUACACUAAAAUUUAAUUUGUGGACACUUAACCUUUGUUUAUGUUCCUAGUUUUCUGUGGAAUAUCUUCAAAAGUUUUUCAAACACUUUUUUUUUUUUAAAAAAAAGAAAUCAAGUCCAAAGAAUAUGAAAUAUCAUUCAUGAUUUUUUCUUAAGCAGAAUUAAUGAUAGUCUCCUCUUGUGCUUAAAUUUACGAAUGUCACAGAACUUAGCAACUUCGAAGAAAUUUCUUUAUCCGUACAUCAUUUGGAUCCUUAGGUUGAUAUUGAGCCAAAGGCUGCUAACUUGUCAUCCUUGAUGUUAAAUGUUACAUCUGAAUCUUGUCUUCUGAUAUCAUCAGUAUUUUUUGCGCAAACUAGAUGUGAAUGAAGGGGCCUUUUGCUUGUAAUGCCCUGUCGGAAGAAUGUUGCAUACAAUAUUGUUUCCUGAUUUUCCCUGUAGAAAUAAUGAAUGGCUAAAUGCACAUUAUUGUCUGAAAUGAUUUAUUUAAACUAUAAUAAAGACAAUGAAGCAAAAAAGUAGUCUGAUUGGAGUUGCCUACUUCAGGCAAGAAUUUUCUUAACAAAUUUAGGUGUGGGAGAUCGGAGACAAAUGCAAUUUCAAACAUGAAGUGGUCGUUCCAACCUUGAUUGUUACCUUUGCUAGCAGUGGACCAAUGACAUUUGGGACCAUCAAGGUAUCAGAGCAACAUAGAAGGGCAGAUAAAAUUCUCACAUUUAUGGGUUGAAAAAUAAUUGGACUAUGGUGUAGUGUUUGAUGAACAUAAAAGAUGUGAAACCAGAAGUUGCUGCUAAGGUUGAAUGUGAGCAUGGGAAACAAAUGAAGCUUUCAUUUUAAUUGGUUUGAUUCAAUGUCACAUUGAUGGAUCAUUGUGUUUGAUCAACAGAAAAGACAUGCGAUAAGGCUUAAAAAGAGAUGCUGAUUAAAAUCUGGAUUGGCAAAACAGAACCAGAUAGGAACAGCCUUUUGAUAUACCGAAGAUUAGGAUGCUGAGACAGUUAACAGUCUUCGCCCUAAAAAAUGAAAAAGAAUAGUGUUUGAUCGACAGAAAAACAGCCUUUUGAUAUACCGAAGAUUAGGAUGCUGAGACAGUUAACAGUCUUCGCCCUAAAAAUGAAAAAGAAUAGUGUUUGAUCGACAGAAAAGACGUGAUAAGUGACGCAGGACAUGCAGGAAGGAGAGGAAAGGGGAAAGAAGAGGAGGGGGAAGAAGAAGAGGAGAAAAGAGGAGGGGGAAGAAGAAGACAAGAAGGCUAAUUUUCAUUCAUCAUCAUCAAAAUCCUAAACAUAAGAAUGGACCCAUAUCACAAAAUAACAAAUAAACCCCUACAAAUAAAAUAAUUAUAAAAAGCUCCUAAAAUGACAAUAUGCAAAUAAACCCAAAUGACAAUAUGCAAAUAAACCCAAUCAACAUAAAAUAAAUCAAUCUAAAAUAAAAUCAGGCUUGCUGAAUCGGCUGGGACCCGCUGAGUUGGCUGGAUCCUAUGGCGACCGGCUGACCUGGCACUGGUGUCCGCACCAACUUUCUCCGGGUGGAAAGAAGUCGACCUCGACGAAAGCGGCUCGGUAAAGCCCCGGUAAUACUUCAACAAGUCCGGGUCAAUCGGCGGUCUCUCCUCGUGCUGGAUCCAAGUGUAACCGGACUUUGGUCGUCCACGCCAACGAACCAGAAAAUGCUGGAUGCCUCCAUCACUGUUAGAGACUAUUUGCUCGGCUAAAAUAAAAUCAAUAUACUCUUUUUAUGCUCGAUGGAGGAGAAAAGGAAACGCAAAUGACAUGAAAUCAAUAAUAGGAUAAACAUCGGGCGCAAGAGAGUGUGCAGCAAAAGAGUCAAUAGGGAUUGCAACCAAAUCUUUAAUAUUAAGAGUAAGGCUAUGACCAAAAUCAAAUGAAAAGUCAAUGGUAUAGACGUCAGUGCCAUCCUUGUGCAACAUCCUGAAUGGUCCAAUACUAAGAGACUAUAAUUCCUUAAGAUGGAUCAUUACGUAACCCCAAGUUUGAAAUUCUUUAGCGUGGAAAUCAGUUUGCAUCUUAUAGUGAGCAGUCCAUGUAUGAAUGCCUUUAUGGAUUUCCUGAUGCAACUUAUGAAUGUGUUGUGCAAAUGCAUAUGCAGGCUCAGAAAUCCUAACAUCAAUUUCGAUGGGUUGUGCGAGGGCAUAUCCAACAGCACUCAUGGUAGACUGGUCAGACCCGCUAUCUGACUGUGCAAGCGAGUUAGGUGUAGUGUGGGUGUAUCCUAGGGUUUCAGGUUUGUCAUCACGCUUUUCCUCAACGUCCUAAAUGUCAUCGAGGUUUAGUUCAUAGAUUUGCUCCUCUAAGUCAUCUAUGUCACCUCCCUGCUCUUGCUGAGCAAUAACGAAAAAUUUGUUAGCACAUUGGGAGGUAACGUGACCAAAACUUGGCAUUUGUAAGUUUUGGAAUGUGGUUUGGGAGGCUCACCAAGGAUUCCCUUGCCAUUAGUGUCUCGGCUUGAGACAUGGGCAGUAGGAGGGGGCCUAGGAGUAGUGGACCCUACAAAAGGUUUGGACCCUAAGGAAUUAAAGCCUGUGAAAGUGUUCCAUGUGUCAGGGCGCCUUACAAAUGUUGACUUAAUGUUCCAUCGGUUAAGGAGAUCGUCUUGGUAGUUAAAGAGUAGGUAUUUUUCUUUAAGUCUCUCUUUCAUCUCUACCCAAUCAGUUAUUUCAUGUUGAUGUCUCCUAGCUAACAGAUGUUUGGUGCUUUGCCAGAAAAGUUUAGCUCGACCGAUGAGCUUCAUUCUGGCGAACCAAACCUUCUUUUCUUCAGACAAAUUAUACCACUCAAAGAAGUGGUCCAUUUCAUGCAACCAGUCUGAAAAGAUCUUUGGGUCAUUGCGACCAUCAAAGGUAGGAGCUUCAACCCGGAUGUCUUUCAUCACAUCUUCAACAUGGUCACGAGGUUCUCUGGGCUCUACGUUAUGUCGGUAACCUCUAUCAAUAUUAGAGAAGGGACCAGGUCCUCUAGGGCGAGGGUAGGCAUGAUGAUGACCUGGAACAGACCUAUUAUCAAAAUUGCCCUGCCGAACAGAGCCUUAUUGUUCUAGGGUUUCGUCCCCUUCAAGACCCGAUAAAUGGGAGGCACUAGGUUCCUUGGGUUCAAUAACCCUCUGAAUUGAAGACUUAAUUGAAUCAAGUCGGGCAUUAUUAGCUUGGACCUGAAUAUUAGUGUCUUGGAUAGCUUUUAAUAGAGCUUUGAUUUUGGAAUCCAUAUCUAAUUGGGACUCAAUGAGAUGCGACACGACCACUACGUCGAUGCAUGAAAUGAAUGAAGAUAUGUAUGAUCCUACCAACUAUAGAGAUUCCUAAGUGGACCUAAUGCAUGAAAAUAAUUUGAAUAUAUGCUUAAUAUAAUCGGAAGCUAACUCAAGCAAUUGAAAUUGGCUUUGAAUUACGUAAUAAAUUCAAAUAUGUAGUUGCAGUCAAAUAGUACUAGUUUUCAAUAUGUUGCAGGGCUGCACAGAGCCUUAAAGACUCUCGAAGAUUUGGUACCCACAAUUAAUAGUAAAGAUAGGCCACUACUAGAGUUUUCGUAUUAUUUGAAGUGGAUGUGUUGAAUUUUCAAAAAGCAAUAUCAAUAGAGCACUUAAGAGUUAAUUAAUUCUAAAUUUAGACAAACAAAUAAAAUUUACAGUAAGGGAAGAAACCUGAUCUGGGUUGGAGCGACGACCAACGUAUGGUAAGUCGGCUCAGAUGGCGCAAAUCUGGUCGAAUCACCGCAACUGGUGUGGUCUGAUUGGCCUGUGAACAACAGAGGAGGAGGAGAUGUUGUGGCCGUUGCAAAAGGGCUUGCUGGACGUGAUGGGUGUCGAGAGGUGGUGGAUCGGGCCUAUGUAGGGGAGGCGGAAUGGCGGCGGAAUGGCGGUGGUGCUCGUUCUGGCGAUGGACUCCGGCGGUGAUGACUCGGACGAGGGCUCGGCGGAGAGAAGAAGAAGCUCGGGCGGCGGGAGGCGAGGUCUCGGCGGCGGGGAGGUCCUGAAGCGGUGGAACUCAGGCGGCGGAGACGACGACGGCCACGGCUCGGGGAAGACGAAGAGGUAGCCGAGAAAGGAGGUAGCCGCGGUGCUGCAGUCGGCCGCAGGGAAGGAGAUGCUCGGCGACGGCGAAGGCGAUGUGGCGGCACGGCGGCGUGGAGCGGCGGCGCUUGGGUGGCGAUGGCGGACAAGAGCGGAGGCGGUGAUGGCGAAAGCGGCAGUGCCGACGGCGUUCACAAAGGGUGGGCGGCGCGGCGGAAGAAGAAGCGGAGGCCGAUCGGGAUGAAGAACAGAGGUAAGGAUUUUCCUUUUUUUCUUUUCUUUUCUUUUUUCUUCUUUUUUUAAAAUUUUUUUUGCCUCUUUUUUUGGCAACCACGUGUGGUCACGUGCGCGCUUGCGCGUGUGACUUACGUGAAAUUGAGCACGCGCAGUUCACGUGCGGCUCCUCUCUUUCUUUUUUUCUAAGGGCAGAGCUAGGUUAGCGGCUUAACGUGUGUUGGAUCUUACCCGUUAAUGCAGUCCAUCUUCAACCUCCGACGGGUUCGUUGGGACGUGCCGGAUUUCGCGGCUUCGGCUGCGAGGAAGGGCGCGACGGACUCCGGUGGGGAACGGUGCUCCGGGGCGGAGGGCGGCAGUCACGGCUGCGGGUCCGUGUCCUGCAGCGGUGAACGGAGGCCGGUCAAACACGGGGACUCAGGGGUGGCGGCUUCCGUGGAGAUGCGGCGGUCUGCGUUGGCGAACUGGCGGUGCUGCGAGGUGGGGGUGGCAGCGACGACAACUGAUGGCGGCGGUAGGCUCAGGUGCGACAACGGGCGGGGAGGGUCCGGCGCAGGGGUUGUUCCCCUUUUGUUCUUUUGUGUGGGAGCCGAGAGAGAAGAAAGAGGCAACAUAUGGGUGUUUUUCUUCUUUUUCUUCUUCUUCUUUUUAUUAUUUUUUUUGCACUGCUUUUCCUUGAUGCUUGAUCCCUCGGACGGCUACGAGAUAGAUUUCUGGAAGAAGGAACUCACGGCCAGCAUAUCACGGGAGAGAGAGAGAGUAGGUUUCUUCACGAGAAGAGUAGUUNNNNNNNNNNAUAUCAAAGCUGAUGUAGGACAACUGCAUGAAGGAGAGGAAAGGGGAAGAAGAGGAGGGGAAGAAGGGGAGGAGGAGAAGAUGAGGGGGAAGAAGAAGACAAGAAGGCUAAUUUUCAUUCAUCAUUCAUCAAAAUCCUAAACAUGAGGAUGGACCCAUAUAUAUAGAGUCACAAAAUAACAAAUAAACCCCUACAAAUAAAACAAUUCCAAAAAGACCCCAAAAUGACAAUAUGCAAAUAAACCCAAAUGACAAUAUGCAAAUAAACCUAAUCAACAUAAAAUAAAUCGAACUAAAAUAAAUCAAUCUAAAAUAAAAUCAGGCUGGCUGAAUCGGCUGGAACUCACUGAGCUGGCUGGAUCCUGUGGCGACUGGCUGACCUGGCACUGGUGUCCGCACCAAUAAGGCUUAAAAAGAAAUGCUGAUUGAAAUUUAGAUUGGCAAAACAGAACCAUAUAGGAAGAGCCUUUUGAUAUACUGAAGAAUAGGAGACUGAGAUAAUAACAGUCUUCGCUGAGAUAAUAACAGUCUUCGCUGCAAAAAUGAAAAAGAAAAGAAGGAAACUCGGGUGAAUGAGUUGCCUUUCUGUACUCUUGCAUCGACCAUGUGCAUAUGCUACUAAAAUUUUGUGAGGGAGAAAAUUCAUGAGAUCCUGAAUUGAUUGAAAGGUAAAAGUUUAGAAACUUUUUAGCUAUUUAUUUAUUUAUUGAUAAAAGAAAGUUUUAGGAAACCUUUGCCCAACCCGUUUUUAGGACUACUAGUGAAAAAAAAGGAAAAUAAAAUAUAAAAAAUAAAAAAUAAACCAUUUGACCAUCCAAACAUGCAUAUAUCUCAUAAGCAAUAGUUAUAUGUUAUGAUCAAUCUGCCUUAUUUAAACAACUCGCUCGAGUUUUCGCUCUCCAUUUAUAACCUAAUAUUUUUCUGAAUUUUUUUGCUAAAUUGCUGAAUAAAUUCCUUUAUCUAGUGCCCACCAAGUGUAGCAUCCACCAUGGCUGAUAUCUUGUUUAGGCCCUUCCACAACUUCCACUCAUGUCAUCUUUCCUCCUCUCAUUCCUAAGGCAGCAUUGCAAUUCUGAGCUCCUACUUUGAGCAAUAUAGCAUUUAAUCUCUAGUAACUCUAUCAUGACAUCCUAUUUCUAUUUAAGUGGGCCACCAUAAGUUUUUGAACAUUUGACUCAUGGAUUUGCCUGUGAAUUUGAUCAUAUUCUCAUACAUUGAUCAUCCCUCGUUAAAUACAAUUGGGAGAUAUCACCUACAUGAUCACCCACCAUUCUCAUCAUAUUUAAGGCACCAUGUUUAUAACAUUUAUUCCUCCUCUCUACUCAACUAUUGACUGCAGUUCUAUAUUCAAAAUGCCCUCUGUGACAAUAAAACCUACAUAGAAUGGGGCAAGGAAUGCUCCCUCAAGAUUGCUACAGCCCCCAAAAGUCCAUCCUCAUAUUAAAUGAUCCUUCAGAGCUUGUUUCCUAAUUGUCCAUUAUAAAGAACGUAGUAAGUGUUUUGAUUGGCUCUGAUUGGUCCGACCCUUGGAAAUGCCUCGAGGGCAAUAGCCUGGUGGUUGGCAUUCCUUCCCCAUAUGGUUGAUGUUCCACGUUCAAAUGGCAACAUGAUCCAUGUAAUUUGUACCAUGAUAAUGCAGUGUAUGGCAUGCAAAUCAUCCUCGUGUGACAGCAGUGUAAGAUAAAAUUUUGUUCAUAAGACAUAUGGAGCUUCUGCGAUUUAAUUUCGAGGAAAACGCUGAAGAUCACCUACCAUAUCGCUGUGAUUGGUCGAGUAGUACCGAGGGCGGGGCUCAACUGAGACCGGCCAUCCUAUCCUCGACUGCGUCAAUUCUUCGCUGCCACAUUUCUUGAUUCAAUGCGCAUUGUUACUUUACAAUUGAACAAGAUUUAUAGGCGAUCCGUCGCAAUCUGAUGUGCAUCGAAUGCGCUUUAGCAGUGUUGGUUCUUGCAUAUGUCUAUUGGUUUAGGCCCCUCUUAGCUGAUGCACCACAUCCAAAACUGUUCAAAAAUUUGCUCAAUGCUGUAAAUCAUAACUUGGAGUAGCAGCCUAAGAUUGUGUGGAUUGUUUCGUAUGGUCAAAAUAUGAUCAUUUGUUCGGUUUUGUUUUUGUAGAGCAAGAGUAAUGCUGCCACCGGAAACUGGUCUGGCCCAAGCAUUGAGUUGGUGGUGGUCGCUAGAGUUCUCGGCUUGUCCACCAUCCAUAUUGGAGAAAUUGGAUUGGAUCACUAUACAUCUUUGUGGGGAUGUUCCGGUAGAGUUAGAUAGUGGAGAAACGGCUUCUAGUGGCGCUCCAACGUUGGCUUCAACUUGAAACAGUAAAAAAUAAAGAAAUCCACCUAUCAGAGCAAGUCUGACAAAAGACCCUUUGAUACCUAAGUCAGAUACAACCCUUGGGGAACAUGAGGAAGCGUGAGAGGAGCGAAGAAACAAUAUAAAAGAGUUGAAAGAGAACUUAUCUGGAAGACUACCAGGAACGCAAUAUAUAAAAUGAGGGUCAGAACCUCUUGCCUAGUAGUUUGAAGAAAAUACGCUAGUUGAUAAGGUAAGGCUGCGUAUCUUACUUGUAAAUCUCUUUCAUAUUUUUCGGUAACGGAAUUUAUUUCGACACCGUGCUUGUUAGAAAAUAGUGAGCGAUAUGGCUAGAGUUGUUGCCAUCUGUGAAAGAGUUUGAGAUACAGGAGAGUCUGCCUGCACUCUUUAGGUGGGCCAAAUGACAAGUUUUAAAUAGUCAACUUGCGGCAAAAUAGCGAGCUGAUUCAUCUUGGUCGGCUCUUUAGGUGUAUCCAGUAAUAAAACCAUGGCUUUGGUCCACAGUUGCUCGGACCACAAAUAAAUGAGAGCACGAAAAGGCAGUAGAAUCAGACCAAGUGGAUGUGAUACAAAAAGCAUGAGAGAAUUAACCAUGGGUAAUUUGAAGGAGUGAAUUGUAAAAGUAAAUAUAAACAACUCUGGAUCAACUAACCAAGCAUAAAUGAUAAUGGACUUUUAGAUUUUUUUUUUUCUUUCUUUUAACAUUUUGCAAUGCUGCUACUAUAGCUAUCUUUCUUAGAUUCUUGAUUGCACCAAAAUUCCUAUGCCCUUAAGCCAUUUCUAUUUCUUUAUUUAUUUUUCUUCCAAUAAAUGAGCUAUUCUAAUUCUUAUGAGACUUAGCCAACCAGUUUUAGCUUAAUUGGUUGGCAUCCCUCUUCACUUGGGGACAUGGAUAAGGCCAGAUGAUAUCUCUACCCUGUUUCCCUAGAAAAGAAUAAUAAUAAUAAUAUUGAUAAAGCAAAAGACUAAUAUGGGAUAUUUGCCCAAGCAACUCAUAGAUUAUGCCAAAGCCUGAGACCAUCAUACUACUUACACUAUAAAGCUUGAAAAUUCUGAUAAUCCAGCUCAUGGGUGAUCAAAUACACAACUCUACAGGUAGCAAACUUAUUCAUAAGCAGUUGCAGAUCUUCAUGACUCAUUGACUGGAAUAUUAUACUGGAAAAGUGUGCAUAUACUUUCCUUAAAGCAAUUCUUUUAGGUGUCAUCUACUGCAAGCUAGUCAAAAAGAAAUUUUGUUCCCAUGAUCCAUCAACAAAUUCUAAUACAGCUUAAGAAACCAAAUUUUUUUGUUAAAUUAUUCAUCGAUUAGCAUUUAUAGGGUUUAGGGGGAUGGAGUUGGUUUUAUUAUUCCCAACUUGGAGACAUGUCCUUUUUAUAGGAGAAGAGGCAAUUUUGAGUUGUGACAGUGAAUGAAAAUGUCACUGGCCUCGAAUGAACUCAUUCAAAGCUUGUGCACAAAUGUCCAAAAUCAUGCAACCUUUUUUCCAUAUAAAACCAAAUCUUAGAUUUUUUUUUUAGACAAAAAUGUGUAGCUGAAUUUUUAGACUCAUGUGAUCUCUGCUAUGCAAUUAAACUUGAUGAAAAAGAUGUUCCAUGGUGUAGGAAAGGGCAUCUCUGUUCAAUGGCAUAAAAAUGUCUCAAGGGAAUAUUAAAUUUGUUCAAACAAAUAGUUGUUUCAGAGGCUUUUUUUUUUUUUUUAUUGACAUAGAUGUAUGUGAGUGCAACUAAUAAAAUCAAAAAAAAAAUACAUGGCAAAGAGAAGAAAAAACGGAGUCCUAAUUCUCAAAAAAAAAAAAAACUCUUUCGAGUGAUGCACAAGAGACAAUUUUCUUCAAAAAUAAUUCAGAAAAUUAGAAUUGUCCAAAGAACAACUCAAUGAAUUGUCCUAUUAACUGUUUUCUUACUAUAAUAAUCCUGUUAAAAUAUUUUCCCUUCUUUUCCAACUAUUACAGAAGAACUUGGAACUAAUUACAUUAGCAUCUUGAAUUGCCCCCUAUAUAAAAGCUAUAUUUCCUUUUUCCGGACCCAUGCUCCAAGUCCUAACAUUUAUCUAAUCCAACCGCACAUGACACUGAACAGUCACUGAUGGACUGAACAUUUCAAUCCCAAAGCAAUGGCAUUCAGAAGGCUAUCAAACAACCGAGUAAUGAGAGCUGAAGGAGUGGGGAAGUUGGAGACGGCAUUCAUGGCAUGCGAGAAAACUCUCUCUCUCCCUCUGUCUCUCUCGUCUUCCCAAAGGCAUUAAUGGGGGAAGACAGAGUCCACUAAAUGACUGACCCCAAACUUAAAAGCUAGCUUUUUCAUCACAACAUUUAUUUUUGUUUUUCUUUUUUUUGCUUCACUUAUUGCAUUCAAUGCCUGCCAUCUGCCCACAAGGACUCGCCUGCAAUCUUUCUCACUCUCUCCCUCUCCUCCAUCCCUCCAUGGCUUCCUUCUGAGGCGAUAAUAAAUGCCUUGUCCAUUGCUCAUUGAUAUCUUGGCUCCUUUCUUCCCCUUAGAAUAAUUUGGAACUAAUCAUUUUUUUCUUUUAUCUGCAGUAAUAAUUUUUCAGUACAUGGAGAGAAAUGGUGAAGGAGUUGAAGAGCAUAUCCUAUUGUAGCAGAGUUCUCUCGAGACACCUCAACGAAGUUUAUAUAAAUCACAUACAUGGCAAUCCGGUCUGUAGCAAAGAUUAGAUGGAUUAGGCUUUGGAUUAACAAUCAAUGAGCUAGUUACCAAAAGAUUUGAUAGUUUUCUUGAGAAUUAGCCUGCAGAAAACAACAUAGAGUUUAACCAGAACAGAUGAAGCAAAUUUGGAAAAAUUUUCUGGCCUCUGAACUGACAUCAAUUGGUUUUGAUGCUCUAUUCAUCUACAUCUACUUCUCACUGUGGGAGAGGAGAUGGUUUAAAAUUUGCUAGGCUGUAUUUAAGUUUUAUCAAGUAACACUAAGUAAAGAAAUAUGUGUAACAAAUCAGACACAAGGAGAGUAGUACGUAAGCAACUAUACUCAUGGAAGCAGAAGUUUGAAAGAUAGUUUGUGUUAAAAAGAUGUGGUGCUUUGAUUUCAGUUGAAUUGCUAAAAAACUCACAUGCAAAGCAGGCUUUUAAGAAGCCAUGCGCUAAAACAAAGUUCUCAAACAACAGAAAAUAAGCUAAGAAGACAGAUGAAACAAAAAUUUGAAUGACGAUGUGCAUAAGUGAUAUGUUUGUUUGAUGCUUUUCAUGUAUAAUCCUAGUCUGCGGUUAAGUUGUCAUUGAAAACAUGGAGAACAUAGAGUAGAAGUUAAUCGAUUACAUAGCAAGGUGUGACAAAAUUCCUCUGAGGAACCACCAUCAGCUGAAGAACCAUGAGCCAGAAUCCAUGAAUUCAAAGAAGCAAAAGCAAGAGAGAGUUCUCAAAAACAAACCCAUAAAAUUCAAAACCUGCAUGAUGAUAAGAUUAAAAGUUUAUAUGGAUACUUCAAAGUAAUUCAUCCCAUCUUCAUAAGUGGAGCCUGUUGAGCUUUUGAGGUGGUGGCUGCUGAGAUCUCUCCUUCUUUCUUCUGGACUGGUAUGGUGUUAGCUGCUGGCCUCAUCGGCGGGGCAGCGCAGACCGGAAUCACAGAUCUUAUAUGCACAGCAGGAGCAACACCGGGCGGACGGUAUCCACCACUGGCAAACACUGUUGGAAAUGGAAUUGCCUGUAGAUUUCUUGCAGAAGCUGUUCCAGUUGAAGGAUUGGUACAAGGAGAGGGACAAAAUGGCCUGGCACUCAUCUGGGUUUGCUGGGUUCUUUGAUCCAUCACUCGGCUGGCGGCCGACGUGUUCGAUAUAGAAAAAGCCCGGGAAUAGGCCGCCGGCGUAGGAGUGUAUGGCUUCGCCGGCGAAUUCCCAUUGCUCUGUUCCUCAUCCUUUUGUCUCUCUUCCAGCCGUGGUGCAGAAGGCAUUGGCCUAUUUGAUGAGAAGAGAGGUACAUUGCUGCUCUUGUCCUUGGAGAAAGAUGGCUCUUGAGAGGUGAUGGAAGAGUGCUGCAACAAGGUCAUUGGUGGUAAUAUCUUGGGAGCUAGGAAACAUCUCUGUUGCUGAGCACGCAGAGGAUCCAAGACCUUCCAUCUGUGAUGAAAUGCUAAAGAAUAGAGAGAAGAAGAAGCAGAGGUGCCCUCUCUAGAGCCUAACACCACCCUGCUCCUCUGUUGAUGCUGAGUCCUGUGUCUCACUGGUUUGCUCUCCUCUUUAGGCCUUAAAUUAGAUAAAACUCUCGUCACAACCACCUCUUCCUGCUCUUCACUGCUCUCUUUCUCUCUGGCCUGCUGCGAGGAAGAACCCAAAUCUGGCACUACAAAUAUAUAACCAUUUGAAAGAUAAAAUCAUAACAACUUUGCUCAAAAAAGAUAGAACCAUAAGAACACACAAGAAUAAUGAGACACUAGAAGAGAAAAGACUUGGUUUUUCUUUACUUUGUUUAAGAGCAGACCAAGCAGCCAUGGCAGCAUUCUUCUCAGCUUGUUUCUUGGUCUUCGCUGGCUCACCAGUGAAGCUCAUGCCAGCGAGCUCCACAGAGCAAGUGAAGACAGGGAGGUGGCCAGGCCCUGACCUCACGGUAGUGUAGACAGGGAGCUUCAAGCCAGCCCUGUGAGCAGUCUCUUGGAGAAGGUUCUUGUACACCCCAGUCUCAUCCUAUCCAACAAGUAGCCACAGGACAAAAGGAAAGAAGAAAACAAUGACAAGAGACAAAUGGCUUGCUCCGGUUGACAAGAUAAAAAGAGGAACGCAACGAAGUCUAGGAAUAGAGGAAAAGGGACUCACAAGGACUCUAGCUGCCAGAGACUUGGAAGGACCUCUGGUGGAGAGGUUGGUGAGGGCCACCUCAGCUGCAGCAUGCUCUGCCUGCCUUAGAGUGGUGCAGUUGCUUGGCCCCUCAAAGAUCUCUCCAUUGAAGUUAACCGAGGCUUUGAACCUUGGUGCAUGGUCUGGUCCUUCCCUUAUGCAAGCAUAGGAGGGGAGAUUGAAGCAGCUCCUCUGUGCUAGCUCUUGUAGCUGGUUUUUAUACAUACCUGCAACCAAUGGACCAAUUUAAAGCAAACAGCAUCCAAGCUUACAAGAAGACAGAGAGCAAGGAAAAGAAGGUCUUUCGAUUAAAAGACAAAACUCCAAAGCUAUAACAGGCCAAGAGCUCCUACUUUUUAAAAGGCAAGCAGGGAAGCAGCAAUGAUAAAAGGCAAAACCAGCAGCCUAACAUGUUGGAGAGCAAUUUAAAUAUGGACUUUUGAUUCAAAAGGCAGCACCUUUUAUAAGGGAAAACAAAGAGGCAGCAAAAGAUACGAGGAGUCUAGAACACACAGACAAGCCAAACUUACAGGAGAACAAGGAAAAAGAGGAACUUUUGAUUCAAAAAGUUGAAACUUUUUCAGGAGGCAAACAAGGAAGAAGCCAUGAACCAGAAGGACAUAAGAAAAUAAUGGAGAACCCCCCACACACACACACCUUUAAGAAAAGUAGGACAGGGAACACAACCACUUCCCUGGGAUGCUUUACAACCUCAUGAUGGGCUUCAUAUCAUCUUAGAAGGGAGAAGAAAGAAGAGCUCUCAGAAGAGGUUGCUUUUUACUUUUGGGUGGGAUUUCUCCAGUGGUCUUGGAUUUCUCUGAGGUCAGGUUGGGAGGAGAUGGAUAUGGGACUCGCUUUCCUGGGUCUCUGCAUUUAAGCAGCAGGGUUUCCGAAUGGAGCACGGUUUUCCAGCAGCGGACAGGGCCCAAACCCAGCCACCUCUCUGCAAUUAAUGGGCAUUUAUAGCAUCUGUAAGCUUUCUUGUGGCUUUCCCGCUCACUAAUCCUAGCACUUGGCCUUGGCUUUGGGGGUCUCCUAACAGUGGGCUUUGAAUGUCUUGGAGGAGUUACAUGUUCACAAGUCAAGGCUCUGACUCUUCCCUGGGACCAGCCACAGCCCUUUGAUCUUUGCAUCUCUGAUUAGUAUUGAUAUAAUUUAAAGCUGAAAGAGAGAUCACCAUCAAACCUUUUAUAACUCCCACCUUCUCAUUGACCUGGGGGACUCUGAGGUGAGUCAGGUAAACAAUCACACCCAAAAAAGCUCCAAUUAGUUUCUAACAUCGAAAGCACAUACAAAUAAGAGGUUUCAGUAUACCCAACUCCGCUUCCACAUAUUUAUUAAUGCUAAAACUAAUAUAAGUAUCUAAAAUGAUCAAACCAUCAAAAGAAAACUCCACCGGCUAAGACCGAAAGGUAAGGUUAGGCUAAAACUACCAAUAACCUNNNNNNNNNNNNNNNNNNNNNNNNNNNNNNNNNNNNNNNNNNNNNNNNNNNNNNNNNNNNNNNNNNNNNNNNNNNNNNNNNNNNNNNNNNNNNNNNNNNNNNNNNNNNNNNNNNNNNNNNNNNNNNNNNNNNNNNNNNNNNNNNNNNNNNNNNNNNNNNNNNNNNNNNNNNNNNNNNNNNNNNNNNNNNNNNNNNNNNNNNNNNNNNNNNNNNNNNNNNNNNNNNNNNNNNNNNNNNNNNNNNNNNNNNNNNNNNNNNNNNNNNNNNNNNNNNNNNNNNNNNNNNNNNNNNNNNNNNNNNNNNNNNNNNNNNNNNNNNNNNNNNNNNNNNNNNNNNNNNNNNNNNNNNNNNNNNNNNNNNNNNNNNNNNNNNNNNNNNNNNNNNNNNNNNNNNNNNNNNNNNNNNNNNNNNNNNNNNNNNNNNNNNNNNNNNNNNNNNNNNNNNNNNNNNNNNNNNNNNNNNNNNNNNNNNNNNNNNNNNNNNNNNNNNNNNNNNNNNNNNNNNNNNNNNNNNNNNNNNNNNNNNNNNNNNNNNNNNNNNNNNNNNNNNNNNNNNNNNNNNNNNNNNNNNNNNNNNNNNNNNNNNNNNNNNNNNNNNNNNNNNNNNNNNNNNNNNNNNNNNNNNNNNNNNNNNNNNNNNNNNNNNNNNNNNNNNNNNNNNNNNNNNNNNNNNNNNNNNNNNNNNNNNNNNNNNNNNNNNNNNNNNNNNNNNNNNNNNNNNNNNNNNNNNNNNNNNNNNNNNNNNNNNNNNNNNNNNNNNNNNNNNNNNNNNNNNNNNNNNNNNNNNNNNNNNNNNNNNNNNNNNNNNNGUAUGUUUAUUUUUUAUUUUUAUCAAAGACAAUACAAUGAUGGCUAAAAUAUAAAAUAUGUACAUCAAAUGAUUAUUUAAUGAUAUGAACACAUAUGUACAAGCAACAGCCGGAUUGUCGAUGGUUUGACAUUCAAAUCAGAUCUUAGGAUAUAUAGUUUACUUUGGAAAUUUUUUUACCCCAUAUAAUGGUAUAUUAUUAGUACAUAUAGUUGCUACUAAAUAUUUGAAUAAAAUGUUAUGAUUGAAAUUUUAAGGGUGCUUAUAAUUACUACUAAAUAUUAGAAUAAAAUACCAAGAUUCAUACUUGAAAAAGCACUUAUGAAUGCUGCUAAAAUAGAGAUUUUAUGGUAUUUCAUAAAAAUAUCGGUAAUUAAUUAGCGACGUCAUCUUAAGAUAGCACAUAAAAAAUAGUAUAAAAAUAUCAGAAAAUAUAUUUUCAACAUAACUCUUUUUGUUGUAUUGACUUCAUUAGAUAUGUUUUCUGCUUUGUUUUGAAAUAGAACCACCCAUGAACAAAACUUCUACUGGUGUUUAGAAAGGAGAAUCCAGCCGCUGCCACGUGUGACGUCUCCUUUUGGCUCCUCAAGCGACUAUUCGUAUUUUUGACGAAGUUAGGUCCAACCGACGGCUAAAAGAAACGAGAAAAAAAGAACAGCCUUGACGCCGUUACGUUUUUCUGACAGUUCCGCUGCUAUUUUAUUAUUCUAUAUCACAAGUCUAAUAAGUGGGCGUCAAAUGCGCUGAGGUAUUGCGAAAGCAUCUUCCAGUCAAACAGUUCGGCUCUUUGAAAAGCUAAAGUGCACUCAGAAGGGGACUCUUUAAAUGAACCAGGACACAUAAAUAACUAGAGUUUCGCCGCCCACCAGGAUUUAUUAUUAUUAUUAUUAUUACUUCUGAAACAAACUUUAUUUUUUUUAAUACUUGUGCCAUCACGCAACAAGGUCGGAUCUGACAGAUUGGAUGUAAAAUAGAUCAAAAAUUUUUCACCCUGAAUCCAAUCUAUUCAUUAAACAUAUCAAAAAUUUAGAUCCGAAUCUUAAACUAAUCUAAUUCUACUUAUAAUGGAUUAAAUCAAGUUAAAUGAAUUAAGCAUUACCAUCCCUAAUCCUUUCUUCAUGAAAGCCUUAGCAUUUGUCGUGCAUUGAUGGCAAUAAAAUACUCUCUUUAUCUAUAAGUUUCCAGUUCAAUUGCUUAUUCAAUUGCCGGAAGAUUUUAUUAAUUAUAUUAAUAUGAGCAUUUAUUAACCUAACAUGUAUGAACUCCCAUAUAGCUACUGUAAUAAUGUGUUACAUAUUAAUUGUUACAAUAACAAUAUUACAUGACAAAAUUUUUUGGCACUUAUUUAAUAUAAAGCCUUCUUAGAAUUAUAAUAAUCUAUUUUUUUUACUAUAGCAACGAAUAUUUCACUAUCAAGAUUUCCAUGUAUUAUUUUGCAGAAUUUCAACAUCUCGUCUUUGCCGAGAUAUUUAAGUCUAAUUUUAAAAUAUUUAAAAAAUUUAGGAUGUAUUUGGUUUGUGACCGAAAUAGAAACUAAUAGAAAUUGGAAUAAUUAUAUCUUCUGAUGCAUUUGGGUUGUAAUUAGAAUAAAUUGAAUUUGAAUACUAGGUGAGGCUUUGGAUUGGAGUUGGAGAAUUGAGGUGUUCUUAUUCUCUUCUAGAAUCACAUGAAAAUGGAACUCUCUCCAAGCAAAUAGAUGAAAUAGGAGUCACUCAUCUCAUUCUUAUUUUGGAGCUUAAUUUUUUCUAAUUAAAUAUGCCCUAAACUUUCAUGUAGGUCAAAAGUGUUAGGCUCCAAGAACCUUGUCAUUCACACACUUGCACUUGUAUGUCCAUCUGGAACCCAGACUGGUCCUCUCUUGGAGUCCUUCCCCUUGGUGUGCUUAACUCUGAUCCACUCCCUCGUGUGGAAGGUUGAGCACCUACCCGCCAACCACCCGGACACGUGCGAGAAAAUUCACACGGCCGAGCUCUCCUGCUCUCUCUCAAUUAACUUGUCGGAGACGGAAAAGCGGAGUUCGGCGGCGGCGGUGGCGGCGGAAGAGAGGGAGGAGAAGGAGAGGAAGGGUUGUGACGGAAGAGAUCGCGGACGUCCGGGCGGCCUGAGGCCGGGAUCCGACGGUACACCGGAGGGCAGCGAUCAUUGUGGGGAGAGAGCAGAGACCCUAGGAAAGACCCCCUCUUUAUUGUCAUCCCUCUGUGCGUGCACUCCGUGUAUCCAAGGUUUCCAGCGGGCGGAAGAGGAGGAGGAGAGGCGCCGGCGAGGAGGAAUGUACGUGGCCCCAUCUACCCGGGACCCGGAUCCGUCCGCCGCGGGGCCCCGGCGAGGAGGAAUGUACGUGGUCCCAUCUACCCGGGACCCGGAUCGGUCCUCCGCGGCCGCGGCGGAUGGCGAGGCGCCGAGGGUUUACGAGGUCUGGAAGGGCAGCAACGUAAGUGGUGGCCUCUUUUCCCCUUCCUCCUUGCUCUCUCUCUCUCUCUCUCUCUAGCAAGUCGUUUAGUUAAUCUGUCUCUUUGCGUAGGGGCUGCUAGCAGNNNNNNNNNNNNNNNNNNNNUCUCUCUCUCUCUCUCUCUCUCUCUCUAGCAAGCGUUUGUUAAUCUGUCUCUUUGCGUAGGGGCUGCUAGCAGCUUGCUAUUACUGAAAAAAUUAGAUUUUUAAUGUUGGCAUUCGUGUCAGAGCAGGCAAAGGGGAAAAAGUUAGGGUUUUGAGAUUUGAUUCUGUACUUUUAUUGGGUGCCUUGUUUUGUUUCUUGUUGCCUUGAUUUGAGGUGUAUUAAUGUGAAAACCUCUCAACCUGUUUAUUUGUUGCUUCAAGAAUGGUGAAUUUAAGAGGCUUUAAGAGCUGACUUUAUUCCUUGAAAUUGUUAGUUGAGUUAGAACCUAUCAAGUAACGAACUUUAGUUUUUUUACUUUUAUGGUUAGGUUGGAUGACAAGAGAUGAGAAGGGGGGAUUUGUUGGUCUCAGUGACUUACUGUAUGAUUUAUUAGGCAAUUAAGAAAACUGAUCUUAUGAAUCCUUCUGUUGGUGUGCUUUGUUCGUUUUAGCUUUACACCUCUGGUUGCGACUUUCUUUUCAGAACCAUCUGUUCAUAUCUGUUAAUCAUUUCUAGUGGCAUACAAGUUGUUGGCCUCCAAAAGCAUCAUUCUUAUCAAAAUUCAAGGAUUAGAAGCAAACAUUUAAUUAAUAGGAAAAUUUUGUUACUUGGUCUAUGACUACUAAGGGUUAUGAGUUAUAUUUUAAUUCACAUUUUGUGUUUAAGAAUGAGCAGUAUCUCAAUGUGAGGUAGAAAAGGCUGUUUAGGCAUUACCUUAAUUUUAUUCAUUGUGGAGUGUAAGUUUGAGGAGUUCAAGUUGUACUUGAAAACUAAUAUCUUAAGAGAGCUAUGAAACUAGAAAUGGCUGCCACACUGAUUUUGUCAUUGUUUUAAAUCCAAAUGAUUAUCUUUAUGCUCUACAAUUCUUAGCAUUAUUUUGCGUUGCCAGCUCUUAGAUCUCUAAUUCAUUUUCUUUGUGCAAAUCACAAAUUUUUGCUACAUAUUCGUAAUAGAUUAAGAUGGGUAUUCAUAGCCAAAAUUUAUUGGGACUCAAUCUUGUUAACAUGGUCGGAAAGUGCUGAUCCCAAAAAUGUGGAGGGCUAACAAUAUGGGCUCUAUGACAUGAUUGCAUAUUUCUUGGCAAGGUGGUUUAAGGUGAUCAUGGUAAGCGUUCAUCAUUUAUCCUACUUUUUCCUCCUCCUCCUCCUCCUCUUAAGGUGGAUUUCUUAUUUUGGAAAUGUGUUAGUGGCAUUAUAUGGAUGUUUAUGGUAGGUAUAAGGCAUAGGGUUUGAGAGGUAACCUUGCUAGUUUCUGAUGGUAGUUUGGUUGAAUAUUUUAGGAAGGAUUUUCCUAGAUUUCUCAAUUGAUUUAAAGUAGUUCCAGAUCAUGAGUCUGUGACACAUUGGUGCAGGAUUCCUUGGUUAAAGGCUAAGAGGUUCCGUUUUUCGUUUUUUGGGUGUGAAGUAAAUACACAAAUGGAUGAAAAGAGUUCUCACAUGAUAGUUUGCAGAGGGUGUGUAAGAAAAAAAGGCUGGUCUUUUAGGCUGACUUUUGUUUUGUUAUAGGAAGAUUUUUUGAAAAUGUAUUCAGAGACAUAUUAGAUGAAGCUAUCAGAUGCAAGCUCCAAUUAUCGAUCUUGACUUUGAUUAAAUUCAUUGAAGGUGGGAUUUUAUUUUAAGAAUUAUUAUUUUAAAUUUUAUGUAUUAAAAAGAAGGCAAAAUAGUUUUAUAUAACUAUACUUUUCUAGUACAGCUUCAAUGUCAGUUUUAGAUGCUAUCCAGGUAGAAACUGGCAUGAAAACUUGUUGAAACAGAAAUAUGGAGAUAAAUAAGAGAAAACUGAGGAACCGUAGGGCAGUGGGCCAUUCCUAAGUCAACUAUGGCUCUUGGCUUCCCUCUCUUCAGAUUCGUCUGUCUCUUCAUAAAAGGUAAUAUAUAUAACAAGAGCCUUAUAGAAAAUUUGAGAGAGAAAAGCUUCAGAAAGGUCAAAGGAGGCAGUAUGAAUUCACUAGGAAAGAGAGUGCUCAAGGCAAAUGAGUAGUGCCAUUAUGGAAAGGAGAGGUAAGAGUACUUCCAUCCUUCAGUACCCUAGUAGCACCUAGGCUGACUAUGAGGUGAUGCCCAUGAUUCAGCUUGACAGCCUGCUUGUUGGGUAUGGCUGCCUGUGACUGGCAACAUCACUUAAGGGGAGCUUUGCCAUGUGCAUGUUCCUUCAGUCUUCUCUUCAAAACGAGCACUGUGGUUUGUAAAUGGGUCGAAGCUGGCAUUAUCACAAUUUUUAGAAACAUUUUGCGGUGGUUGUCUCAUGUCAUGUGUGCAUAGGAUAUAGGAACAUGCUAUUAACUUUGCUGUUUUUUUUGCAGAAUGGAGGUAAAGGGGCUUGGUGCAUAGAAUAUAUAGAUCAUGGGUAAAAGUUGUUAGUCAUCAUCUCAUGAACCCUUCAGUUAUUUACUCUCCCCUCCUUUCCAUCUAAAGGAAAGGGAACAUUACUUCCUCCCUCACUUUCUAAAUUCUUUCAAAAGCCAACAUGUUAAGAUUACUGGGAAUGAAUGGAGGUGGUUAUAUUGUGUUUGAAUGGAAUGAGUGAGGGAGUUGAGAGGCUGUGGGAGGAAGAGGGUGUGCUAGGUUUGAAUGAAGGUAAGGAGUGAGACAAAUUGAAGAUUAUGGGAAGAGUGUUGGGCAGGAAGACGGUGGCAUCAGGGAUGGGAUGAGGGAGGGAGGUGGUUAUGGACUGAGGGUUGGAAUCAAGAAAGCCAUUUGUUCCAUUUCCUUUUUAGGUUCUAGAUUAUGAAUAACUUUUAGAAUAUUUAUUUAAAAAAUUCCCUUCUGUCCAAUCUGUUUUUGGGUUGAUUUUUUAGAACUAUUUCUGAGACACUCUUUUAUUAGCUAAGAAGGUGGUUGUGUGCUAAUGAUGUGGAGGUUUUAUGUCUCUUACUCAGGUUAUUGCAUGGUAGCUACUGUGACUUUAGUGAUAUCAUUUUUAGUUGUAAUAUAUAUGACUGAUGUCUACUGUAGAUGCUUUUGUUUUGGUCUAUUUUCAUUUUAUAUUGUUAACAUGGUGGUCAAUGCCUUUUUUCUUGAUGAUUUUGUCCAUUUUCCUCAUAAACAAAAAUUUAAUGCAUUUGCUGGAUUGAAUAGGCAAAGAUUCUACCUUUUUGGAAAGCCCAGUUGGGUGGGGAUUAGGCGAAACCUAACUAUGUGGGCAGUCCUUCAAUUGACUUAGUAACUCCAAGAGAAAAGUUAGCAGAAUGUUUAUCUCUUUUGUCACUUAUCCAUUUUAUAUCAAAUCUUGUCAUGUCAUUUUAUUACUGAAACUAGAAAUAUAACUGUGCUUGUUCAUGCUGGACCUACAUUACACUCACUUUGCACUUUAUAGCAUUAGAUUUUGGAAAGUUUGAAUCAAUCUGGUUUGAAACCAAAUUCCAAUUACCAAGGCUGAAGGUCUCGGCACUGGAAGCCAAGCCAAUCAGGUUCCAUUACGGUGUGGUACAUGAAUAUUAUGUAUUGACACACCAUAUAUAGUUGGUGCCUGCACAGCAAAGGUGACACCAACUACCAUGCAUUGAUAUGGUAUGGUACCAACGGGCAUAGGGAAUGGGGAUGCCAUUUACAGAAAUGUUGAUGUACAUUUACAGAAAUGUUGAUGUAUCUUAUAAAAUCCUAUUUCUACAAGGUAGUGAUGUCAACAGGGAUGCAUAGCCGAAUAUUUUAUUCGUAUCUGAACCGAAUAGAGCGGUUUUAACCGAAAUUAAGUGGGGAUGGUUUCGGUGAUUGGUUUAAAAAUUAAAAACCAUCCAUUUUUUUUGGUUAUGGUUUUGAUGAUUCCUUGACCCGAAACCGAACCCAAAACUGAAACCAAAACCGAACAUACCUAAUAUUUAAUACUCGUAAUAACCUUUAUAUUUUGUGUAAAUCUAAAAUAUUAUAUUAUGAAUUUGGUUAGAUUAUGGAUUAUAUUAUGAAAAUCAAGGAUGAUAUCUUUAAUUUGGUUAUUUAUAUGUGAAAAUUUUGAAAUGAAUAAAAAAGUUAAUGAUUUUGGUUUUACGGUUUUUUUGAGUGACGGUUAUGAUUUUUUUGUCUCAAAAACAAUUCGGUUUUGGUUUUGGGGGCAGUAAUGAAUUUCGGUUUCGGUUUCAGUUUUUUAAUAACUGCACCGAAUAUGCUCCAUUGGCAUCCCUACCACAAGGAUCGGUGUGAUCUUGGACUUUCUUAGUUCUGCUUAGGGGAUGAUCUUUGUCUGAUUAGCUCGACGGGGCUCUGUGUGAUCUUAGACUUUCUUAGAAACUGCUUAGGGUAUGAUCUUCCUGUGACUAGAUCAACUAUCAUUUGAAGAUAAUGUAUUCUUCUUUGAAACAUUUUUCUCAUAUGCUUUUUCUCCAUAUUUUAUAUCAUCUUGUUAUGCAUGUGGAACACGCUUCCUAAAUUUGCAUGCUUUUGGAUAACUAGAUUGAGAGCCUAAUCUACAACCGGUGCUUUUCAUUUAAGAAAAUUUGUGCUAGCUAUUGUAGCUAUCAAAGAACCCUCAUUCUUUAUGUUGAGUUUUGCAUGCUUCUGUAGUUAAGUGAUUUACUUUUGACUUCAUGAUAUUGCAGUAUAUCUAUUUUUCCUCCGCACCAGGACAUGCGGCAUAUGCUUGCAGGGUUAUUAAUAAUUAUUCAUCAAUAAUGUGGUUGAUCAUAUGCUUUGCAGAAAUUUUUUCUUGGAGGGAGGUUUAUCUUCGGACCUGAUGCAAGAUCACUGUUUCUCACGAUGUUCCUCAUUAUUGUACCCAUGUCAAUUUUUUGCGUAUUUGUCGCUAGAAAACUAAUGGAUGAUUUUUAUCAUCAUUCGGGAAUUUCGAUAAUGGUAAUAGCUGUUGCUUUCACACUAUAUGUGAGUAUCACUUCUGUCCAUGCAUUAUGAUUUCCCUCCCACUGUUCUUAGGAGGUUUGAUUUUGUUUUAUCCUUUCAAUGGAUCUUAUAGUGUUAAUUGAGUUUGUAAGAAAAAGAUUUUCCAUAUACCUCAGACAUUGACUGUUUUGAGUAAUUCCAAUGCUUGUAAUCAGGAAGCCUCGGGCUUUGGUUAUAUACUGUGCUUGUUAGUCUAAAUUGCUGUUGUGUUUUAGAUAAGUCAACAAUACUCAUAAUCCAUCCUGAAAUACUUACUUGAAAAUGGAUUCAGCAUUUCUGGUUUAUAAUUUAUUCACAUCCAGCAAAUAGUUCAUACUAUUUUCAUAAUUUGUUUCAUGUCAGUUUUUUAGCUACCUAAAUCAUUUGAAGUUCUAAUAAAAAGAAUAUAGGUCGCUUAGUGAUUUAAUUAAAAUGGGUCUGUUAAUUCUUCUUAAAUGUGUUUGUAGCAUGUUUAAUGAAGACUUAUUACAAUAAACUUCAGGACAAGUCUGCAAAUAUUGCUUUAUAUCUAUCUUUGGUAGUUCAAUUAUUACUGAACACAAGUGUGUAGAAAUGAGAAAUGAGUUUACGUCUAGAUCUCUUAAAUUGAAGUUGGCUCAUGCAUUCAAUCUUGUCAGCAAGGAAUCCUUGUGUGUUCUUGUUUUCCAAAUGAAGAAACCUGCAAUCCGGUCCUUGCCUAACAUUGGUAGUUGGAGAUUUCUUUCCGAGACCAUUUAUUUGAAGCAAUAAAAGUUGUCAUAUUCUUGUCUUUCAUCUAAACCUGGAUUUAUCAUGUCUUUCAAGACAGUGUCAAGUGAUGGAGUUGGAAACUCAGAAUACUUAUGUGAGCCUCUAUCUCACAUUGCUUUGGAAAAAACUGGUUGCAAUGCUUCCACAGGCUAUUCUACUUGCCCACCUUGUGAUCUUCACUUGCUUCAUACAUUAUAUAUCUUGGUUAAAUACAAGUUGUAAAACUAGCAUGGUUUAUGCUGUUCUACAAGAUGGAGAUGAAAGUACAAAAUUAUCCUAUUCUUAUGCUAAAGUUUGUUUUGUUUAUUUCCCCCUAUAAUGGAGCUCUUCUCAAUUAUUUUGUUUUAACACUUGGGAAGAGGAGCCAUUAUGACUUUCAAGAUAACAUGCCUUGUGUAACUGAUGUCUCAUGAUGUUGCUUAUGUUUGCCUUUAUUUCUAUACCUAACUCAUAUAGUCCCUGCAAUAUAUUACCGAAAAUAACAAGCUUUUGGAUAUUAACCUUCUUGACUUAUUAAUUUUUUAUCGAGUUCAUGCCCGAUAUCUUCCUUCCAAGUUAAAUAUUUUGUUUACUAUCUGGGAUUUUGCAUAGGUUGUGGAAUGCAAGUUACUGGUUGAGUUAACUAUGAAUUAUUGUGCCCUCCCAUGGGUGCUGACUCAAAUAAUGUUUCUAGUGAGCUAUAUAUUGCAAGCUAAGUUUGUAUCAUUAGUGACUAUAAUUUUAACCCCAAUUGUCACAUUGUCCUCUGUUUUGGAGAGGUUCUAGGCUCAAGUCCUGGGAGGUGCAUCCCCAAUAUUUGGAUCUUGGAAAUUUAGGUCUAUUGUCUUCCCUCCUUUUCUCCCACAUUGGUAAUACUUUUGCUGGAUUUUUGCUGAUGUUUUCAAGAUGAAAUUAACAUAAACUAACGCUACUCUAGCUCAGUAGUAAGACUGUCUAAUAAGAAGUUCCUCAUCAUUUUAUGUGUAGUUUGAUUUAAAUGCGCAUAGUAAUUUAUUCAACAGUCAUAUAUUGUUGUGCUCAAGGCUAUAACCUAUUGUUUUAAAGAUAAAAGUUUGAUAUAGGCUAUAUGUUUCAGGAUAUAGCUCUUCUACUUCUUACAUCUGGUAGAGAUCCGGGUAUAACACCUCGCAAUGCACAUCCUCCAGAACCUGAAGGCUAUGAUGGUAAUACUGAAGUUGGGGGUAGUCAAACUCCACAUUUACGUUUACCUCGAAUGAGAGAUGUUGUUGUCAAUGGGAUCACUGUGAAGAUCAAAUACUGUGAUACAUGCAUGCUCUAUCGACCUCCUCGCUGUUCUCACUGCUCAGUCUGCAACAACUGCGUGGAACGUUUCGACCAUCACUGCCCAUGGGUUGGGCAAUGCAUAGGGCUUGUGAGUUUCAUAAGUUUUAGAUAAGAAUAUUUAAGCUCUCUUUUCUAUGUUGAUAUGCAAUUUACAAGCGUGUGGUAACUUCAGAAUAGACAAAGGAAUAACUGAGAAUUUAUAAGAUGGGAGAGAACUUGUAAUACAGUAAUGAUUUUCUUUCUGUAGUUUAUGAAUGUCGUCAAUAUAUUAUGUUAUUUUUCUCUUGUUAUUGUCCCAAUGAGAUUGACUUUUAGGCUAGCCUAAUGAAGACAGCUGGCAGCAGAGCAGUACCAAUGGCAUGAAUAUAAAAAUUAUGCUUGUUGAAUUACAGUCAAGUGUAUGAUAACUUUAGAAUAGAAAAAAAAGGAAUAAUUAAGAAUUUCUGAGAUGGGAGAGAACUUGUAAUUACUGUACUUAUUUCCUUCCUGCAGUCAUAUGAAUGUCAUCAAUAUAUACUAAGCAUUUUUUCUCUUGCUAUUGUCCUAACGAGAUCAGCUUUCUAAGCAUAGUAUAUGCUUGUAGAAUUACAUAUUCAUUUUGGUUCUUCUUUGGCUACUAACCUCAUGAGAUUUUUACAACUCAUUGUUUUUCACUAGAUUGAUUUAGUGCUAAUACAAUCUUCCUAUAUUAUGCUAAUCACUAAUCUAUUUUAUGUUUUAAUGAAGCGAAACUACCGUUUCUUUUAUAUGUUUGUCUUCUCAACAACUCUACUCUGCAUCUUUGUUUUUGGAUUCUGCUGGGUGUAUGUAAUUAGAAUCAAGAAUGCUGAGCAAAUAUCUAUCUGGAGAGCAUUGAUCAAGACUCCAGCUUCCAUUGUUUUGAUAAUCUAUACUUUUUUAUCUAUGUGGUUUGUCGGCGGCCUAUCUGUCUUCCAUUUAUAUCUCAUGAGUACAAACCAGGUAAUUGAUUUGCCUUCUGAGAAUUCCCUUGUAGAGACAGAUAUUAUUUAUGUCAGGAACAUCUUGUUCCUAAUAUUCUGAUAAUUUGUUCUCUUUCUUUGUAGACUACUUAUGAGAACUUCAGAUAUCGUUAUGACCGGCGAGAUAACCCAUACAACAGAGGAGUGGUGGCAAACUUCAAAGAAAUUUUCUUCACAAGCAUUCCUCCUUCAAAGAACAAAUUCCGGGCAAGAGCGCCACAAGAACAGGGAUUUCAAUCAAGAUCGCUGGGCGGAGGUUUUAUUAGCCCAAACAUGGGGAUACCGGUUGGUGAUCUUGAGAUGGGCAGGAAGCCUGGGACAUGGGAUGAAGCAAGGAUUGGGGCAGAUGUUAAUGAUUUACAAGGUCUGAGUGACACUGCUACUUUGGAUGGCAAGAAUGGUGGCUUUGGUGAUGCGUCCCCAGAUUUAAGCAGGCAGACCAGCCUGACAGAGGGUUUGCAAGGGCAUGCAGCAUUACACCCAAGGCGGCCGAGUUGGGGACAUAGAAGUGCAAGCUGGGAGAUGCCACAGGAAGUAUUGGCUCUGGCAGCUGGAGCUGGGGAAUCAAAUCAAGCAGGUAGAGGCAAAGUGAGUGCAGGAAAUCAGUAAGGUUCUUGCACCGAGACAUGAACCAAAGGGAGUGCAGGAAAUUGGUGAGGUUUCUGCACCUGAAUUCAGGGAUGUAAUGCAAGCCAAGCAGGUAGUGCAGUUAAUAAGGCAGGCCUGAAGCUUCCCAUAUUGUUCUUAUCUGUGGCCACUUGGGGAAGGAUCACUGUUUUGCUUGAUGGAUACCGUGAUCUUGUCUCUUUUCAAUUUCCUUUCUUCUUGGUUCUUGUUGCAGCUUGUGUUAUGGUUUUGAUUUGUGAAGUCAUUCUUUGUCGAGACUGGAAUCUAAAUUUGGUUUGAGUGGUGUAUAGAUCAAUGGAGUGGUGAUUCAGAAAAAUAAAAGAGCUUGUAUUGUUUGGUCAAUUAUUGGGUGUGGUUGAACAAAGCGAUAUCUUAUAAUCUAUGUUUGGUUUGAAAGCCGCCUCUUUUUGCAUUUUUUUGGGGUUCACAGGCAACUAGUAAGGAUUCAAAAGUCUACUUGGAAGACCGGCGACAAGUAAGGAUAUCUUAUAAUCUAUGUUUCAUUAAAUAUGCUCUCACUUGGAGCCAUGCAGGAAGCUAAAAUCCUGCAACUUGAUGCUUCAUAUUGAUUUAAAUCUUUAGUGUUUCUUGUCUGCAGAAGAUUUUGCAUAAAUCCAUUUAAUUAUCAAUUUGUAGGGAUUUUUAUGCAAAAUGAUAAAUGUUUAGGGAUUCCUGGACAAUUACAUCUUUUGAUCUAAAUAUGAGAUUAGCGGUAGUUUAAACAAAUAUAAAGAUGAUAUUCAAAAUACCUGUAUUGGAUGUCCUGUGAAUGUUCAUUGGAUAUUCAACAAAUAUAUAUUGUCCAUCUCGUACUUAGGAAAAGAAAUAUUUUUAUGCAGGAAUAAAAUUCGCCGACGAUCUCUAAAUUCUGCAAAACCAAUAAUUAAAUGGAUUUUUAUGCAAAAUUCACUUCAAGAAUUAUGUUAUAUUAAUAAAAUCAUGAAAUAGUUGCUACUAUGGAAAAGAAAUAUCGUUACUUUUGAAAUUCUAUUUGUAAGUGAGACUUUUUUUUUAUUUAUAAAAAUAUUUACUGCAUUUCUCCUGUUCACAUGGCAAAUGCUAUUGCAUGACUCAAUUAGCAUGAGGCUCAAUCAUUAUAAAUAUGCUUGUUUUGUUGAAUAAAUACUUCAUUGUUGAUUCUCUCCCUCAACAAGUCUACAAUUUGUGGGACUUCAUUUACUGAGACAUUUUCUUAAAAAAAAAAGUGAUCAUGCUGCUGCAAAAUCUUACCUUAUAAACCUAUUCAGCUGAUGAAAUCACUGUUCAUCAAAUGGCCCUACAGGUUGAGUUGGCCACAUCCAUCCCACAUGCCUAAGCAUUGGCAUUCCAUGUGUAGAAUAAAUUUCACCAAAAUAGGGAAAAUUUUUAUAAAAAUAAAACAAAAUAUAACUAUCUGGGUUGAUAUUAAUGGUAUGAAGAGUUAUCUAAAUAGGAAAUAUCCAUCUAAAGCAUGUUUUCUAAGUUUGAGAUAUCAAACUCUUAAGCAGGGGUGCAGCCGAUUUGAGUAGCUCGUGAACUGUUCUAGCUUGAAAAGCUUGACUCGAUUCAACUAUUACUAAGCUUGAGUAGCUCAAAUAUUUUUUCAAGUCAAGUUCGAAUAAAAAAAUACUUAACUCGAAGACUCGCGCGCUUAAUCGAGAGUGUGUGCGUAUAUAUAUAUUUUAUAACAUUAUAUUUUAUUUGUAAUUUAUAUAUUAUUAAUUUAAUAAAUUAAAAUCAUAUUUUGUUUUAAUCAUAUUUUUAAAUUAUGAGCAAUGUUUGAAUUUAAGCUCGAACUUGAGUAUAGAUAUUCGAGUCAAAUAAAGUCGAUCUCGAGUAUUACUUUCUCUUUGAUAGAGUUGAGUUCAAGAUGGCAUACUAAGCCUCGGUCGAUCUCAAGUCAAAUUUUGAGCUCGAAUAUUUUGAAUCAAAUCGAGCUCGAGUCUCGAGCUACUUGACUCGGCUCAAUUGCAUCCUUCCACUAGGCCGUAUUAUAUUAUCCACAUCAAUUUAGUCCAUUCCAGCUGAUUUAUUUCGAGCCUCCAAAUCCAGAUUAGGGUAAUACAAAGGGCCGAAACGGGUCCACCGAUCAGACGGUUGUACGGCAUAAAUUCAUACACUUAGUUCGCCUUAAUUAUUAAAUGGCCCCGAAGUCUCACAGCUUAGAAAAGGCUGGCUUCCGCUUCUGGAGCUGGGCGGAGACGGCCUCCUUCAGGUCACGUGACAUGAGCAUCGCCGCGUUCCAUGUAGCGACGUACUCCAGCCCCUGAUCCAUCGUCAGAUCUCUGCUUCUCAGCAUCACCGCCUUCGUUCCCAUCACCGCCAAGCUCGACUUCUCCGCCAACCCUUCGAUAAUAUAAAUAAAUAAUAAAUAAAUGAAGUUUACAACUAAUAAUUUUCCAGUGUCGUGCAAGGGCAUUUUUGUCCUAAGAAUCCUCCUUUCACGCAAAAUAAGUAAUUAUUUUUCACCAAAAAAUAAAGCACCAAACUGAAAUCCUCCACCAAUUUUGUUUUGAUCUUUGGGUUCCGUCUGUAAUUAUUCCUCGUUCAUCGAGGGCAAUUUCGUCCACAAAGUUCUAACAUAACUCGUCAAACUAAAAUUUCUAAAUAUUAUAAUAAAAACCAAUUAAAUUUAGCAUUCUAUUUUUCUUAGACUGAGGGAAAACCAAUUAAAUUUAGUAAUUCAACGUACAUAGAAGGACAAAAUCGUCAGCAAAGAAAUAAUUAUCUAUUAAUAAUAAAUAUUAACAAAUCGGUAAUUUUAGAAGUGCAGAAGGGCAAUUUUGUAUUACCACUGGCGAGGGCGGCGACGCCCUCCUCCAAGGCCUGGCGAGUGGGGAAAACCCUCGAGACGAGCCCCAUCGCCUUGGCCUCCGACGCGGAGACGCGCCGCCCCGUGAGCGCCAGAUCGGCGGCGUUCCCGUACCCGACGAUAGCCGGCAGCCGCUGGAGCGUCCCGAGGUCGGCGGCUAGGGCCAGGUCGACCUCCUUGACGGAGAAGAAGGCGUCCUCGGAGCAGCACCGGAUGUCGCAGGCGGCGGCGAGGUCGACCCCGCCGCCGACGCAGGCGCCGUGGAUCUCGGCCACCACAGGCUUCCGGCAGCGCUCGACGGCCGAGAUCGCGUCCUGCAGCGCGAGGAUCCGGCGGCGGAGGAGCUCGCGGACGGCGGCGGGGUCGUCGUCGGAGGAGGGGGCGGCGGUGAUGGAGGCGAGGGAAGAGAGGUCGAUGCCGGCGCAGAAGUGGGGGCCGCAGCCGGAGAGGACGAGGGCGCGGGCGGAGGGGAGGCGGUCGAGGGCGGCGAGGGCGCGGGGGAGUUCGGAGAAAAAGGGCAGGGUGAGGGCGUUGCGCUGGGCCGGCCGGUUCAGGUAGAUAUAGUAGACCGGGAUGGACCGGUCCUUCUGGACCACCUCCAAGGUCUCAAACCCCAUCUUUAGCUCAGCCUCCGCCCCCACCGCGUCCAUGGCUUGGCUUCUUCUCGCCAUCUCUCUCUUCUGAAGCCCGGAAUUGAGAUUUUUUUCCUUUUAAAUCUCAAAAUUUCGUGGAGAGUGGGGAAGAUGGAGCAGCUCUGCUGUUUCCGCCUGAACAGCGAACAGCUAGGUGGGAUCCAUAGGUAAAUACACGAGACGUCAGAUACAGGUACUGUUUGGAUUCUUAAAUUUUAUUUUUUUACUAAUAAAAUUUACCAUAAAAUUUACUGUCUCAUCUCCUUAGUAUAGGAUGGUAAUACUCUCCCUUUGUUUUCCAUAGACGAAUUUUAUUAUUUUUAAAUGCAUGCCAUUUUCCUGGUGACCUAAGACGGUUGUUGCUUAAAACAGAUCUUUUGAUACAGUACAUAGUUUGCUCUUUAUAUUGUAUUUGACAGCUUUCAUAUGGACAAAAGAGGAGAACAAAAACUAUGUGGGGCUGGCACCAGAGUGAAAAAAUAUAUAGGACGGACUUUUUAUUUUAUUAUAUUUUUUCUACUAUUUAUUUUAAAAAAAUAAAUCUAAAAAUUAAAGAGUUUUCUUACUUACAAAAUCAUCAAUAUUAUGAUUGAAAAUAAAUGCGCCAUCAUUUUUCUUUCUUGUUUUCAGAACAUAUUUUUUAUUGGUACAUACUAUAUGGCCAAAUAAUACAUAUCAAAUAAAUUAAUCAUCAAGCAAGUCAAUACAUACCUAUAGAUAAGUCGAUAUAUAGUUUUCAAAAUAUAGUGUUCAUCAGUAUAUAAUACACAGUUGGUGGCACACACUUAGCAAAUUAGAUAAAGCUAGAAACUGUGUAUUAUGUAGUAGUAAUAAUUAACACUAUAUUUUGAAAAAUGUAUAUCGAUUUACUUAAAAGUAUAUAUUGGCUUACUAGGCAACUAAUUUGCUUAAUAUGCAUCACCUGAUUAUUUAGUGUAUACUGAUAAAAAACAUGUUCCAAAAAUUAUGAACCGAUUUAUCUAGAGGUAUGUGUUGGAUCACGGCUGUGUGUGUAUCAAAGAGCCUUGUAGUAUAUAUCAGGAUAAAUGAAUGUAUAUCAUCUGGUCAUGUAGUGUAUACUAGUGUAUAUAAUAUUUCGGAAACUAUAUACUGAUUUGUUUAGAGAUGUAUAUUGAGUUACUAGAUGAUUAAUUUGCUAAGUGUGUAUUAUCUGAUUGUGUACUAUGACUAAUGAAUACCAUAUUGUAGAAAUUGUGUAUCAAUUUAUCCAUAGGUAUAUAUGAACUUGGUAGAUAAUUAAUUUGCUUAAUGCAUAUCCAUGUAGUGAGUACAUGUAAAAAGUAUGUUCAAAAAAUGAAGAAGAAAGAAGAUACCACAUUUAUUUGUAAUCACAAAAUUGACAACUCCAUUAGUAAGAGGAGUCUUUGACCUUUAGAUUUCUUCUUUAAGAUUGACACUAGAAAAACUAUGGCAAAAUAGGAAGCUCGCCCUAUAUUUCUUUCUCUGGUUCUUGUUUUAUAUGAUUUUUGUUCCCAAAGAGGGACCUACUCUUAUGCAUUGUUUUUUCCGAAAACGUUGUAUGGAGGCCUGUUGGAAGUAGGGAUGAAAGUAGAUCGAACAAUAUACGUCCGGAUUUAUUUCUAUGUCUGAACUAUAUAAACGUAAAUGCAAAUUUGGGCAUAUGACUAAUAUCUGUAUUUGUCAAAGAAAAAAAGAUAAACAACUAUCAAAUCUAUAUUCAAAUAUCUAGAUCUGUUUGUAAUCCUAUUUAAUAUUUUUUUAUAGAUCUUAUUAAUUUUAAAAAGAUAAAAUGAGAAUAUUAAUAUAUUAGCAACUUACUUUAUUUUUGAUAGAGUGAUAUUCUUGAUUUAGUGAUUCAUAAAGUUUAACUAUUCAAUUUGUAUCCAUUUUUACAUCCAUAUUUGCAAUAUCCAAUUUAUAUCGAUAUCUAUUUAAAACCAAUAUGAAUAUAAAUUUAAACAUUCAACUAGUAUCCGUUUUCACGUUUGUAUUUGCUAGAUAAAAACAAAUAUUGAUAUCGUUGUACUGAUAUCCAAUCCAUUAUAAACCCUAAUUGGAAGUCAUUGAGAGUUUAAGAUCAUAUAUCGCCAAACCCAGAUCACUAAUAUCUAAAGCCAUGUUGCACAAGCAAUUUAUCAAAAAUUUCAAGAAAAUUUUGAUGUCCCUUUGCAUUUAAAUGAGAGAGCUAUUGUCACUCCUAUGAAUGGAAUAGUUGAUGAAAGUAAUUUAUAUAUACUUUAUUUAGUUUUUGGUGAAGGAAAAAUAUAUUUAAGCUCCGACACAUUAUGUAAAUCUUCAUCUAAUAUUGAUUUUGAGAAUAUUUUUUUAUCCCAUCAAAUUUUUGAAUUCUUUAAAAUUCAAUGGAACCCCACAUCAUGUUUUACGAGGAUAUACAUACAAAUAUCAAUUUUGGGAGGGUAUUCAUGCAAAAAAAUUCUUUUUUUAAUUAAUCUCUCCUUAAAAGUUUGAGUAUUAUUAGCAUCUUCAAUUUCCAAAGAAACUUAAUCAUCAGUAAAAGAAUGUUUAGCUUAUACAUCUUAUUCUUAUAAUUUUUUCUCAUAAAAUUAUGUGUAAAGAGUUGUUAUAUAUGAAGAUAUACCCAGAAGUUCUAAAAUGGAAGAUCCUGGAUCAUUAAGUGGUUAACGAGGGUUUAGCUUGAUGAAAGAAAACUCUUAUCUUCUUUCUGAAAACAACUGUUGCAAAAGUGCGAAAGCAUACAAAUAAAGCUAAACCAGAUAUCUUAUCCCAUCUCAUUAUAUUCCUUUAAUUGGCCUUUCUGAAGCAAUUACCCCAGCAAGCAUUCAAGACAACAACCAAACAAUACAAGAAAUAGAAAGGGGAUAUCAUAUACAUAGGAAGGGAACAAAAAGUGCCCAAGCAGAAGAAAGGCAGGCAUAAGGCAUGAGAGAAUUAGCUAAACGCCUGCUUUUGUUAUAAAAGAAAAAGUAAGGUCUCAUACAUAACUUGUCUUCUUCCAAAUAAGUUGUGUGUUUUGCGUAGAUAUAUCUUCUAGUCCUGAGAAUUGAACUAGUAACUGAACCGAUAUGCUGGUCUGGCUUUCAAUAUCCAGCUAUCAUACAAAGUGAUAUUAUAAGCAUAUGGAUUAAAUAUAAAAAUUUGACAUGUGAACUGAGUUCUAAAAUAGGAGAAAACCAUCCAGCUUGAUUAAUUUUACUUGUUUUUGACCAUUUGUUGGGUGCUGAAUAUGAGGUUGGGGACAAGAAGGGUCUCAAUUUGUGCCAAAGUAACCAAUCGAUUCGACUCAAUUUGCAGUUCUUGGAUGAUUAAAGAGCUGUGAAGCCAAUAAGAAACAUUAAUAUCAAAACAAGCUCGACAAAAACUGCAUGAUUGCCCGAUAUGAUGCGUGCAUAUCAUGCAUAGGAUCAAUGGGAGAGGGAAGACUUGCAAGAUUGUUUUGGACCUCCUAUUGAUGGACAAUUAUGAAUUGGCAGUGCUUAUUGGGGCUUUCUAUGAAGUGGUAGGGGUCAAAGCCAAACUCCUUAUCCUUCCACAUGCAAUCCCCUCUCAAUUCAUUAAUUUUCUCAAAAAAGUUUGAGCAUUUGAUAGGCCCCUAGCUUAUUGCCCCCAACUGAACAUUACUAAUUGAAGGAGUACUACACAAAUAACAAGAUAUCACUUGGGUGACCCAUCUACAAUUUCAUAUCAUCAUGCAACCAUAUAUGAACAAUGCAUACAUCCUUGUACCCCCCCUAAAAAAGACAAUAUAUACAUCCUCUCUUUAUGUUUUAAAGAUUUUUUGUUUGGAAGAAUCCAAAGGCUGGCUACUUAAUCUGUGCCCAUAUAUAGUUUGUGUGCACCAAAUCUAGACUAUUUUUGUUUAUGCUAGGAGAAAAUGGCUGCAAAUUUUGGAGAAGUAAAGGUGGCAGGAUUCUAUAUAUGGGAGUGGUUAGGGUUUUAAGUUUACAAGGUAGGUGAUCUGAGGUGGAGAAGAAACGGCUAGGAGGGAAUGUGUGUAUAUGUUUGGGAAUGGGGUCACAUGAAAGAGCCAUUUUUAUAUAAGCAAAGGAAGCCUUUCUUCAUGGCUUGCUUUUCAACACAAGGACAAUGUAGAACGUAUAUAUGCACCACGUUACAUAACCUGAAGUAUUCUAUAUAUAUUCCUAUUUAGCAUUUUACUAUGGAACAAUUAAAAUUUUAUAACUUAUAAUAAAACAUAAACCAUAUUUUGUUCCUUUACUUCUACAUCACAUGACUUCCGUUCUAAGUUUGUUUGUGGAUUGAUCAGCUAAAUCUUCCUCACUCAUCAUGUUCCAAGAAGGAAGUGGUCAUUCCACAGGCUCCCUUAUAUAAUGGGAAGCCCCCCCAAGGCCUGGGAACCACAAAGGCAUCAGUAGAAAGGAGAGGGAAAGGAAGUGGAGUGGGGUUCUUUUUCUUCCUUUGAGGAGGAUUCUCCUCCUCCUGAGCUCAUCUUCUGCCUUCUUCCAAGUUUUAAAGACUGUUCUUGUUUGAAGGUAGAGAGAUAGCAGGCUAUCAUUCAUCAUUGGAUUGGGCCAUCAUCAUUGGAGUCCUAGGUAGUCUCUAUGAAGAGCUUCCUCUUUGUUCCGUUUUCCUUUUUUUUUUCCAGCACUGAUCUUCCUCUUUUUGUUUCACUCGCUUGUCCCUUAAUAUUACUUACAUCGUUGUCGAAGAUUCGUUUGCUUUAAAAAAAGAAAAAAAUUGGCUCACUGUGCUUUUCCCACAUUUGUUUCUCACUUUUUUUGAAUUUUAAUUUAGCUUUUCUUGUCACAGAUUCAUGUGUCCAUUAUCUACAAUCUUUUUUUCUUCUUUUUUUCCUUUUAUGUUCCUAUAUUUUGGGCCCGGCAGUUGUUGGAAUCUCAUGUUAAUUUUUCUUUUCCAGAUUUUGGAAGAGGGAUGGAAUAAGUAGUCUGGCUUGAUUCCUUGACUUAAGUUAUUCAAAGUUAGAACUCUAUCCUAGAAUAGGUCGGUUCUAGGAGAGGAAGAAGGCCCACUCAUCUCAAAGUAUAUAUUACAAGUAGAACUAUAGCUAAAUUUAACUACCACUAAUUUUUGAAACAGUUUAUCUUUGUAUGCAAUUUUGUCGUGUUGAACUUGUAAAUUUGAACCAUGGAAGAUGAACUCAAUCAUGACAAGGAAGAGCAAGGCAACAAUUUGAUCACCAUUGCAGGUACCAUGAACAGAUUCCAACUUGGGGCUUCAGAUUGGAUAGUGUCUUAUGUGGCCAACUAUUCUAGAGAUAUUCUUUGGGUUGGAUAGAGGGAGUUGCUUAGUACGCUUCGAGAUCUAUUAUUUUUGACUUUUUUGGAUGUAUCCGUAUCCGAACUGUAUGAAUCAUCCGUUUCAGCCCAAAAAAAAAAAAAGCAACCAAGGCAAAUAACUUACCAAUGCCUUAACAACUUUUGAAUACCAAAAUUCUACAUUAGCAGAUACAGAGGGAUGUCUUCUACAGAACGACGAUGCCCAAUGCCUAAGCCUAAAUUGCUCAUAAUCAACAGUCCAAUGUUAUUUGUUAUGUGCAUGAAAUGAGCAUGAGAGGGAUUUGUAGCGUCAUCUGAAGUUCAUGUUCUUAACACACAUACAAAAAAUCUUUUCCAAGGGAUAGGAUAGAUCAGAAACUUCCCAAUCUCCUUUCAAAGAUCAAAGACCAAGAAUAGCAAGGAGAUUGGCAGUUCAACAACCAAGAACCAUCGCAUUACAAGACAAUGUGAUCCCUUUGACUCUGCCACUAUAUUACUACUUAAACCUUUAUAGAUGUUAAACUUAAGCCACCCCAUUCUGAUAGAUUGACUUGAGUUUGGUCUCUUGGGGACUCGAAUCAGGUUGUUUCUCUUUCUAGAGUGGGUUAGGGUCAAGCAAUCCGAGUCUACAUGUAUGAACUAAAUUAUUGUUGGGUUGAGGCCAAACCUAGUUUUGCGAGAUCUUUAGUUGACCGAAUUUAGAGGUUUAGAACCUAAUUUGGGAUCUAUGCCUAAUUAUUGGGUCUUGACUUCAAGCACAGCCAAGUAGCUCUUAUAUGACCAUAUUUAGAGGCUCUUCGUAGCUUCAAAUGGAGGGAUGGUAAUGAGUGGGGUAUGAAUCGAAUAGAUAAUUAUUCAUAUUUAUCUUGUACUCGCCUCAGAGCAGGAUGGAUGAAGAGAAAGAAUGAUAGAAGAAGAGAGAGAGAUUUCUUCUAUCCAGACUUCUUCUGUCCAUUGAUGAGUACUUCUCUAAGCGACCACCUCUUCCAAUUCUCUAAAACUUUUUUUUGAUUACUUGACAUCUUGUACUAUUCCCAUGUACCGUAAGAGAAGCCUAAUAUAGUUGAAAGUACAGCUUUGUACUGUUCUACCAAAGAUCCCUGUCAUUCACCAUGUUGCAUUUGUAAAAACUCUAUUGGCCUACUCCGUAUUGCAUCUUUAGCUUUGGUGAUGGAAUAGGUAGAUAGAUUUAUUUCUGUUAUUGAGAGACGUUGUUAUGUGCCACAAUACAUUCCAAUGCUACUAAGGCAAAAUCAACCAAUCCUACCUCUUUGUUGGAUGAAGUGGCUUAUCAGUUUGCACAAUAUGAGGAUGGUGGGAUCCUCAAGAAACUUUACUUUCAUUUUUCGGCCCAUCUGAAGGGCAAGGACAAAAGUCCUCAGCAUCUACAAAUGAAGCAAUGAGAAAGAGAUCUUGUAGGUGAAUGCAUGAGCAAAUCAGACCGAACAACCAAUCAACAACGCUCCAAUAUUCGAGCCCGAGACGGGCUUUGACCAUCUUAAUUUGCAAAUGGCUCCUAGGAGAGAUAUUGAUGGAAUCAUGCUGACAUCAGGCCCUUUUGCUAGAAUUUGACAUCCCCACAUAGUAACAGAUGGAGAACAAUAGUUCAACCAUCUUGCAAUGCAGCCUAUUCCUAUUCCUAAGGUUGGGGGGGAAUCAUCUUAUCCCCUCUUUUUCAUCUGUAGCUACGCACGCCAAAUCUGUAUGCUAGGAGGCAUCAACCAUACUAUUAGGCAUAUUUUCCUUUAGAUCGGUUGUAUUCGUCACACCCAUGGGCUAGGAGGCAAGCACGACGAUGGAUAUUUACCUUCACCAAUUUCUUCAUGGUUUUUAAGUGCUACUCAAGUUUAAAUCUCACCUCUACUAGAUACUUGAUGGUCUUCAAAUUAGCCAAGUUGAAUGUUUUUCAGGUCCAAAAUUAGUNNNNNNNNNNNNNNNNNNNNAGAUUUCCAGAGCACAGUUGCAGCGCCUUGACCCCGAUCUUCUGGAGCAGUAUGACAGCCGGCCAGACCUGUACUCGACGGGGUCGAGUUUUUCUCACCCGGGAGGAGUUGAUGGGGACAUCAGAGCCCUUCAUCCAGAUGAUCCUGAGCCCCCGGAUUGAGUCAGACCCGUUUAUUUGCAUAUUUAUUUUAUUAUUUUAUUUCUGGGCUUAUUUGCAUUUUAGGGUUUAUUGUGGUUUAUUUUAUUUAUAGGCUUAUUUGCAUUUUAGGGCUUAGUUGUGGUUUAUUUGUGUUAUUUGUGGGUUUAUUAGGAUUUAUUUCUGUGUAAGGGGGUUUAUGCAAAUUGUGUAUCUGGGCCCUAUAUAUAGGGAACUAUUUUCAUGAUUAGGGUUUAAUGCAGAAUUAAAGAACUCUUUUCCCCACGUCUCCUCUCCUUCUCCUCUCCUCCCUUCUCCUUCUUCUCUUCUUCUUCCUCCUUCUCUUCCCUUCUUCUCCUGCCUCCAUUUACAAGUUAGUCCGGCAUCANNN
rnacentral:lncRNA from 1 species